rnacentral:lncRNA from 1 species
GAAUCAAAUUCACUUGCAGCAGUUCCACUCGCGCUUGGCAAAUCAUCCAAUUUCCAAACUUCGGUAGCAAAAUUGAGAGUAAAAGUGUUGGCUUUGGUCUCGCUGGGAUUUGCAUAUACUGGACAUACUCCGUAACGUUUUACCUUGUGACCCUUUUGGUUUUGGUAACAAUUAUUGAAGAACUUAAGUGAGACAGUUGUAUGAUGGUAACCAUCAGGAAAGCCAACAUUCAAGCAAGGUUUAAAACCAAGUAUGACAUGAUCUGAAUCAAGGGAGUAUUUAUUUCUAACACUUGUGGUUGCGGGCCCACUGAAACCUAGAUCAACAUGUUUGGUUUCAGAGAGAGUCUUUAUUUCUAAGUCGAGUUGAGAGCGGCCGAAAACAUUGCAGCAAUAACAAGAACCAACUUUCUUAAAAUUAAGAACCGCACAAAAAGCAAACCCGAUUAAGUUUCUGCAAGAAGAGUGCGGUGGCAGUUGAAUACCUAUCGAAGAUCCUGAACUUUGAUUGUUGAACCAGUCAGGAAUUUCGCUCCCAGGUAAAACAAUUAGGGAUGUCCUGAGUUCAGAAAGUUUCUGUGAAAUGACAUUUAAAAAAAGAAAAUUGUAAAAUGAAAACCAUGAUUUCAGAUAUAACAAAGAGGGACAGAGUAAACAAGAGAGGGAACUUGAUGCGUUCUAAAUGUUCCAUUUUCUCCAAGAUUUCUGGGAAACGCUCAAGGUUCAAGCAGCCAUGAAGAAAAAGCUCAACCAAAGAUUUCAAUUUACAAAACCUAGUUGAAAUCCUCUUCAGCCGUUCGCAAUCCCUCAAAUCCAACUUUUCAAGAUCAGUUAGGCACUCUAUUGAUGAUGGAACUUCUUCUAUUGCAGACUGGCUUAAGUAUAGCCGUGUAAUUUUCCCAGAAAUCUGUGGAAACUCUACGAGAUUAACACAAUAGGAGAAAUUAAUAGUUACUGGACAAACAAAAUGAAGAUUGCUUGGAAAAGACCUAAGACUUUUGCAGCCCACAAAAUCCAACCUACUGAGAUACUUGAAAUUCUGGAUAGAUGAGGGAACACAAGCCAUUUCUCCUUCCCAAAUUUGCUCAACUUUACUAAAACGCAAAUUCAGUCCAACAAGGUUCUUUGGCUUGAAAUUUGAUGGCAGUGUCCUUAAUGGAUAUGUGUCCCAAUGAAGAUAUCUCAAUUUUUUAGGAAGAUAAUCUAGGCCAUUUGGAAGCUGCACUUUAGAGUACGAAAGUUGCUCUUCAAUGCUCAUACUUAGAAGCUUUUCAAUCUCAUACUUAGGUACAUAAAAUUUGAGCAAUCUCAGAUUAGACAUAUUUGUGAAGGCUCCGGGGUCUAAAUUGAUGCCUUUUAUUUUGGACAAAUCCAAAAAUAUGCCUUCAAUUGCAUCGGUCCCCUUAUUAAAAAAAAAAAAAAAACAAAGAAUGGGUAAGCCUAAAACAGAAAAGAAACAUUCGUAAACUUUAUUAACUAAGAGCUCCUAAAACAAAACAAAUUCUACGAUCUUUGAUCUUAUUUUUUUAAUAUAUUAAAUAUCUAUAUGCGAGAAAAGAAAAUUUUGGGAACCAUUGCAAAAUUAAACUAACCGAAAAAAAAAAUCAAAAUUUCUCUAAUUUACAAACCUGUUAUCUUACUAUCUAGAAGUUGAGAAGACAGGGCCUAUUUGAUUGGUAUAAGAUUUCGAUUUUUUUUUUAGUCCAUAGAAUCCAAAAUGUUAGUUCAAAAUUAGGGAAAAAAAUGAAAGUUAUUUUUUUUCCACUAGUUGUAAUUGUAUCCAAGUCAAAUUGAGAUAUGACCCUUUUCGAAAGGAUUUAAUCAUCUUAUAGCCUCCUUAAAGGAGUGAUUGGAGGCCUAACUAGGUAGGCCAAUCAGUCCAUUUUAUUAGCGACUAUUGCUUAAAAACAUUUAUACUCUAAAACACACUUACUUUUUUGAAAAAAAAAUAUAAUUAUAUUGAAGUAGAACCAGGUGGGCCAAUCCUCAUGGCACUCACUUUGUUCUGACACUCUUCACUAAAUUUGAAAAAAAAUAAAAUUAUACUCUUCACACUCUUAUUCAACAUUCCAAAAUUGAUAAAAUCUGGAGUUUUCAUUAAAAAUUUAAAAUUUGAAGACUUGUUCUCUUGACACCCUCAGUCAUUAAUUUUACCUAAUUAUGGUUUUUAUGAUUUUGGUUGUUUUGUUCAUAAAAAUGAUUUUACUAAAGGAUGUUCUGGUAAUAAUAAAAUUUAUAAAAAAAAACAUGGUUGUGCUGGUAUGAUUGGAAAAAUAUGAGUGCAUAACUCCAAACAAAUAAAAGAUAUAUAAAAAAAAAUGGAGGAUUCUUACCAUAUUAUGCUUUAGUACGCGGCGGAUUUCCUUAGGAUCCCACAACCUCUUGCGUUUGCCUGGCUCUUUCUCAGAUUCUUGGCGUCGCCCCAUUUCUUGCAAUAUAUCAUGCAUUUGCAAGCGGUUAUAUGACACUGUUAUGAGUGACUUAUCAACAAGGACAUCCAGUCCAACAGACUCAGAAUCAUCAAGAAUCCUUGCCACAAAAUCUUUAUCCUCUCCCUCAAAGAAACACGCAAUAUCUAGAAAUAUGCUCUGCACCCUGGGCGUUAAUUCAUCAAAACUAAUCUUUAAUUUCUUAUAAAUAGCAUGAAUAUCAGAUUCACAAAUCCGAUUUAAGUCGUGCAAUACUUUUCCCCAAUGGCUUUUCCCCUUGAGGGAGGAACCCAACACUUUAAGAACUAAUGGAUUGCCAUCAGCAUACUUUACAACUCUCCGUGAGUCAGGUUUGAAAUCUUCAGGACAAUGCUUUUCUUUAAAAGCGAAGUUACAAAAAUGCUCGAAAGCCUCAUGAAAAUCCAUUCCAUUAACCCUAUAUAUUUUCUUCUCCUCCACUCCAAAUUUUUCGAGGACUCCUUUAUCCCUAGUGGUUACAACAAUUCUACUUCCUGGAACAAAUUGAUCAAGCUCUCCAAUCAGACCCUCUAAUUGUCCAACUUCAUUCACAUCAUCGAGUACUAUCAACACCUUCAUACGCCGGACCCUCUCUUUAGUAAAAUGUGGAAUAUUGGCACCAGCUACUUCAAGUUUUUCGCUUAAUAUUGUUGAAAGCAUUUCCUUUUGUAGGUCUUCUAGGCCACCCUCUGUUUCUGAUUUUCUCCUAACAUUUUUUGCAAAGUAUUUACCAUCAAACUCACCAGAGAAUUGAUUGAAAAUAGCUUCAGCAAGGGUGGUUUUGCCGAUACCACCCAUGCCCCAAAUUCCAACAAUUUGGACAGUAUCCGACAAAUCCAUACACAAAAAUGGUUUAAUCUGCUCAAUUCGUGAAUUUAAUCCAACUAGGCCGUUGGAUGAGUCCGUUGAGACUGUUAUUUUUUCCAACUUCUUCAAAACAUCUUCGACAAUUUUGUUUACAAGUUCCGCAUCGUGCCUAAUAUAAAGGUGCAAAGAUGCAAAAACAUUGAGUCAAAUCGGGCCAACACAGAAACAGAGAUAAGAUGAAUUAGGAAAGAGAGUUACCUGAAUUUCGUGGAUUCGUGGCCAGCAAGACCGGAUGUUUCUCUCAGUGCAUCCCUCCACCUCUGAACCAUUUCUGGCUUCUCUUUGAACUGUUGUUCGAGCUUACCAAAGCCGACCCCAAAAAUCCCAGUUUGAUGCCGCACAUCGGACGGACUUACGCCAUAGAAAACCGGAAUAAUGAUUUGGCCGUUUGUGUGCUUGCAUUCAAGAAUCUCGACAAGUUCAUACAGGCACCAUUUUGAAGAAGCGUAGUCCGUUGAGAAAAUGACCACCGAAAUUUUUGAACCUUGGAUUGCGUUCAAAAGGGCAGGUGAAAUCUCAUCUCCGCGCCUAAGCUCUUCAUCAUCAAUAAAUGUUCUGAUUUUCUUUCUUUUAGACAAAGCAUCAUAGAGAUGGCAAGUAAAGAUCGCACGAGUGUCCUCCCCUCUAAAAUUGAGGAAGACUUCAUAAAUGCAAGGAGAAGAAGCCAUGAAGGAAAUAUUAGAAAUUUGGUGACAGAAACAGAGAAUUAAUCUUGAGAGCUGAGAGAGGAGAUGUAAGAAUGAACAUGUGUGAAUAUUCUUGCGAGUACAUAGUAAAUAAUUGAAUGGCUCGAGCUUUCUUAGUUUCCUGGAAAUUUCCUGGAGCUUUCGUAUACAUGAUUUGUCAAGUCAAGAAACAUAGUCAUGAUAAUGGGGCAGACCAGGAAGAAAAGGAAAUUGGAAUUUUGUACAAUUUCUCCAGCGAGGAACUUUCACUGUCAUUACCUCACCGUUACAGUUUGGAUUAGGGUAAUUUUUACCCCGCACCCAAAUGUUUUGACAUACAGCACAACGCACCCAAUUCUUUUGCCCAUGAGCACCGCGCACCCAUUUCCGUUUAUUUUUCAGUUAACUGUAACAGAUCAGGGUAAAAUUGGAAUAACGCAUCAAAAUUUAAAAAUAAAAAAAUAGGUAAACUCGAUGUUUGCGCCAAAAUAAUUUCACAUCACUGUGCUUAUGUUCACUGCGUUUGCGUGUGAGACCAAGAAGCAUGGCCACACCUCCAUUGAUGCCAAAAUCGAGGAGGUGGGUGAAGAAGAAUUGGCGCCAAAAUCAUUCACAUAUGAUGUGCAAGGAAAUUAUUUCAGCCUUUAAAUACUUUUUUAUUACAGCAGCAUCAGCUAUUGCUCUGUUUCGAAGAUCUGCUCAAUUUCUAAGACAAUAGUUGGUUUGAGAGUUUAAGGGAAGUGAAUCCACUGAGCGUGCUAUUGAAGAAGUGGAGGUCAGUUUCAUUUCUUGCUCAAUUGUUUUAAUUUAUUCCAUUUUGUUUGCAUGUCAAUUAUUUACACAUUUUUAGCUGGAUUUUGCUUAUCUAUAAAACUUGAAUCAUUGUUAAUCAAAUCAGCUAUAAUUUACGCCUCAAUGUGGUUUGUAAGUUUAAGUUAUGUUGGAUUAUACCUGAAUAAUGUGGUGUUUGCGUUAUUGAUUUCAAUUUCUAUUGAUGAUUUUGAGUAUACAUAUUAGUGGAUGAAAGUUUUUAAUUAGGAUGAUUGGUCACGCAUAUAUGUCAUAGCAACUGUGUUUUUUUGGGUUAUGGUUGUACUGUAGAUCAGUAGUAGUAGUGAUUUGGAUAUAAACGCUAGUGCUUUUAUUGUAAAUGAUAGUGAUGAAGAUCCAGUGUUACAGAAUUUGAUGUAAAAGUUAUUGGUUUUUGGCUAAAUAUCUUAGAUAAAUAUGAUGCUCAUGCAAUCAAAUCCAAUGCUUAUGCAAUUUACACCAUGUUUAUGAUAAGUAAUUAAAAAAAUAAAUGACUAUUCCAGGUGAAAAUGGAUGAUGAUGAUAUUACAACUGUUCUUUGUACAUUCAAGGGCAAGACAUAUAAUGUUGGUGUAAUUGAUCCAGAUAAGUUUAGUAGAGUUUCUGUAAUUAACAAGGUUUUAGUUAGAGUCUAUGGAAGAAAGAUGAGGCCUGAUGAGAAGUUUACACUAAGUGUUUGGGUACCAUGGGUCUAUAAGGAAGUAGAGAUUAUGUCUGAUCAUGACUUAAUAUUCCAGCUGAGAGAGCAUAAUAAGAUGUUGUUCUACUGCAUGCAAUUGUAUAUUGAAGAAAUCCAUGUACCUCAUGAGUUUGUACCUAGAAGGGCUUUGUUUCAGCACUCAGCAGAAGAAAGCUUACAAGGGUAUGCUGAAACAAACUUUCCAGCCACUACUGACCUGCACAAACCUUAUACACAUGCUACAUCCACCAACACAAAUCCUUAUGAAAAUGACAGUAAUGACCAUUCGAACCAUGAACCCCCUGUCAAGAACUCCAGCAGCAUAAUGAUGCAUAAUGUUGCACUUGAUAGCAUCCAAUCACAGACCAAACCAGAUACCAACCCUGACCUAUAUCAAGACUUUUUGGAUACCUAUUUCAGAUCAUCACCACAACAGAAAACACCAUCAGCUGCCCAAACUAAUGCCGAAAAUAGUGAUAGUGAUAACACAUCUUCAUUUGGUACAAAUAAGACUCCUACUGAGCAGCUUCAACAAAACUUUGCCAUCUCUUCUGAGUUGUCCCCUUUAUUGCAGCAACAUGGACAUCAUGCAUCCCAAAAUGAACCUAUACCUUUUCACCAACCUGAGUUCUCAUCUCAACCAAUAACUCAAAACCCUCAGUCACAAGUUGUACAAGCAGAAAACUUCCAGCAACCAGAAGCCACUACACCAGCACUAGUAGAUUAUAACUCAGAUGAUAGCCAUUAUAGUGUAACUGAUAGUGAGGAAGAUCCAGAUCAUCCAUUAGGUGCUCCAAACAUUAAUAAUACUCCUAGGAAACCUUCUGUUAAUGUUGACUUAGGCUCUAUGCCUUCUGAUGAUAGUGAUGAAGAUUGUAUGCUAUCUGAUUGUGAGAGUGAUGACAAUGAGUUUGGGGAAGAAUCUGAUGAAGAGAUUGAUCAAGUGCUGGUCAGAAUGGAUGCUGUUAUGAGAGAGAACAUGUACAUUCCUAGUGAUACACCUGUUCAAUUCUUUAUUGGGCAGUGUUUUAGGAACUUCAGGCAGCUGGCAUGGGCAAUAAGGACUUAUGCUGUGGAAAACAAGUUCAAGGUUUAUAAGCACAAGUUUGAAAAAUCCAGAGUAACUGUUGGAUGUAAUUAUUUCAGGUGCCCAUGGUUUUUACAUGUUGCAAAAACUAGAUUUGGACAAACCUUUAUUGUUAGGAGGCUUCACAACGUACAUACAUGUCAGAGAGACUUAAAGAAUCCUGAAUGCACUGCAGAGUUCAUUGUUGCCAAGUUUGCUGCAACUAUAAUUGAGCAUCCAGAUACAAAGGUUGGGUGGAUUCAAAGUGAACUUAGAAGGAUGUAUGGAGCUAAGAUACACAAGUAUAAAAUUUAUAGAGCAAAGAAGAAGGUUUUACAGAGACAAUGAGCUGAUUAUGAGUCUAGUUACAUGUUGAUCAGAAAUUAUGCUCAGGCCAUACUUACUAAGAUGCCACAGGCCUUGGCAUUGGUUAAGGUUUUCAGGAUGCAUGGUCAACAACCUCAAACUCACUUUGACAGCACUGUUAUAUCUUUCCAUGCCCUCAGAGAUGGCUUCAACCAAGGUUGUAGACCCUUCAUUGGUAUUGAUGGAUGCCAUUUGAAGGGUCCAUAUAAGGGUGUUCUUUUAUCAGCAGUUGCUAUUGAUGCCAACAAUGGAAUCUUCCCACUUGCAUUUUGUGUAUGUAGUGUCGAGAGUACAACCAGCUGGACAUGGUUUCUAAGCCACUUUAGGGAAUUUUUACAAGAUACAAGACAACUGACCUUUAUGUGUGAUAGGCAGAAAGGAAUUCAGAAUGCUCUUGCCUUAGAGUUUCCUAAUGCACAUGUUAGAUUCUGUGCUAGACACAUCUUAGCAAAUAUUAAGUUAAAACAUCCUCAAUCUGACUUUAAAGCAUAUUUCUGGGCAGCAGCAAGAGCAUCAAACAGAAGGGCAUUUGAUGAUGCUAUGCAAAACAUAAGAGCAGCACAUGAGGGUGUAUAUGAGACUCUUAGGAGGAUACCACCAAAUUUCUGGUCAAGGCAUGCCUUUGACAAUAAUUGCAAGUCUGAUCAUUGCACUAACAACGUAACUGAAUCUUUUAAUGCAUGGAUUGGGAUUCAAAGAAAGUUGCCAAUAAUCUCAAUGCUGGAGUGGAUUAGGAAGAAGCUGAUGAAAAGAAUGAUUGGAAGAAGAAAUAAGGCAGAGUCUUGGGACAGUGAUAUACCAAGAAGAAUUUAUGCACAAAUGAUGAAGAAUUUACAGAUUGGCAGUGCAAACCCUAUCUGUAGAGCUAGUAAAUGGCUUUAUGAAGUGGAUGAAAAUACCAAGACUUAUAUCGUUGAUCUUGAACACCAUAUGUGUGACUGCGGACAAUGGCAAGUUAGUGGGAUUCCAUGUGUACAUGCAAUGCCUUGUAUUGUGAAUAGUCAAAAAGAUCAAGCUCAGUUCAUUAGCCAAUGGUUGAAGAAAGAUACUUACCUAAGGUGUUAUUCUGGAUUGAUUAAACCAAUUCCAGAUAGAACGUCAUGGGUAGAUGCUGGUGGUGAUGAAAUACUGCCCCCUUUAGUGAGAAGACCACCUGGACGACCUAAGAUGACAAGAAGAAGAGAAGCUGAUGAGGUACCAGCACAUAAUAAACGAUACAAGAUGCAAUGCACUAUUUGCAAGGGAUUUGGACACAACAGAAGGGGUUGUCCUGUUAACCCUCAUAAUGCUCACAAGACAACAAGACAAUAUAAGGUGAGUGUGUAUGCUUGUAAGAGAAUAUUCAAUUAUUUUUUGAACCAUGUUCCUCCCAUGUGAUGACAGCUAAUGUGCCUUGUUUGUUUGUGCUUUUUUAUAGAAUAACCUGAAGAAGCACGUGACAAGGACAAAUGGGGAGCAAAGUGAAGGUAUAAGAGUAAUUUACUAAGUUAUAUUACUAUAUUACUUUACAGCUGUAUUAGAUAAUUAUAUAGUUGUGUAUCACCAAACUAUAUUAAAUUAACUUAUUUAUUUAACGUUGCUUUAUUGGUAAUUUAUAAGGCCAAGUUCACGGAAUUACCUCAACUAUUUUGGAAAGCCAAGACAAUGACAUGGUCCAAGUAACUGUCUCAGGCCAAAACAUAACAAAGAACCAGCAGACUGCAUCUAACAAACGCAAGAUUGGCAAUCAAGCAGGGCCAUCAAAAGCAAAUGAAGUCAUUGGCAAGAGCAUGAAUGGGGUCAUAUCUGUAGCUCCAUGGGUAGGUGAACAGGGAAGAAAAGUAAUGUCAGCCGCUGGAUUAACCUUCAGCAAAGAGGAUGAAGUCGGCAACUAUACUGAAAUGAAGCAUUUGGACAAAGGGAAGGCACCAGCCUUCCCUUCGUAAAGGGUAAAACCAUAGUUUUCUAUUGAUAUAAAUUAAUAUUGGUUUUGGAAAUGAUAUUUAUAAUUUGUAACUUGUUUUGUAGUGAUUCUUUGGCUAUGAUGGAGACAUUGGCAGCAAACUUAUUAACAAACAGUGGAGGCAACAUUAUCAUUUUUUGACACCUUCCACAAUGCCACAUCAACCCACCAGGCACAAGGUUAAGGUUAUCUGGAUGCUGAUUUCAUUAGGAUCAAGUGGCCAAGUAAUGACCAGGCAUGUCAUUGUUUUCUUUUUCUUUUUUAUUUUGGAGCUGAAAUUGGUGGAAGUUGUUGGACAUUAAGCUUAAGCAUUAUAGAGCUGGAAGCUGUGAUGACCUACUAUAAGUAUGAUUGGAAGGGUUUAUGGCAUUUUGAAAGUUUUUGGGAUUAAGAUACAUAUAGGACUGAUAUCAACCAAACCAACACUUUUUUUUUUUGUUUUUUGGUCACAUGUAUGUAAACACCAGAUUGGAUGUGACUAACAUUGUAAGUUGCUGCCAAUAUGCAUUUAUAGAUAAAAUAACUUAUUGCUAUUAUUGAUAUCAUAUUUGAUUAAAUGGUAUAUGUCAAGAAACGAAUGCAUUUUAUUGAUCAUAAGAUUUCAUUUUACACAUUGUUCUAGCAUUCCUUACAGUACAAUACAAGCAAUACAAGUAUAGUUAUCACUAUAAUCGUGAUUUGAUACUUCUUAUUUUUAUGAAGUAAACCUUCAAUAUUGAUGAACCUGUUGUGGAAGUCCUCAAUGUUAAAUUGUUGAAUCUCACUUGCCCUGUCUGCAGCUUCUUCUUCAAACCUUUGUAACGCUGCUUCAAUUUCUAUAGCCUCACCUGUAGAUGGUUUCCACCAUCUAAAGAAACCACAAGAUGGGUCAUUAGGGCAUGUGUAAUAUAGUUUGUUGGGGUUUGUUUUUGAUUCUGACACUUUGAUUUCUGCCCUUCUUCGACAGUAGCAUACUGUGUUAUAGAACUUGAUGAUGCCCCCAUUGAUUUUAGGUAAAUCCCUUCUUCUGUUAUAAGUUGAUGAACUUGAUGCAUUCCUUGAAGUGGACAUUUUCUUCAAAUUUCCAAUGUCGUGUCUGUUAUAUUCUUUUUGAAAUACAGCACAACGUAUCUGAACUUCAAGUUGUUGUGCUUGUUUUGUGUGUGAAUGAAGCUGCUGUUGAAGUUGUAUUGUUUCGGUGGGUAAAACCAAAUGUUGUACUACUGUAAGUUGUUGCUGAGUAAAAAAAAUGGUGGAGUUUCCAGGUGAGUCAAUGAAAAUCACUGAGGUGUGAAGAGGGUAGGAAUUUAUAUGUGUUAAACAUCACAGCUUGUGGUGAUGCAUCAGCUCAAAUUUAUCAAUUUCUUUUACUGUUCUUGUAACCAUAUAGCCGUUAUUACUGUUGCUCAGAUUUUAUAGCCGUUGGAUUUUUGAUGCGCAUGGUAAUAAACCAAUAUGCUAAGGGCAAUAUAGUCAAUAUAAUUUAACAGUUAUAGUUGGUCUUCGUGUGUAAAUACACCUUUAAAUAAUGGCCAGUGGUAAAUUCCUUAGUUCAAUGACUCACCUGGAUGCAUUUGAAUUCAACGCAAGGGUAUAUUUGUCAUUUAAUCAAAAUAUAGACUGAUCCGUUACAAUUAACUAAAAAAUAAACAGAAAUGGGUGCGCGGUGCUCAUAGGCAAAAGAAUUGGGUGCGUUGUGCUGUAUGUCAAAACAUUUGGGUGCGGGGUAAAAAUUACCCUUUGGAUUAUGAUUUGAGGGUGCAAGUAUUUACCUAGAGUUUACCUCCGCACUAAAUUCUUAAGUUUUGAAAAUUAUGAGACCUUUAUAUUGGGAGAUAUUGUAAUCGAAUCAAAACUUAAAUUUUUUAUAAUGUUAAUAUUUAAUCUUUUAAAAAACAAUAACCUCGCCGUUACAGUUUGGAUUAAGAUUUGAGUAAGUAUUUACCUAAAUUUUACCUCCGUCUGUAAAUUCUUAAGUUUUGAAAAUUAUGAGACCUUUAUAAUCGAAUCAAAAUUUUGAAUUUCAAUAUUAUUAUUCUUUAAAAAAAAUUUUGAGAUAACAGAGUGAUUGAUAAUAUAGGAGAACUUGUCUAGGCAAGCACAUGUAUACACAGAAACGUGAUGGAUUCAAAAAGAAAUUAAAGUGAUAAUGCGAAAUCGCUUGGUGGCCCAGUAAAAUUACGACUGAAUUUUUUUUUUUUUUUUUACAAAAUUCAAGCUCAUAAAUGACAAAUUUCAUUUCCCUUUCACACGUCAUUAACUUUUGUAACAUGGUGUGUGCAUCGUCAAGUGAGGCAAAAGGGUUUCAAUUACAGUUGGAAAACAUGAACAAGAAUGCAUAAUGAAUAAUUCCUUCGAUAAACCGAAAAUUAAGCACAGAAUAAUCCUAAAAUUUAAACUCUAAUAUCUUAUAAUGUAUUGAUUAAAAAUAAUCCUAAGAGCUCCCAAUUGAAACUUUCAUAAGUAUUUUAAUUGUUUUGGAUAAACAAAUUGCACUAGGAUAAAAAUUUGGCAAAUUCAGAGGAUAAUGGAAAAUAGUUAUGCUUCAAUAGGCCAAAGAUUAGAGAACAAAUAAGAAUUAUUUAUUGAUAUACAAAAGAGAAACACUCCAAAAUUUCAAGCAAAAAUAGUUUCAUAUAUCAUUUCGAUUUUGAAAGGGAUGAGAUUUUGAACUUCAAUAGUUUCCUCUAAAAUUAAAAGGUAGCAAUUAAGCUAAAAAGAGCAAUGAAGACUUAUUGGUACCUUAUUAAAGGUAAACAUUAUGGAACUUUCAAUGUCAUUAUCUCACUGUUCAAUUUUUAUUGAGAUUUGUGUAAGCAUUUACCUAAAUCUUACCUCCGCCUUUAAAUUCAUAAGUUUUGAUUAAUUAUGAGACCUUAUAUUGGGAGAUAUUAUAAUCAAACUAAAACUUAAAAUUUCAAUAUCAUUAUUCUUUAAAAAGAAAUUGAGAUAUCAGAGUAAUAUCACAUAGAAAAACUUGCCCACGGACGGUAAGCCAAAAGUCUAGUCAACCACACGCAUAAAGCUAACUAGAACAAGAGAACAGAGAAACGCGUGGGUCCCUAAAAGAAAAGGCAAGCACAUAAAUAACUUUCAAAAUGCCCAAGCAAAUACCGAUGAAAAUCACUGUUUAAGAAUAAUUUAUUAUGUGGUUGAAGCUUUCUUUUUAUCAAUCUUCUUUCUACCCAUUAAUUUUCCCACGACUUUCCCGUUUCAUUUCUUGAAUCUCCAUGGAUUAACUUUCAAUAAACCAUAAAAUAAACUAAGGAAUCAUUUUCUCGAAUACAGCUAUGAUUUUAAUAAAUGGGCGGACCAUCUAGAAUAGUAUAUAUAAUUCUGUUUAAUUAAUAAGUUGAAAAAACCAUCAAGAGAAAUUCUAAUAUUAUGAGCUUGACACGAAUUCUUCACUAAUUCCAAAACAAGGAGCUGUUUUAUAAGAACUGUGGUUGGAUUAUUAAGUUUUACAAUUUGAAUAUAAAUAAGAAAAUAAAAUCAGUCGCGUUGAUGUUUUCGAUACAUUUCGCUGCUAACUUUUUUUUUUUUUUUAUUACAUGAGACUAUUGCUCAAAUUACAACUCAUAUUACAUGAGAAUAUAACUGAUAUUUACAAAUCAGACUAUAACUGGGACCAAUAUACAUCAAUACUAAUGGAGCGCUGCCCAGAUUUUAACCCUCUCAAAUAUUCAAGGGAUGUCUACACCUCACACUUGGGUAAGGAAACAGACUGUCUUCACUUAAAUUUACUUGAGGAAUGAAGACCCCCACAAUACAUUGUGGGGGUUCACCACUCGACCAAAGGCCGAGUGGCUCAUUUCGCUGCUAACUUAAUUAAUUACUUUACUUCAACUUUAUUUCCUUAGGGGCACUUUAUGGUGGGUCCAAGAUGGGACCUACAAUAAUCAAUCCUAAAAUUUAGUAUGGUUACCAAAUAGCUAGUAGCUAGUGUUAUUUUGUGUUUGGUGGAAGAGAUUGAAUAUUUAGUUUUAACUUAACCAUUCAACUAAUUAGAAAAUAAAUAAAAUUAAAUGAAAUGUUUAGAUAUCAAUUUAAAUAUUAAUAUCGGGGAUAUAAAUUAGUUAUAAUAUAGUUCAUUACAUAAAAUUGAUUAAAUUAAUAAUUACCCGUGAACAUAGAUGUAUAUGCUUUCCAAUUUCCAAAGUGCUCAAAGCACUUUUCUCACCAAACUUUCCUCUGAAUUUCCCGUAGCUGACUCCUUUGUUUGCGUUUUGUGAAAUUUCUAGGAACUUUUUUCGAUUUAGAAUAUUGUACAUUUUUCUUUUCAGCUGAGAUUAAUUUAACUUAUAGAAAAUCUUAUCCUUUUUUAAUAUUAUUUAAAUAAAAUUUGUCUAUCUUUUAUUUUAUUAGUCUACUUUUUACCCAUUAAUUAAGACUUUUCAAUUUCUUUUUUACCUGAGGUUUUCAGUGACUAUCUUUCAAUAAACCAUAAAAAUUACUUAGUCAUUUAUCGAACAAUUAGAUGACCAUAUUUCAAAAUAUCAACUAGAAGUUGUCCUGAAAUAUUUAAUUAAUAGUUGAAGAAUUGUGAUUAGUGUGGGCAUCUACAUAAAAAUUAUAUUAAAACACCGCUAAAAGAUAAAAAUAAAAUAAAAUAGUACAAACAUACACCCAUAGGUUAAAACAAAGAAAAAACACGAACCAAUACACUAAAAUGUUUUAGCUGUAGUUAGUUUUCAGUUUCAUUACUUAAGUCCCACGUGCAUGUCACGUGACUGAGGUCAAAAAAUGAUUGUCACAUUAAAGUUCAAAAUACGGAGCAGGGUAAUUAAGGAGUGGAGCUAUUGGCACCCCUCCAUUAUUCUUACAAAACUCCACUUUAAAUCAAAAUAUAAUUAAGAAUAAUUGAAAAUUAAACACUUAUAGAUUUCUUUACAACAUGUUGAGUGAUAAAAAAGCACCAGUCGGGCAUGUCCCCAUUUCUUACCCGGUGCCGAAUCUCCACGGUCGAAUGGUAUGAGUAGACUCUUGGUGAUGUCUUCUAUGUGGAGCACGUAACAACAGACCAGGAACUAGUACCAACCAAAAACGAGUACUGAUCGAAACAAGCAUGACCAGAAACGCAUACCGACCAGAGACUUGUGGGUCCGUAAAAGAAAAGGCAAGCACACAAAUGAAAAAGCCAUUACAUUUCUAUUUUACAUGUCAUUCCUAAUUUUUGUAACACGAUGUGGCAGCAUAUGCACAAUCAAAUGAGGCAAAAGGGAUUCGACUAUCGUGGCAGAACAUGGACGAGGACGCGUGAUGAAUAAUUCCUUCGAUAAAACGAAAAACAAACGCAGAGAAAAGAAUUUCUUAUAUGACAAGAAAUUAAAGUAAUGUGACGGAACAUGAUGAAGAAAUUGCAGAUCGAUCAAUUAUCCCCAUGGACUCCUAUAAAUUCAACCAAAAUAACAAUUCCAAUAUUACCAAAUUCUUGAGUUAAAUUUAUUCAAUGCUUUUUUUUAAGAGAAAUUUUUUCCAAUGCUACUUUCCCUUUUUUGGGGAAAUUAGAACUGCGGCAUGUAUAGAAGACAUUGAGGUAUAAAGCAACAUUAAUUUCAUGGGUUAUGCGUUAUACGCAUAAUAUAUUUUCAGUCCAAAUUCAACUAUGCAAAGAGGCUUGAGAACUUAAAAUUAAGCACAAACUAAACAGACGAAGUAAAUACAUGAUUAUGCAACAUAACAUUAAUUCUCUUAAUUUAUAACCGUUUUGCCACAUGAAUCUUGCACAGUUAAUCCUAAUUGAAGACUAAAAAAGAACAAUUGGAACAAGGUUUUGAAAUAGAAUGAUAGACAAUCGAUAUGAUCCAUUUCCAGUCGUCAACGCUAAUUAACUGCAGUUUCUAGACUCCUAAUUAUACUAGCCAUAAGAAACUGUUUAGAAAACUGGUGAUCAGAUUAGAUUUUGAAAUGAAAUAAUGUUCAUUUUCCCUUCGUUACCCUUUUAUUUAUUUAUUAUUUUUAUACCAAAGAAUUCUAUCAUGAAACGAAUCAAUUUAAUCACCUUUUCCAGCAGCACAAUUUUUCUUUUAUAAAAUUUGACCACAGAGACAAAGAAGAAUUAUUCAUACCUUCAUCAGUAAGGAAAUACUUUUCGGUAUGGCUAGGGUGAGAAAAGGCUUUCCACAAACACUUGUACUUUGUAUUCCUGUAAAUUUUCUUUAAAGUCAAUAAAAAUCAUAAGUUCUUUACAAUAACCAUCUCUUUGAUAAAAAAAGUGCCGUAUUCCUUUAGAAUUUAAAACCGGCAAAAUCGAAUCAGUGUCUUUGAAGAGACAUAAUGGUCAUAAUUCUUUAAAGAGUUGGCUAUGGAAAUCCUUAUCCAAGAUUCUUUUACGCCAUAUUCUUUCGUAAACCAAAAUUCAUUUUGGAAUACUCUGUUGAGAAUGUCAAAUAAAACGGUAUUGAAGGAAGUUUUCAAAGGCAGAAUCCGCACUUGUCAAAGGGAUGAUCUGCAUUUGUCAGAGACACAAUCUGCGUCGAAUGAAUCGACACAUUUCCUUUUGUAUUCGCAUAUGUAAUUUUUGAAAAAAUGUAGCUUCUGCAUCUAUAAAUAACGCUCAGUGUAUAAUGUUUUAUUCAAAAAAAGAAAACAAGUUUCUUCAUACUCGUCGUCCGAACAUACAGAGACCGUCUCUCAUAACUUCAGCCGAAUACUUAUGAUGAUGAUCAUUUGUGAUUUCAUCAGGCAUAGGGUUGAUGGUGAAAAAUUUUGUAUGUGUGAAGAAUUGAGCUGUGGAUAUAGGGGACUUAAGUGUAAUCGAAAGAGAGUUAUUAGGCCAUAGUGUAGAUUGCAUUCAGUUUAUGAGUCGAUAUGCAAAUAAUUUGUUGACGUGGCGAAAUUUGUUAUGGUCGUUACUAUUGUUUCUGGAAAUUUUCUAGAAACCUCAGCAUAAAAGGGGCUUUUGGAUAGCCUCUGGUGUGCGUGUGAUUUCUCUUUCGUUUCCUCAUCAAAUUCUGUAAUUCUUGCUUUGAUAAAAAGCUUGUAAUCUCUUCUGUAAUUGUGAUCAGUGCGUAAUCAUUUUGAGCGAUAAAAGCUUGUAGGUUUUUCCUUCAAACAAUGUCGUUUUGGUCAGUUUGUUAGUUUGAUCUGUUGGUGGAAUUUUCUUUGGUUAUUUGUUCUCAAAUUUCAACCUUAUAUAAAGUUUGAACUCUAAUGGCUUAUAAUGUAUUGAUUAAGAAUAAUCCUAAGAGUUUCCGAUUGAAAUUUUUAAUGACUAUUUUUAUUGUUUUGGAUGCACAAAUUGCAUUAAGAAAAAAUAUUGUCAAAUUCAGAGGAUAACGGGAAAUAAUUAUGCUUCAAAAGGCCAGAGAUUAGAGAAUAAAGAAGCAUUCAUUACUGAUAUAAAAACUGCUUCUAUUUGGAUUUUGAAAGGGGUGAAGUUUUGAACUUCAGUUGUUCCUCUAAAAUCAAAAGCAAUAAUUAAGCAUUCUCAAUUAGAAAGAGCAAAGAAGACUUAUUGGUACCUUACUGAAGCUAACAUUAUGGCACGGUUGUUCAUAUGUAAUGGCUGCUCUGUUAUGCUAGCUUCUCUGUUUUUGCUUCUAUUUUUGCUUACAGUUUUGAAGAUAAAUUCUUGCUCAAAUAACACAUAAUUAAAUAACACUAAUAUGGCUCAUGAAAUCCUAUAAUAGCUAAUUACGCAACUUUCUCCUCCUCCUCAAUUCUGUCUUCCCCUGCUCGGACACUAACUUCAAAAUUCAAUGCCCCGAAAAACAACACAAGAAAUCUUUGAGUUAGUUCGUGACCAGUUUAUAUAUAGUAGCAAUUGAAAAAAGAAAAAGAAGAAAAGAGUUAAUUAUUUUUCAGACCUUCACUUAUUAGGAAGUUUGUUCUGCUAUUGGGUGAGAUCAAGCUCUCAGCAUAUACUUCCACAUGAUACUUUCUAACAUUUUCUUGAAAGCCAUCAAUCAUUAAAUCUUCAUACUUUUUUCCAUCCUUUGGAUCAAUAAGUACAAAUUUCUCAUCUAAAAAAGACAAAAUAAAAUCACUGUCCUUCAUGGAAUCAGAAUUGAGCUUACAAAAACCGAAGUGGACAGUUCCAUUCAGAUUGGUCGCCCGAGAACAAUGAUGAGAAGACUUAAAAUCAGUUUCAAAGGUUUUCCAAGUAUUGUUCCUCUAAACCACUUGUAUAUUUUACCAGAACUCUUGGUUAAGAAAAUCCUAGUCCAUGGAGUAUGAUAUAUCAAUCAUGCAACAAUGACCUACAACAUCUAUGUGGAUUGAUUUUUGCAAAAUAAAGAACAAUGCUGACUGAGGAAUAAGGUGCAUACCCGAUUAGCAAUAUCUCAGCAAGUAACCAACAAUUUUUUAUCUGAUAAGAAAAAAUUACAAUUUCUUGAAUAUACAUGAAACAUUUUGCAGAAAGAACCAUGUCAUAAUUAUUAGUCCAACUGAAGAAUUAUCAAUACUUAUCACAUGAAACGAAAGAUACCCGAGUUCACUUAAUGAAAUUCUCUUUUUUUUUUCUCUAACAUUGAGAUAAGCAAAAACUUUUAACUAAAGACAAUCAUCUAGUGAUCUCAAACAAAUGAGGUUAGUAUGAAACCAUCAUAAUUUGUUCGCUCAUUGCCUAAUUUUAUUAAUGCAAGAGCCUGGAAGCAACUCAAAAAGAAAAUAACCGACAUAGGAAGUGUCAUCUCAUAUCUCACCAAUGAAUGGGAACAGCUUGAUGUGGCUGAGCAAACUGGCAGAAUUGUCAUUUUAACACACGUUCAAGAAACUCAGCAAAUUCUCAUAUCUGUUUAAAUUCCACAGCAAAGAUAGUUACAAGAAAUCUAAUCAAAAUUUAAAAUGUCAGAAGGCAAAUCUUCCAAUUAGGAUCAAAAGAAGAUAAUUAUAAUUUGUCAUUUCAAUUCUGAAUGUACAAUUUUAUUUUUUUAUGUGUGCAUUAAUUAAGAUUCUACCUUCUCUGCAAAAUUGUGAUGGACUUGGUAAAUAAUGAAUUGUAUCGACUUGAAUUUUAUACAACUUAUUGAGAUAAUAAUACGCCAAAUUCAACACCGUCCAUCCCAAAUCACAACAAGAAACUCAAACUUUUAUCCCCUCAAGUGGGUUCUUGAAACUGAAGCUUUAGUGCCAGUACAAUUUUGAAAGAUUGUGAUCAAACUAAAACAUCAAAUAAAAUAAGACGUAACAAAAACACGUCUUCAGAAAAUUAGUAUAGGAAUAAGAUAAGCUACACAGACCUACUUCAAUGAAUUAGAAAAAUUAUGAUAAACUUGAUGCAUUUCGAAAAACAACAAACAAAUAUUCCCAGGAAAACAAAAAAAAGACAACUUUGUUUAAGCUUAGACAAAAAUAACUAAGGACAUAUGAAUGCAUCAUAAUAGUAUCUCUAUGGGUAAUUUUCAGAAAUCUCCCCUAAGGUAUGGUGUAUUCUUAGUUUGAUAGAAAAUAUCUAAGUAUUCUUAUAGACCUCCCCUACUGUUAGUAUUCCAUUUCGUAUAUGUUAGGUAGAUGAGGGUAAGAUCGUAAUUUGAAUAAGUUAAUGAUAAAAAAUCCAGAAAUUUUAAGAUUUUCACAUUGGCCUCUGGGCUUUAUUCAUCUCUUUCAUCCACCAAAACCAGAAAUACAACUCACCUCUCUCCUCCACCUAAAUCGAAGCAAGGUAGCUCAAAACUCAUUUCAAAAAAUUGAUCAAUUACUUGGGUCACAAACUAGAGACAAUGACGACGAAGUUGAUGACGCCAAUAUCGACGACGAAGCUGAUGACGCCAAUAUCGACGACGAAUGAUUCGCAACUGCCAGGUAAGAGAGUAUAGUAGGUUUCGCCAUCGAACGCCCAAUCAUCCAGUUGUUUUGGAGCCGCGUUAUUUUUAUUAGCUAAAAUUAGAAUUUUUAGUGAAAAAUUGAAAGUGGGUCUCAAAAUUUUUUGAGAGCGUAUAUGUUUCUCCUGAUUUUUCGAUCGAUUCGUGUUAGUUGCAGUUAAAUGAUUAAUCCAAUUCGUGUUGAAGAUAGAGCUAACUCGAAUAUCUCUAUAGUCCUGUAAUUGAUUGAAAAUGGGUCUUGAAAAUUGUUUUAGAUUUCAGCUGUGUGCUUCUGAUUUUUUCCAUGGAUUCAUGAUAGAUGAAAAUGGUUGAUGAAGAUUUGCUUGACAUGUAUAUAGAUGGUAUUUUGUUAAAGGGGUUUUAAUUUUUUCCUUUUUUGGUGGUUUCGAUUGUGGUAUUUACAUGCCUUAGGUUGAGAAAAACGAAAAUGGUUUGUUGCACUCUUUUGUGUUGGAUCAGUGAGUUUAGGCGAUUUGAAAUGGUUUGCGGCAUUCAAUUGAUUGUUUUAUUUAUGUGGUUUGAUAUGGGAAAAGUAUAAUAAAAUUCAAUUGUUCCAUAUGUCAAUUUGGAUGUUUUGAAAUUAUGAACUACAAAAAGUUAAAAUUAAUUUCUUAUUAUAUUUUCAAUUGAAAGUUACUAUUGUCUUCUUUUUAGUACUUAGUAUGCAUUUUUCCCCAUCUUCUAGUGGUGGUGUUGCACCCAUUUUGAAUUUGAUCGGCAUCUUCUUCUGUACAUGCAUGUUUCUUGGACUCCAAUUUUUGUUUCAUAUGAUGAAGCUAAUUUAAUUCCUCCUUUUUAAUAUCAACUUUGUUCAUCUAGGUUUGCGAUUUUGAUCUUUCUCAUUUGAAGGCAAACACAUUUAUGUCAUCAAAAUUUCCAAUAUUUUUUAUUUUAUAGUAUCCAAACUGCUUAUGGCAAUAUGAAAUUGAGAAUAUUUCUUUCAUCAUGUUAACCUAAGUGGAUGGUGGAUGAUGUUUGUGUAAGAGAUUUAAGUUAUUUGUAUUAUAGAAUAUGUCUUAUGUUUUGAUUUGCAAUUUCACCAUUAAAUUGGCUUUGUAAAUGAUUAGAAGCUAAAUGCAUAAAAUGAAAACAAUAGUAACAUUUCUGAGUGGGGUAUAAUCAGAUGCUAACAUGGCGAUCCAUGACUUGUAAUUUCUAUUGUCGUUAUAAUUGGACUAGAUCGAGGUAAACUGACUUUUCUUGUUCUGUUUUUUUUUUCAUUUCUUUGUUCUAGAUUUUUCUUUCUUUGUUUUACUUCUGGUUUCUUCUUCAGCAUAUUCAAUAACUAGCAUGAGCAAAUGGAGAGGAAAAGGGUAGAAUAUGCUUUUAAAAAAAAAGAAAAGAAAAAAAGAGAUAGCUCUAAUUCAAAAAUAAGGAGGAGAAAAGGGCAAUGAUUGAAGUUGUGGAGAAGAAAUUCUUAAUGCAUAGGAGAUGACAACAAAGUGUUGCAACUGGGAGCAGUUUUAAAGUGCUAUUCGAUUGCUUUUGUAAUCAAAUUGUCUUUUGUACCUAUUUAUACACACACAUAUUUGUAUUUGUAAUUUGAAUUUUACAUUUUCUCAAGACAACUAUGUUUAUUUUAAAAAAAAUCUAAAUGUAACUAAAAUAUUAAAGUUUUUGUACUUAUUACUCCAUUUGAUGAUUUUUUUUAUUUUUUUGCUGACGAAUAUUCCAUGUCAAUUUUUUUCCCUUCAGCUCGUUUAAGGUGUUUUAUUGUCUGAUGUGAUAUUUGGUGCUCGGGAGGAAGGGUGUUUUAAGUCUUUUUUGGUGUCAGGGGCAAUUUUGUCUUUACAUCAGUCAACAAAUAGUCAAUGGAUGGAAAUGCAAACAGCAGGGGAGGUGUCUGAUAAUACACGGAUACUUUCUAUCAAACUUAUAAUACACAAAAUCUCAGGGGAGGUUUUUGAAAAUUACCCAACUGUGCAAAAUUAUGAAAAAAAUGAGCUAAACAUAUAUAGCAUUUCAGAGGAGUGCUUACUUGACAAAUCACUAAUACAAAGCUGCGAAUGGGCAUUCGGAAUGUUUUGAGAGACUCGUAUGGAUAAAAUAUGUAGUUAUUUAAGUAAUGACAGAAGGAGAAUCGUGUGGCUUGUCAAAGCCGUUAGCUCCAUCUCAUUUGCCUCGUCCUCUCGUUUUGUUUCUGUGGGGACAUAUUUGAUAUUUUGGAUUUUGUCUAAAAUUCGUCAUGUUUUUGGAUACUAACAUCUGCGCCUCUAGACCAAUAGCCAUUUGAUUAAGUGGGAGAACCCUUACACUAGUGUAAGAAUUUGAACUUUUAUAAAAUUAUUUAUGAGAUUAUUUAUAAUUUUUUUUAAUUAUCAAAUAAUUGAGUAGAGUCAGUUUAAUCCUUACGAAAUAUUUACUAUUCAUAAAUAUCUUUUUUUUUCUCUAUCUUACAAUUGAAUAUUCUCUCUCUACUCCAACAUUAUGUAACCUAAAUAUUUAAUUUCACUCUUUUUUAAUUUAUUUUUUUGUCUUUUCUUAGUAUAUUAUAAUCUUUAUUUCAUGUUUUCUAUAUAUAAGAAUUUUUUUAUAUCUAUUAAAUUUUGUGUUUAGUGAAAAUUAAUUUCUUGAUAUUUUUAAUUUUUAUAAUUGAUAAAAAUAUAUCAAUGUUCAUUUUUAAAUGAUGGGUUUUGUUCAUUUUAGUUUGUUAUAUUAAUUUUUUGUAGGUAAAAGAAUAUAUUUGAAUGAAUUGAAGGAAAAUUGUGAAAUUGAGAAGAGAAAGAGAAGAAAAAGUUAAUUAAAUAAUUUUUUCAAAAAUUAUUUAAAUAAUAAAAUUCUUAAUUAAAAACAAAGAUGGAGAGAGAAAUUUAGUGGGUUCAAAAUACUUAUUUUAAAUCCAAAAAAGAACCAAUAAAAGAAAUCAAAAGAUGAUUCUUUUCUUUCUGACAUAUUUCUCUGUACUUUUCUCUCUCUACUGAUUCACAAUUUUUCAUACUUCUAACUAUCAUUUUAUUCAAGUAUUUUGUAUUUUUAAUGACAAUUAUUUAAUUUUUAGUUAGUUUUGAUAUUGAUUAGAGAUUUAAAGUGUAUUUUAGAAGACUUCCGGUCUCUUGAAAAAAGGAAAAAUGGAGAAGAAGAAGUGUUCUUGAUUUUUUGUAGGCGUUAAAGUUAAAUGGUUUGAAAUGAUAUUCUUUUUUAAUUUCACUCAUUAAUCUCAUUCAAGAUAAAAUUAUAAAUGCAAAUAAAUGGGGUUUCAUAAGUAUUUUUAAUAGUGUUAAAAGGUCUACUCACUAAAUAAACAUGUUUAACCCAAACCAAUGCGAUUAGUAAGUUAUUGGGUUGGGUUAAUCAGGUUAAAAAUCAAAAUUAAAAAUUAAAUAAAUAAAAAAGGUAUAAAAACUAUCUGUUACUUGAAAAUAAAAAGAAUUUCUAAUUGUUAGUUCUAAUGUCCCAUAUCCAAAACAUGCAUAUUAAAUAAAUAUUAUAAGUUAGAAAUACAAUAUCCAAGAAAGAAUGAAUGAAAUACCAUAUUUUUGUUGAGAAUUAAGAGUGUGAUUUUAAUUUUGAUAUUGGAGUCUAAAGUGCCACGUUUAAAUAUUCUCUUUUAUAAAAUAAUAAAAAGAGGUUAAAAAUUAGGUUAGCAAUUUAGCCAUUUAGGGUUUAGCAAUUAAGGAUGAACAUAUUAUUGUUGUUGUUGUUAUUAUUAUUAUUAUUUAUAUGUUUACUAAUCCAAUCCAAUCCAAUUAUUAACGAAUUUGAAAAAAUUGAUUCAAUCAAGCCAUAAUAAUUCAUUCAACUCGUCUAAAUUGGAUUAGGUUGAAUUUGGUUUGCCACCCUUGUUUUGAGCAACAAACCUCAAUGUGAUUCCAUGAGCUCUUUGAUUGUUUAUAAAAUUGUUUAUGAAAGUGCAAAAUAAAUUAUUGUAUACAUUAAAAUGUGCAAAACAAUGAAUUAUAUGUACGAACGAGUGCAAACACAUUUUUCAAUAAGAAGUUAAAAGAUAUUUAUGCAUGAAAAAGCCUACGUUUGUAGUUAUUCUAAAUUUUAAAAACAAAAUUUACAUUUAGAUCCCUAAAAUUUACGUAUAAGUACAAAAGUUUCAAAUAUUGUCUAUUAUUUUUUUAACAUGCCUAUUCCUUGUGGAUAAUUCUAUCUCAUCACUAAUGUUGUUUCUUGCUUACAAUUUGUAUAGUGUCUCAAAAUAGACAAUAGGGGGAUUUUGAAUUUUUUAAGUCUCAAUAUAGUCUCUAAUCUUGUGAGAAAGAUUUUCUUUCAAUAAUUUGGAGGUAAACAUAACAUAACUUUUUGGACUAAAGCCUAACUCUGCUGGUUAUGGUGGUAUCCUUUUCAAGACCUGCGUCUUUAGAUUCGAGUUUUAUAGUGUGCAUGCGUAUUUAAUUAAUAAUUUUUUAAAACAAUACAUCAAAUAUUAAUAUCCAUGACAUAAUUUAGUUCUUAAUUUUUUUUUUAAAUACAUCAAAAACAUAAUUUUUUUAACAACUUAUAGGCAUGACAAAUUUCAAGAUAUAAAUAUCAGUCAAAAUAAGUGAAAGAAAUAAUGGUGCCAAUUCUAAUUUCUUAACUAAAUUAAUUAGUGCAUGAGCCCCGAAUACGACACGAGAGUUUGAUGGGCUAACAUGGCACAAGAACCUGAAUAAAUAAUUGAUUUAAGAAAUAAUUCAAUGAAAAAUAUAAUUGAUAAGAAUUCAGUAUUGAAAUGAGUUUUUUAUGAAACACUGAAUUAAUGAUUAUUAAGCAAGAACAAUAAAAAAUAAAUAUUAAUCAUUGAUAAGUUUCAACAAAAGCUUAACACAAUCCUCAAUCCUAAUUCAAAUUAUAAAUGUCAUUCAUAUAUUCAUUAUAAUCAACAACAAAGGUUAUAAAUGUUUAGAAAUUCUAGAGGGAAGGAAGCUAUCGCUGGGCAAUCAACAACUAAAUUUGAUGUAAUUGUGGCACGAGAUGGAAUAUGGAAACUACACCAUAAUUUCAAAUGCCGCCAUAGACAUUGACUUAUCUACAAUAACAAUGAUCUAAUUAAAAUAAAAAUAGAGUUUAUGGGCAUUUAUUAAAAUAAAAAUAGGAGUGAAGUAAAAACAUUUAGAUUUUAAUGUAUGUACGGAAAAAUUUAUCUUUAAAAAUACUUUCUUAAUGUGUGUGUGCAUAUUGAAAUACUCAAACCAAUUUUGGUUAUAUAUAAUUCAACAAAAUUUAAAAUAUGAAAAAUAUAAUGUAGUUAUAGUGGAUAAGCAAUAAGUGAGCACAAUAUAAUUAAUCAAAUACUAUGCUAUCAAAAGUUAAUUUUAGAAAUUCCAAAUCCAAUAGCUAACACAAUUCUUUAAAGAAAUAACAAGGGGCAUUGGGCAAGAGUAAUGAAUGCUUAGUGGGUGCAUUUGAUUGAUAGAUAUAUAAAGGGCCGAAACUUGAUAUUAUAUUACUUUUACAAAAUUUAAUCCAAUCACAUAUUUAAUGAAAACAAAAUGAGUUAGGAUUGUUUAUUUAGAACCCACAUUUUAAUAAGGCUUCAUUUGAUGUAGUUUUUCAAACAUUGAUUAUUUGAGUAAUUACAAAGUACAAUACGUACCAAGUUUGGUAACUUAAUUGACAUCUUCUCAUAUAACCUUCGAUCAAGUCGAUUCUGACCUGACGACUAAUUGGUACAUCACCGUUGUUCUCUAUACUCGCAUGCAUCCGAUCACAAAUCUCACUCCAAUUGUCGUCUUUCUUCGGCGUUUUAGCGCAUCCUUCUUGAAUUUCCCGCAUUUCGUUCCCUCCUGUUACAAGUCUCCGGUCAGGUCAGUUCACUUGACGAUUAAUUCGGCAAAUCUCGAAUCUCUUCUCUAUCCCUCUCGUUUUCUCGUGUCUCCUUUCAGUUUAAGUGAUUGAAUCAAUUUUAUCGCAGUCUUAAGAGAAAUUAAGUAAUGCUCUUGGAUUUAAAAUUUUUUUGCUUUCGACUUUAGAUCUCGAAAGUCAAACUCUGCUACGAAUCCAUAGAUUCUCAAUGUUUAUAAUCUUAUUUGUGUUUGACCAGGUAACUGGAUCGUGAAAUUCGUCGUUUUGUAUCAAUUCAAGCUUUCGCGAGCUCAUGGAAUCCCCUGGUGAGUUGUGGUGAAACGUUAUCGUUUCAAUUUUCGCUUAAUUCUUUAUUGCAUAUUUUUUUCUCUCUAAUAUUUCAGUUUAAUUUAGAAAAGAAAGAGGACCCAAAAAGAGAGAGAGAGAGAGAGAGACUCUACCAUACUCAAUUCCUUGCUCAUUCUGAUUUGGCCUGAAUGUUGGCAUUGACUAUUAUUUGUUUUCAUUUCGAUUUAAUUCUCAUUUAGACAGUCUUUUUUAACUAGCAAUAAUCUUUUUAAGGAAAAUGAUAAUAGGGAUUCUGCAAUAAUCUUUUUAAGGAAAAUGAUAAUAGGGAUUCUGCAAUAAUCUUUCUGCAUUGUUCAAGUUAGUAGACAAUGAAUAGGGUGUUUAUGUUUACCUCAUUUUGAACCCUGAGGGCUUCGUUGAGUAGUUGAUCCAACAUAUCCAGCACCGGUUGAUGUGAGAACAGGAUGCCAUUUAGAUAGGCUUAAACUGAUUUUGGAGGUUUGUAUUCAUUCUAUUGUAUGUCUUGCUUACAAAUUUUUUAUUUUUUAUUUUUAAUUUUGUAUAAUAUGCUCUUUGUUGGUAAAUCUCAUUUGACUUAGAAGAGAUAGUUUUAUCCCAACAGUGGGAUAAAUCAUUGAGAUGCAUGGCAGUGUGAAUAUAGUAGACAAAAUCAUUGAGACAGAUGGUGGUGUGAACAUAGUAAACUUUGUCAAACACAGCUAAGAUAAACAAAUUGUUUCAUUAGCCUUUAUCUUAUCUGCUGUGAUGAUUCAAAUUAAUGCUGUUUGGUAGGUUGCAAAAAACGAAAUGAGCUGACUGUUCAUAUUAUUUAGUCAGAUCUAUUGCAAUAAGUUGAAGUUCACUGUCACAUGGGUUGGGAGUAGCGUGGGCUGUGAGUAGUAGAAUGGAUUUAUGGAGUUGAUACAAGUGCCCAUAAUCUAUCAUGUCAUUCUAGGAUUAAAUGGAUUGCACAUUACUGUAAAGAUGGAGGUUAAAUUUAUAUAAUUCGGAUUGAUUGUAAAAUGGGAGGCAGAGAUGAGUUAGAAAAAAAAUGACCUGUGUCCUUUUUGAGCUGUUUCUAAAUCUCCCUGGUGUGCUUCAUGCUUAACACGUGUCUGUCCAAAUAAUUUUGCUUAACCUGUGCUUGUCUACUUCUUGUGCUAUUCUGUGCCUGGUCCUGAGCUGUGUUGGUAGAUUGACAUAAUUUUGCUCUGCUAAAUGUAUAACUUAUUAAUCAGAGUCCUGUUAUUAUGGUUUGACACUACUGACAUGUUGUGUUGGUAUUUAUUUGUACUUCCCUUGGUUGAAUUAUUUGCUGUCUCCAUGCCAUUCGAUAUGGUGCUACUUGGUUUUUGAUCAUCCAUGACGCUAUAUAUAUGUAAAGGAUGAAUUGAUUGUUUUGGCUUGUAUUCUCACAUUUUAUGAUUGAUCGAUGGAAAGGUCUUCAUGUAUUAAAUUCAACCUCACAAGCGUAAGAUUGACAGAUUGUGGGAAAAUUUUCAGGAAAAGAAACUAGACUUCAUGGAAGCAAUGAAGCUUGAAAUUGAACGUCUGCAGCUGCAUCUUUCUGCAGCUGAAAGGGAUAGAGCUUUAUUGUCAAUUGAAACUGAUCCUGCCUCUAUAAAUCCAAAUGUAUUGCUUGAUGAAUCUUACAUGGGAAGACUGUCGAGUAGCAACCACUCUUGCAUUACUUGGCCAAACUUCCCUAGAAGACAAAAUUGUUGGUGCAAUUGGCCUUGAGAAUAGUGAUGAUAGUGUUUUAGACUUCUGGAAUAUUACUAGAAUCGGAGAGAGUUGUUCUGGUGGCGGGUGCAAGGUUUGUGCAGAAACUAAGGUGCCUGCUCUUGCUUCCUCAACUGCAACAUCUGUUGGAGCUUCACAAUCCCCUUUGUUGUGUUCUCAAUGUGAAAGAAAAGUUUGCAAAGUUUGUUGUGCAGGAAGAGGAGCUCUACUGUUUUCAAAUUAUAAAUCAAGGGAUGUGACCAACUACAAUGGCUUCUCAAGUCAGAGUGGAUGAAGCCAUGGAAGCCAAGUUGAUGUAUCUACCAGUCGUUCACUAACACUGGAUGGCGUUAUCUGUAAACACUGCUGCCAUGAGAUUGUGCCUGAUGCAUUGAUGUUGGACCAUGUUAGGGUCUUGAUUAGCUUGCGAAGAAGUUCCUGUGCAGACAACGCAGUCAUACAAUGCUUUGAAUGAGGUUGUUGGAUCCUGCUUAAAGGAUAGUGUUUCUGAAAGGAUUCAGUCUUCCGAUAACGUGCAAGCUGCUGAAGUCCUUCACCAAUUAUGUGGUGGACAGGAAUCACUUGCUGAAUUUCCAUUUGCUAGCUGUUUGCACUAGGUAUGUUCUUGGUUUGUAUUCAGUUCUCAUCAUGUUAUGUUUUCCUUUUAAAUUUCUUUUCUUGAUUAAAAUUUUUAGAAAUAUGUUUUAGUAUUUGUUCUUAUGAUAUAUGCCCAGAACAUUCAUCCCACUUAUCCAUGAGAAUCCUUGUCUGGUUUGAUUUUCAAUUGAGACAUUUUUGGGAACCCUGAGCAGGUUCCAUAUGCUAAUAAUCUUUGAGGUAAGGUGUUGUAGGAUGCCUUGAGAAGCUAAAAACCUAUUACAAGGAAAAGCUCUUGCAUUGUUUUGUGGAAUCUGUGUUGUGAAAAUAGGUAGAGAAAAAGUUUAUGGAAUAAUUCUCUUAUUUCAUAUGUUCAUGAGACUGUACACAGUCUUUAUAUAGGGAUACAAGAGACUAAGAAAGGAAAGAAAAAAUUAAAGCAGAAUAUUACACACUGAUUUCUAGGAAGCAAUAACUCUAUAUUUACACCAAAUAUACACCUAAAUAUAUAAGGAAAACCAAAUCAAUUUGAUUUGGUCAACCUUUCAACACUCCCCCUCAAGCUGGUCUAAAAAUGUCUUUCAUGGCCAGCUUGCAAACCAAUUUCUCAAAAUGUUUCUUAGGUAGUCCCUUGGUGAGUAUAUCAGCAAUCUGCUCAUUUGUAGGAAUGUAGGGCAUGCAGACCAAACCACUGUCCAGUUUUUCUUUUAUGAAAUGUUUGUCCACUUCAACAUGUUUAGUUCGGUUGUGGAGUACUGGAUUAUGUGCUAUUGCAAUGGCAGAUUUGUUGUCACAAUAUACUUUCAUAGGUAGAGAAUUAUUUGCCUUAAGUUCUUCAAGAACUUUUUUGAUCCAAAAAACCUCACAAAUUCCUAGAGCUACUGCUCUAUAUUCUGCCUCUGCACUACUUCUUGCUACCACAGUUUGUUUCUUGCUGCGCUAAGUGACCAAAUUUCCUCCGACAAAGGUGCAGUAACCCGAAGUGGAUCUUCUAUCGGUUACACUACCAGCCCAGUCAGCAUCAGUGUAGACUUCUACUUGUAGGUGCCCGUUUUUUCUAAACAAAAGACCUUUACCCGGAGAUCCUUUUAAGUAUCUAAGGAUUCUAUAUACAGUUUCAAAGUGUUCUGGUCCUGGAGCAUGCAUAAACUGGCUGACUAAGCUCACUGCAAAGGCUAUGUCCGGGCGUGUAUGUGAAAGGUAGAUUAAUCUACCUACAAGGCGUUGGUACCGAUCUAUGUUGGUCACAUCUUCAAUAUUAGCUGGCUGUAAUUUCAUAUUAGGAUCUAUGGGUGUCUCGGCUGCUUUACAUCCGAGUAAACCUGUCUCUUCAAGCAAAUCAAGAACAUACUUGCGUUGAGACACAACAAUCCCAUCUUUUGAUCUAGCAAACUCCAUGCCCAAAAAAUACUUCAGGUUGCCUAAGUCUUUGAUUUCAAAGUCACGUGCAAGCACUUUCUUUAAUCUGCAAAUCUCAACUAAGUCAUCACCAGUCAAAAUUAUAUCAUCUACAUAUACAAUUAACACGACUAAUUUCCCUUCAAUAGAAUGUUUGUAAAACAUUGUAUGAUCUGCCUGACUUUGGGAGUAGCCGUGUCCCUUUAUAACAUUACCAAAGCGUUCAAACCAUGCUCUAGGAGACUGUUUGAGCCCAUACAAAGACUUAUGUAGUUUACACACUUUACUGUUGCCAUGAUUUCCCUCAAAACCUAGUGGUAAAUCCAUAAAGACUUCUUCUUCUAGCUCCCCAUUCAGAAAAGCAUUUUUAACAUCUAACUGGUAUAGAUUCCAAUCAGAAUGUACAGCCAAUGAGAUAAGGACCCGGAUGGAAUUUAUCUUUGCAACGGGGGCAAAAGUUUCUUGAUAAUCAAUUCCGUAGGUUUGAGUGAAUCCUUUUGCUACAAGCCUUGCCUUAUAUCUCUCAACACUCCCAUCAGCAUUACAUUUAAGUGUAAACACCCACUUUCAACCCACAGUUUUCUUUUCUUUUGGUAAAUCCACAAUCUCCCACGUACCAUUCUUCUUUAGAGCAUUCAUUUCCUCUAAAACUGCUAACUUCCAAUCUGGGUGGUCUAGGGCUUCUUUUAUGGUUUUAGGAAUUGGUAUUUGAGAGAUUUUUGUGGUAAAGGCUCUUUGUUUAUUGGACAACUUUUCAUAGGAAACAUAUCUAGCAAUGGGGUGCUUAGUACAGGUUCGGGUUCCUUUCCUAUGUGCUAUGGGUAAGUCAAGAUCAGGAAAAAAAGUGCUGAAAUGUUUAGGAGAAGAAAUGUUACCUGAAUUUUCUGAGGAAUCAGUGCUUGGAGGCAACGAUUGAGGCUGUAUCGAGUUUAUGAGAGGGUCUUUACUGUUGUGAUGAUACUUUCGAGUAUAAACACGCAGCUCUGGUGGUGGAAUUUUAUCUUGUAGUAUUUCUCCCCCUGUCUCUGGUACAUUAACACUUGGUUCCUGUAGUUCAAGGUUUCCUAGGUUUUCAUUAUUAGAAAUAUCAGUUUUUUGAGUUUGAGUUGGAGUGCCCAGAUCAGGUAAAAACUGAUUAGGCAUAGGUGUAGAAGUAUGCCAAAAAUGAUCUUCACUAUUUUCUUUCUCCCCCUGAAGAGAAUUUUGGCCAAAAAAAGGUUGAUUUUCGAGAAAUAUAACAUCCAUACUGACAUGGAAUUUCUUUGUUUGAGGAUUGAAACAUUUGUAACCUUUUUUAUUAGGUGCAUAGCCCAAGAAAACACAUUUUUCAGAUCUAGGAUCCAAUUUAGAUCUAAGAUGGUUAGGAACAUGAACAAAUACAGUGCACCCAAAGACUCUUAACUGAAUAUUGGAGGUAAUCCUACUAGAAGGAUAUAUAAGUGUGAAGUAUUCUAAAGGUGAUUGAUACUUUAAAACACGGGUAGGCAUCCUAUUAAUCAAAUAACAUGCUGUUAAAACAGCAUCACCCCACAAAUAUUUAGGAACAUGCAUAGAGAGCAUGAUAGCCGACUAACUUCAAGUAAAUGGCGGUUUUUUCGUUCCGCAAUUCCAUUUUGUUGUGGAGUAUCACGACAAGUGGAUGUGUGAAUUAUACCCUUUUCCUUACAAAACACCUCUAGAUAAUUAUUAAAAUAUUCAGUACCAUUAUCUGUAUGGAGUAGACUUAUUUUUGUUUGAAAUUGAUUUUCAACCAUGUUAUAAAAAUCUUUGAAUAACCCCUCAACUUCAGAUUUUUCUCUCAUUAAAUAAACCCAACAAAGCCGAGUAUGAUCAUCUAUGAAUGUUACAAACCAUUUUUUUCCAGUUAAAGUGUUGAUUUUUGAGGGUCCCCAAACAUCACUAUGAAUUAAAUAAAAAGGUUUUGAGGCACGAUAAAUAAGUGCUUUAUAUGAAACUCGAUGACUUUUAGAUAAAAAACAACUUUCACACUGAAAAGUAGUACAAUCAACAUUUUUAAAUAAAUUUGGAAACAAAUAUUUCAAAUAAGGAAAGCUAGGGUGUCCUAGUCUAAGGUGCCAAAGCAUUAUUUGAUCCCUAGCAGAGUUUGAACUAAUACUACUGCUCAAACCUUGAGUUUGUUUAUUCCUUGAUAAGUAGUCAUCAAAAUAGUAAAGACCUUCUCGCAAACUAGCACUGCCAAUCAUCGUCCCCAAGUCCCUGUCCUGAAAUUCACAAUGGGAGUCAAAAAAGACAGCACAACAAUUAGAAUCUUUGGUUAAUUUACUGACAGAUAACAGAUUGCAAGAAAGUUUAGGGACAUGUAGCACAUUUUUAAGCUCAAUGGUUCCAGAGAUUUUUAUUGAUCCUUUUCCAGCUAUGGAAGAUAAGCUUCCAUCAGCAACUCUUACCUUUUUGUUACCAGGGCAAGGAUAAUAGGAAUCAAAUAAACUAGAAAUGCUAGUCAUAUGAUCAGAAGCACCCGAAUCAAUAAUCCAUGGUGCAGUAGUUGAGUGGCUAAAUAGAGCAUUAAUAAUACUACCUGUUUGGGCUAGUGAACCACUAGGAGUACUAGGUGGAGGAUUAGAAGUCAGCAGCUUUAUGAGAUGGUCAAUUUGCUCCUUGCUGAGAUUUUUUUCUAGAUUCUCCACUUCAUUGGCAGACGCACGGCUAUGCUUGCUGUUUUUCCAAUCUGCAGGCUUUCCGUGGAGUUUCCAGCAAGCCUCCCGAGUAUGGCGUGGUUUAUUACAGUAAUCACACCAUACUCGAGGUUUUUGUUGCUGUUGAGUGAUGGAGCGGGUAGCAUUAUCUGCUGUAACAAGGGCAGAUUUUUCCACAGAGACAACGGAGUUCUUUUUUCCCAACAUAACACCUCGACGACUUUCUUCUCUCCUUACUUAAGAGAAAACAUCCUCAAGAGUAGGAAGUGGCUUUCUCCCAAUAAUUCUUCCUCUUACCUCAUCAAAUUCAACAUUGAGCCCAGCCAGGAACUUGAAGAUUCGCUCAUUAUUGACAGUUUGUUUGUGGUGUUUAAAAUCUUCCAUGCUCUCCCACUCGUAGUCGUUGAAUAAGUCCAGAUCUUGCCACAAUCUCUUUAGAGUAUUGAAGUAUUUUGUUAUACUAUAAUCUCCUUGACGGAUAUCUCCAAGAGCAAGCUGCAACUCAUAGAUCUGGGACUGAUUUCCAUAGUCAGAGUACAUCUGACUCACAUUAUCCCAGAGUUCUUUUGCAGUAGAGUAGCACAUAUAAUUUGCACCAAUGUCUUCAUCCAUGGAGUUGACUAACCAUGCCAUAAUCAUGGAGUUUUCGGCAUCCCAAACACCAUAAGAGGGAUCAGAUAUUUCAGGAGCCUUAACAUCUCCGGUAAGAUAACCAAUCUUCCCUCUUCCCCUAAUAUACAUUCUAACCGACUGAGACCAUCUUUGAAAAUUUCCUUCAUUCAGCCGGAUAGUUGUAAUCUGGACAGAAUGAGAUUCAGAAUGGGAAAUUUUUGGUUCUAGUCUUUUUGAGGUGACUGUGGUUUCAGAAGAUUGGUCAGACAUGGUAGGGAAGAGAUCAGAAAGAAAGGGAGCCUAGCUCUGAUACCAUGUGAAAAUAGGUAGAGAAAAAGUUUAUGGAAUAAUUCUCUUAUUUCAUAUGUUCAUGAGACUGUACACAGUCUUUAUAUAGGGAUACAAGAGACUAAGAAAGGAAAGAAAAAAUUAAAGCAGAAUAUUACACAUUGAUUUUUAGGAAGCAAUAACUCUAUAUUUACACCAAAUAUACACCUAAAUAUAUAAGGAAAACCAAAUCAAUUUGAUUUGGUCAACCUUUCAACAUGUGUGCUAGCAAGUCAUGUCUCUAAUAAUUUCAUAGUUUGCUUGAUUGGAAUUUUUUAUCUUGAUAUGGAUUGUUUAUUCUAGAUUCCUUGGUGCUGUAGGUUGAAACAGCAAAAGAUUCAGCACCGAUUUUGUCACUGCUUGCUCCAUUAAAUUCUGGAUCAAGGCACUCAUAUUGGAGAGCUCCACCUUGUACUACUUCUGUUGAAUUUGUUAUUGUUCUCUGUUCUGUUUCUGAUGUCAGUGGGGUUAUCUUGCUUGUUAGUCCUUGCGGCUAUUCUGUGGGUGACACUCCGAUGGUAAGUGCCAUAUUUAUUCCCUUAUUUCCUUGUUGUUCAAUAAAUUUGGUGAUAAGCCAAGUGGCCUUAAUAAUGAAGCCCAGUACCAGGGGUGGUGGGUAAUCGAUAUUCAACUUGUGAAUAUUCCUAAGCAAGCACUGAAUCAACAUAGACCUCGGCAAAAGUUCUCCAUGCUAUUAUAACGAAAGUCAUAUUUUGAAAUGAUUAAAAGAGUCCCUGUGUAGUGCUAUUUCCAAAGAAAUUGCAGCUGGAGGUUUAGUUUCAUGUAGGUUAGUUUCCGAUAAUAAACUUUCCAUUUCAUUAAUUGCUGAUGAAAAAACCAAGUAAGAACAGUUUUGUUGCUCGUCAUUUAUGUAUAUUUUGGUAAACUGUAAUUUUAAAUUCUCAACGAUCUUCCCUUUGUAGGUAAGAAGAUGGUCCACUCACUUGAUAUUUAUGAUUGUAGAUCAGGUUUCUAUUGGUUUGCCUUUAUCAUUCGGAACCCAAGUUUGAUAUUAACAGAGAUCACGUCAAUAAUAUCCUAUUUGGGUAGAUGUGGGUGAGGAUUUAAAAUCAAAUUUGAAAUUGAGGGCAAAGAAGAGAAAAGAAACCGCAAUAAUUAAACAAAAUAUUAGGAACUAUUCUGAUGAGUUUUAAUCUCGAGAGGAACAAUUUUCAAAUGCAAAAUUUAACUGCUAGAGAAAUUGUAGCUUUUUGUCAUUAGUUAAGAGGAAAGAGAAUAAGAACUAUCUGGCCCUUUCCUUCAUGAAUGUGUGUUGAGGUUGCUGUAUUAUUUAGUCAGUAUUUGUAAUUUUCUUCCCUGCAGUGCUCUCUGCCUCCUGAAUUUGCUACUGAGUCCAUAUUUUUCUUUGAGCUGUUGCUUCCUAUUGCUGUUACAGGUACAAAUCUGGGCAAGCAAUAAGAUACACCGGGAGGACAGGUCAUCAAUGGGAAAAUGGGAUGUCCAAUCCCUCAUCACAUCUUCUUCAGAUUUGUAUGGUCCAGAAAAGUCUGCUAGUGUUGAAAAAUUACCUAGGCAUGUAAAAUUUACUUUUAAGAAUCCUGUUAGGUGCCGCAUUGUUUGGAUCACAUUACGUCUUCAGAGACCUGGUUCGGCUUCAGUUAAUUUCGGGAAUGACUUCAGUCUUUUGUCUCUUGAUGAAGAUGAAAACCCCUUUGCACAAGUAGACAGACGUGCUUCAUUUGGAGGAGCAGUUGAAAAUGAACCAUGUAUUCAUGCCAAAAGAAUUCUUGUAGUCGGAAGCCCAGUAAAAAGGGAGGGGCUUACCACAUCACAGAGCUCUGAGCAGCUAAGUAUUAGAAACUGGUUGGAUAGAGCUCCACAAAUGAGUAGAUUCAAGGUAUUAGUUGCUUUCACUCUUUGUUCAUUCAUAAUUCCAGCUUUCUGCUUGAUGCCUUGCCUCUGAUAAACCUCUUUUUUCUCUUCAGGUCCCAAUUGAGGCCGAGAGAUUGAUGGACUACGAUCUCGUCUUGGAACAGUAUCUACCUCCAGCGUCACCUUCGCUUGCCGGAUUCCGUCUAGAUGCUUUCAGUGCAAUAAAACCUAGGGUUACCCAUUCACCUUCCUCAGAUUCAGAUAUCUGGGACAAAUCAGUAACAUUUUUAGAAGACAGGUACAUCUCUCAAGCUGUGUUGUAUUUACAAGUAUCCGCACUCCAGGAACCACAUAACAUGGUAACUAUUGCGGAAUAUCGACUGCCGGAGGCUAGAGCCGGAACGCCAAUGUACUUUGAUUUCCCACGACCGAUACAGUCCCGACGAGUUUCAUUCAAGCUUCUUGGAGAUGUUACAGCAUUUGCAGAUGAACCUUCAGAACAAGAUGAUUCAGGAUUGAGAGCUCCACUUGUGGCCACAGGUUUGUCUUUGUCAAACAGAAUCAAGUUAUAUUAUUAUUGUGAUCCUUAUGAGCUCGGAAAAUGGGCAAGCCUUUCUGGAGUUUGAUCGUUAUUUAUAUGUCAGAGAAAGGGUUUUGGGUUUGAUUUUGAUUUUGAUUUGUAAUUUUUGUCAGUUUAUUGAAAUUUUUUGUUGUAUAAAAGCAGAAUGUAAAGGUAUAAAAAUUCAUUGAUGCUGCAAUGUCUGUGCUUUUGAGAAAGAAAGAAUUCUAUGGCUUUUCUAUGCCAUUGGAUUUUCCACUGCCUGUAAACUUGGGCUGUCGAAUGCUCUGUGAACCUUAAGGGCUAUAAAGUAAUUUUCAAGACUGAAGGAUUUAUUAAUCGAGUUCAAAAGAUUGCAAGUUGGUGAGCGUUGGCAUUUAAAAAAUCAAUUGUUAUUCUCUCAAUAAUCUCUGUCUUCUGCCGACACCCCAUGCUCAGAAACCCAUUGUUCCGACGGACGUGUAACACUUCUAGAAAUUGUUUUGAUCUCUCCUCGUGAAGUGUUUUCUUUUUCGAGUGAAGGUGGUUUUCUACUUGCAUACGUCGGGGGUCUUAUGAUAUGUAAUGUGUGAAAUUUCUUUCUCAUUUUACCAUAAAGAAAAAUGUUGUAAUAAUCUAAAGCUCGAGUCUUAAAUUAUCUUAAAUUUAUAUUUAGAGUGGAGCUAUUCGCAAUCCUACAUUAAAAUUACAAAUAAAAAUAAUUGAAAAUUAAACACUUAUAGAUUUUUUUUACAACAAAUUAUUUAAUUCAUAAUCAAUCCUUUAAAAAAAAAAAUCCAUAUGUUACUUGCUAUCUAACUAAAAUAAAUUUUACAAAUUUAGAAUAAUCUAUUGAUUUCUUUUGAUUUCUUAUUAAUUAAAUAUUUUUAUACAUAAAAUUGCUUUGAAAUUAUAAUUUGAAAUAUGUGUUAUUUCAGCCAAUGAUUAACACUAAAAAACUUAUCACCCAUAUAACUUUUUAAUUUGUGUGUAGGGUAAUAAUAAAAUCAAAAAUAAUUAAAAAAAUAGUACAAUAAUGAGUUUUAACAAUAAAACAAAUCAAAUGAAAAUUGAAAAUUUAGAAAAAAUGUAUCUAAAAAAGGGAACGUUUUUUAAAAUAAAAUGAAUAUAACUAAAAAGGGGUUUUAUGAGAAGAGCAGAGGGGUGCCAAUAGUCCAACUUGUAAUUAAGAAUCUCCCAUUAUAUUGUCAACCAAAAAGACACUUGAAUAAGAAGAAGAAUUUAUCAGUUUGAUUUUAUUUAUAGAUCCAACAUUUCUCAUAUCCUAAACGCCUUUCCGUAUCAAAUUAAAACAGUAGUCGCAAAAUCGUAGUAUUAAAAUCGUAGUGCACAUUCAAUUAACCAACUAAUAGUCUUUGGUAUAAGAUUUUAUAUUAGCUAGCCAAGUAGGUUGUCCAUCCCACUCAGACAUGAACGAAAGCUAAAUUCAUCAAAUGGUGUUAUACUAUUAAAUAUUUUUAUAUUUAAAAUUACUUUGAAAUUAUAAUUUCAAAUUAAAAUAGUAGUAGCAAAAUCGUAGUGCACAUUCAAUUAACCAACUAAUAGUCUAAGAAGCAAAGAGAGGAUUACAAGUUCACAACACCAUUACAAAGGAUUCAAAAUUCCCACACGAAAACAUCAAUGUACAGAUUAUAAACAAUCCGAAUUGGACACAAGAAAAAGCCCUUCAAUGGAUUGCUUUCCUUCCCAAUGCUAUAUACUGUGCAAACUCCGCACUGGCCAAGAAAAUGUUUUCAAUUUAGUGUAUUUUCAAAUUGCUUAUUUUCUCAUAAUAUAAAAAAUAAAAAAGAAUCCUUACAUGUUUCAUCAGCAUGAUUAAAAUCAAAGAAGAAAGCGAAGACGUAAUGUCUCUGACAUAAUAAAAUUACAAAAAUUUCAAGGAAAAAAAAAAGGUUAAAACAUGUAAUCUUCAGAAGCAUAUAAUAAAAGAACACUUCCACAAAUUACUACAAUUUCAUGCAGUAGAGAUUGAAGAGUUGAAUUCCACUAAUUUUAAUAAUGAAAACAACAACAGAGGAUUAACUGAUGCUUUGACUUAUUAGCAGGUUGCUUUGACUUAUUAGUUCUGCAGCUAAGUUAAAUAAAAUAAGCUAUUUUCAAAAGCAAAAUGGAAUACAUAGAUAAAAACAUCAUCUUAAACAAAUCACAAUCUAGAAUUAGAGCAUUUUCGACAUACCUAAGGAACACGAAUACGUGAAAACGGGUGAUUUAUUUGUUAAGGAGUGUUGAUUUGGUCGUCUCUGCAAAUUCUUUAGGGACUCGGUUCCAAUUCCUCUUCAUCAAAACUGUAAUAUAAUUCCCCUUCAUCAGAACUCGAAUCGAUGCAAUAUAAUUCCCCUUCAUCAGAACUCGAAUCAAAUUCACUUGCAGCAGUUCCACUCGCGCUUGGCAAAUCAUCCAAUUUCCAAACUUCGGUAACAAAAUUGAGAGUAAAAGUGUUGGCUUUGAUCUCGCUGGGAUUUGCAUAUACUGGACAUACUCCGCAACGUUUUAUCUUCUGACCCUUUUGGACCUUUAUUAUGUUUCGGUGACACUCAUUGAAGAACUUAAAUGUGGCAGUUGAAUGAUGGUCACCAUCAGGAAAGCCAACAUUCAAGCAAGGUUUAAAACCAAGUAUGACAUGAUCUGAAUCAUGGGGGUCUUGAAUUGAGUGCAAAUUGUAACCCAGAUGAACAUGUUUGGUUUCAGAGAGAGUCUUUAUUUCUAAGUCGGAUCGACAGUAAACGUAAAAAUAACGAAAACGAUCAGAAUAAAGUUGCUUAAAAUCAAGAACAGCACAAAAAGCAAACCCGAUUAAGUUUCUGCAAAAAGAGUGCGGUGGCAGUUGAAUACGUAUCGAAGAUCCUGAACUUUGAUUGCUGAACCAGUCAGGAAUUUCGCUCCCAGGUAAAACAAUUUGGGAUCCCCUGAGUUCAGAAAGUUUCUGCGAAACGACAUUUAAAAAAAGAAAAUUGUAAAAUGAAAACCAUGAUUUCAGAUAUAACAAAGAGGGACAGAGUAAACAAGAGAGGGAAUUUGAUACCUCGUUGUAUGCAUUUUCAUAGCCCAGUCUCAGUGAUGCUGCAAUUGCCAUACGUAGUGAAUCUGCCAAAAUCUUGUUGUUUGCUUUUCCAUCAAGUUUCAAGCAGUUAGUAAACUCAAAACAAAUUGGUUGUGGCGUCACAUAUUCCGGAUGCCAUUCACGAAGGUCAGGAGAGGGUUUGGAUAGCUUUUCGAGUACGGAUGCAUCUAGUUCUUGUACACAUGACGGAAUCUCUGGCAAAGAUUGAAGCCGGUUGCAGUUCAUUGCUUUUAGUGACUGUAGACACAAUGGAAGUUCUGGUAAUGACCGAAGCAUGUUACAAUCCUCCAAGUGAAGAGUUUCUAGACCCAAUGGAAGUGCUGGUAAUGACUGAAGCAUGUUACAACGCCUCAAGUAAAGAGAUUUUAGACACAAUGGAAGUUCUGGUAAUGACUGAAGUAUCUUACAAUCCCUCAAUUCAAGAUAUUUUAGACACAAUGGAAGUUCUGGUAAUGACUGAAGCAUAUUACAAUCCUCCAAGUUAAGAUAACUUAGCCACGACAGUUGCUUGAUACUUGCAGGUAAACUCUCAAAGUUAUUUCCACUUAAAUUGCCAAUGUUAUCCGGCAACUUGUCAAGUAUAGAGCAACCACUUACGGACAAAAAUGAAAGCCCCGGUAGAUUUUCAAAUGGCGAUGGCAGCUCUGUAAUUGCCGUCCAGACUAAAUAGAUGCAAUUUAAAUGUUCCAUUUUCUCCAAGAUUUCUGGGAAACGCUCAAGGUUCAAGCAGCCAAAAAGAAAAAGAUCAACCAAAGAUCUCAAUUUACAGAACCUAGUUGAAAUCCUCUUCAGCCGUUUGCAAUGCCCCAAAUCCAACACUUCAAGAUCAGUUAGGCACUCUAUUGAUGAUGGAACUUCUUCUAUUGCAGACUGGCCUAAGGAUAGCUCUGUGAUUUUCCCAGAAAUCCGUGGAAACUCUUUGAGAUUAACACAAUAGGAGAAAUUAAUAGUUACUGGACAAACAAAAUGAAGAUUGCUUGGAAAAGACCUAAGACUUUUGCAGCCCUCAAAAGACAACGCACUGAGAUACUUGAAAUUCUGGAUAGAUGAGGGAACACAAGCCAAGUUUGUAUAAUCCAAAAGAUUUGUUUCAACAUUUGGGGUUUCUAAUGGGCCUGGCAUCUUAAUGAAAUGUCGAGAAUGAUUGAGGUUAAUAGAUUUUAACUUGAAAGCUUCCUGCAAUAACAGAUAUAUAAAGACUAUAUUAAUUAAAAAGCAACAUUGAAUUCAACAAUUAAUUGCACGUAUGUUUAAAGAAAGAAAAAAAUUAAUGUUUUAGUUUUAGUACAAAACUUACCUUUUCUCCUUCCCAAAGUUGCUCAACUUUACUAAAACGCAAAUUCAGUUCAACAAGGUUCAUUGGCUUGAAAUUUGAUGGCAGUGUCCUUAAUGGAUAUGUGUCCCAAUGAAGAUAUCUCAAUUUUUUAGGAAGAUAAUCUAGGCCAUUUGGAAGCUGCACUUUAGAGUAUGAAAGUUGCUCUUCAAUGCUCAUACUUAGAAACCUUUCAAUCUCAGGUACAUAAAAUUUGAGCAAUCUUAGAUUAGACAUUUUUGUGAAGGCUCCUGGGUCUAAAUUGAUGCCUUUUAUUUUGGACAAAUCCAGAAAUAUGCCUUCAAUUGCAUCGGUCCCCUUAUUAAAAAAAAAAAAAACAAAGAAUGAGUAACCCUAAAACAGAAAAGAAACAUUCGUAAACUUUAUUAACUAAGAGCUUCUUAAACAAAAACAAAUUCUGCAAUCUUUGAUUUUAUUUUUUUAAUAUAUUAAAUAUCUAUAUACGAGAAAAGAAAAUUUUGGGGACCAUUGCAAAAUUAAACUAACCGAAAAAAAAUUCAAAAUUUCUCUAAUUUACAAACCUGUUAUCUUAAUAACUAGAAGUUGAGAAGACAAGGCCUAUUUGAUUGGUAUAAGAUUUCGAUUUGUUUUUUAGUCCAUAGAAUCCAAAAUGUUAGUUCAAAAUUAGGGAAAAAAAAUGAAAGUUAUUUUUUUUCCACUAGUUGUAAUUGUUUCCAAGUCAAAUUGAGAUACGACCCUUUUCGAAAGGAUUUAAUCAUCUUAUAGCCUCCUUAAGAUACAUUUAAGCUAAAAGGAGUGAUUGGAGGCAGAACUAGGUGGGCCAAUCAGUCCCUUUUAUUAGUGACUGUUGCUUAAAAAAAAUUAUACUCUAAAACACACUUACUUUUUUGAAAAAAAAUAUAAUUAUAUUGAAGUAGAACCAGGUGGGCCAAUCCUCAUGGCACUCACUUUGUUCUGACACUCUUCACUAAAUUUGAAGAAAAAUAAAAUUAUACUCUUCACACUCUUAUUCAACAUUCCAAAAUUGAUAAAAUCUAGAGUUUUCUUUAAAAAUUUAAAAUUUGAAGACUUGUUCUCUUGACAUCCUCAGUCAUUAAUUUCACCUAAUUAUGGUUUUUAUGAUUUUGGUUGUUUUGUUCAUAAAACAAUUUUACUAAAGGAUGUUCUCGUAAUAAUAAAAAUUAUAAAAAAAACAUGGGUGUGCUGGUAUGGUUGGGAAAAUACGAGUACAGAACUCCAAACAAAUAAAAGAUUUAUAUAAAAAAAAAUGGAGGAUUCUUACCAUAUUAUGCUUUAGUACGCGGCGGAUUUCCUUAGGAUCCCACAACCUACUACGUCUGCCUGGCACUUCCUCAGAUUCUUGGCGAACAGUCUCUUGGCCCAUUUCUUGCAAUAAAUCAUGCAUUUGCAAGCGGUUAUCUGACACAGUUAUGAGUGACUUGUCGACGAGGACAUCCAGUCUGUGAGACCCAGAAUCAUCAAGUAUCCUUAACACAAAAUCUUUAUCCUCUCCCUCAAGGAAACACGCAAUAUCUAGAAACAUACUCUUCACCCUGGGCGUUAAUUCUUUAAAACUAAUCUUUAAUGUAUCAUAAAUACCAUGAAUAUCAGAUUCACAAAUCCGAUUUAAGUCGUGCAAUACAUUUUCCCAAUGGCUUUUCCUCUUGAGAUACAGGGAGGAACCCAACACUUUAAGAACUAAUGGAUUGCCAUCAGCAUACUCUACAACUCUCCACGAGUCACGUUUGAAAUCUUCAGGACGAUGCUUUUCUUUAAAAGCGAAGUUACAAAAGUGCUCGAAAGCCUCAUCAAAUUUCAAUCCAUUGACCCUAUAUAUUUUCUCCACUCCAAAUUUUUCGAGGACUCGUUUAUCCCUGGUGGUUACAACAAUUCUACUUCCUGGACCAUAUUGAUCAAGCCCUCCAAUCAAACCCUCUAAUUGUUCAUCUUUAUUCACAUCAUCGAGUACAAUCAACACCUUCAUGCGUCGGACCCUCCCUUUAGUAAAUUGUGGAAUAUUGGGACCAGCUACUUCAAGUUUUUCACUUAAUAUUGUCGAAAGCAUUUCCUUUUGUAGGUCUUCUAGGCCACCCUCUGUUUCUGAUUUUCUCCUAACAUUUUUUGCAAAGUAUUUACCAUCAAACUCACCAGCGAAUUGAUCGAAAAUAGCUUCAGCAAGGGUAGUUUUGCCUAUACCGCCCAUACCCCAAAUUCCAACAAUUUGGACAGUAUCCGACAAAUCCAUACACAAAAAUGGUUUAAUCUGCUCAAUUCGUGAAUUUAAUCCAACUAGGCCGUUGGAUGAGUCCGUUGAGACUGUUAUUUUUUCCAACUUCUUCAAAACAUCUUCGACAAUUUUGUUUACAAGUUGCGCAUCAAGCCUAAUAUGAAGGUGCAAAGAUGCAAAAACAUUGAGUCAAAUCGGGCCAAGACAGAAACAGAGAAAAGAUGAAUUAGGAAAGAGAGUUACCUGAAUUUCGUGGAUUCAUGGCCGGCUAGAUGGGAUGUUUCUGUCAGUGCAUCCCUCCACUUCUGAACCAUUUCUUGUUUAUCUUUGAACUGUUUUUUGAGCUCAUCAAAACGGUCUCCAAAUGUUCCGUUUUGAUGCCGCACAUCAGAUGGACUUACUCCAUAGAAGAAUGGAAUAAUAAUUUGGCCGUUUGUGUUCUUGCAUUCAAGAAUCUUGACAAGUUCAUUCAGGCACCAUUUUGAAGAAGCGUAGUCCUUCGAGAAAAUGACCACCGAAAUUUUUGAACCUUGGAUUGCGUUCAAAAGGGCGGGUGAAAUCUCAUCUCCUCGCCUAAGCCCUUCAUCAUCAAUAAAUGUUUUGAUUUUCUUUCCUUCAUACAAUUUAUCAUAGAGAUAGCAAGUAAAGCUCUUACGAGUGUCCUCCCCUCUAAAGUUGAGGAAGACUUCAUAAUUGGCACAAGAAGAAGAGGAAGCCAUGAAGGAAAUUUUAGAAAAUUGGUGACAGAAACAGAGAAUUAAUCUUGAGAGUUGAGAGAGGAGAUGUAAGAAUGAACAUGUGCGAAGAUUCUUGCGAGUACAUAGUAAAUAAUUGAAUGGCUGGAGCUUUCUUAGUUUCCUGGAAAUUUCCUGGAGCUUUCGUAUACAUGAUUUGUCAAGUCAUGAAACAUAAUCAUGAUAAUGGGGCAGACCGAAAAGAAAAGCAACAAUUCAAAUAUUUGAUUCAACCAGUAUAAAAAGGAAGGAAAAGCAAAGAAAGGAAAUGUUGAAAGUAGAGUUAGGGAAUUAUAAAAAGCUGAAGGAAAUUGGAAUUUUGUACAAUUUCUCCAGCGAGGAACUUUCACAGUCGUUACCUCAUUGUUACAGUUUAGAUUAAGAUUUGAGGGUGCAAGCAUUUACCUAGAUUUUACCUCCGCACUAAAUUCUUAAGUUUGAAAAAUUAUGAGACCUUUAUAUUGGAAGAUAUUAUAAUCGAAUCAAAACUUAAAAUUUUAAUAUUGUUAAUCUUUAAUCUUUAAAAAAAAUUACCUUGCCGUUACAAUUUGGAUUAAGAUUUGAAUAAGCAUUUACCUAAAUUUUAUCUCCGCCUGUAAAUUCUUAUGUUUUAAAAAUUAUGAGACCUUUAUAUUGGGAGAUAUUAUAAUCGAAUCAAAAUUUUGAAUUUCAAUAUUAUUAUUCUUUUAAAAAAAAUUUGAGAUAACAGAGUGAUUGAUAAUAGAGAACUUGUCUAGGCAAACACAUGCAUACACAAAAAUGUGAUGGAUUCAAAAAGAAAUUAAAGUGAUAAUGUACGUGGAUCCUUAAAACAAAAAGCGAAAUCGCUUGGUGGCCCAGUAAAAUUAAGACUGAAUAUUUUUUACACGAGAAGUGUAGCUCAUAAAUGGCAAAAGCCAUUUCAUUUCACUUUUACGCGUCAUUGACUUUUGUAACAUGGUGCAUGCAUCGUCAAGUGAGGCAAAAGGGUUUCGAUUACAGUGGGAAAACAUGAACAAGAAUGCAUAAUGAAUAAUUCCUUUGAUAAAGCGAAAAUUAAACACAGAAUAAUCCUAAAAUUUAAACUCUAAUAUCUUAUAAUUUAAUGAUUAAAAAUAAUCCUAAGAGUUCCCAAUUGAAACUUUCAGAGAUAAUAGAAAAUAGCUAUGCUUUAAAAGGCCAAAGAUUAGAGAACAAAGAAGAAUUAGGUAUUGAUAUAAAAAUUAUUAAUUUUUUUGAUUUCAAGCAAAAAUAGUUUCAUAUACCAUUUCGAUUUUGGUAGGGGUGAGGUUUUGAACUUCAAUAGUUUCCUCUAAAAUCAAAAGGUAGUAAUUAAGUUAGAAAGAGCAAAGAAGACUUAUCGGUACCUUAUUGAAGGUAAACAUUAUGGAACUUUCAAUGUCAUUACCCCACUGUUUAAUUUUUAUUGAGAUUUGUGCAAGCAUUUACCUAAAUCUUACCUCUGCCUGUAAAUUCAUAAGUUUUGAAAAUUAUGAGACCUUAUAUCGGGAGAUAUUAUAAUCGAACUAAAACUUAAAAUUUCUUUUCUUUUUUUUUUUUUUUAUCAUAAAAGGGCUCUUAAGAGAGCUAAGGCAACACUAAAUGGGAGUGUGCAACCCCAUGAACAUCAUUAAUCAAUAUGUUUAGCGUAUUUGGAGGAAUAGAUUGAAAGCAAUGUAAACCCAAAGGAAAAGAAAAGCUGUACGAAGUAAGGAAAUCUGCUGCUACAUUGGUUUCUUGGUAGAUAUGAUCCACUUUGAUCAGCCAAUCACGCCGAAGGAGUUCUUCGAUGGCCUGAAUGAGAGUAAAAUGCUCAUUGACGGGAGGGUUUGAGUUAGAGAUUAACUUCAUAACACACAUGCUGUCCACUUCCACGUAAAACUUAAAAUUUCAAUAUUAUUAUUCUUUAAAAAAAAAUUGAGAUAUCAGAGUAAUAUCACAUAGAAAAACUUGCCCACGGACGGUAAGCCAAAAGUCUAGUCAACCACAUGCAUAAAGCUAAGUAGAACAAGAGAACAGAGAAACGCGUGGGUCCCUAAAGAAAAGGCAAGCACAUAAAUGAAAAAGCCAUUACAUAUCUAUUAACACGGUGUGGCAGCAUAUGCACAAUCAAGUGAGGCAAAAGGGAUUCGAUUAUCGUGGCAGAACAUGGACGAGGACGCGUGAUGAAUAAUUCCUUCGUUAAAACCAAAAACAAACGCAGAGAAAACAAUUUCUUAUAUGACAAGAAAUCAAAGUAAUGUGAAGGAACAUGAUGAAGAAAUUGCAGACUGAUCAAUUAUCCCCAUGGACUCCUAUAAAUUCAACCAAAAUAACAAUUCGAAUCUUACCAAAUUCUUGAGUUAAAUUUAUUCAAUGCUUUUAUUUUUUUAGAAAAUUUUUUUCCAAUGCUACUUUUCCUUUUUUGGGGAAAUUAGAACCGCGGCAUGUAUAGAAAACAUUGAGGUGUAAAGCAACAUUAAUUUCAUGGGAUAUGCGUUAUACGCAUAAUAUAUUUUCAGUCCAAAUUCAACUAUACAAAGAGGCUUGAGAACUUAAAAUUAAGCACAAACUAAACAGACGAAGUAAAUACAUGAUUAUGCAACAUAACAUUAAUUCUCUCAAUUGAUAACUGUUUUUGCUACAUGAAUCUUGCACAGUUAAUCCUAAUUGAAGACUAAAAAAGAGCAAUUGGAAGAAGGUUUUGGAAUAGAAUGGUAUACAAUCGAUAUGAUCCUUUUCCAGUAGUCAACGCUAAUUAACUGCAGUUUCUAGACUCCUAAUUAUACUAGCCAUAGCAAACUAUUUAGAAAACUGGUGAUCAAAUUAGAUUUUGAAAGGAAAUAAUGUUCAUUUUCCCUUCGCUGCCUUUUCUUUUCUUUUCUUUUUAUAGCAAAGAAUUAUAUCAUGAAAAGAAUCAAUUUAAUCACCUUUUCCAGCAGCCCAAUUUUUCUUUUAUAAAAUUUGACCACGGAGACAAAGAAGAAUUAUUCAUAACUUCAUCACUAAGGAAAUACUUUUCGGUAUGGCUAGGGUGAGAAAAUGCUUUCCACUAACACUUGUACUUUGUAUUCUUGUAAAUUUUCUUUAAAGUCAAUAAAAACCAUAAGUUCUUUGCAAUAACCAUCUCUUUGAUCAAAAAGUGCCGUAUUCCUUUAGAAUUUAAAACCGGCAAAACCGAAUCAGUGUCUUUGAAGAGACAUAAUGGUCGUAAUUCUUUAAAUGAGUUGGCUAUGGAAAUCCUUAUCCAAGAUUCUUUUAUGCCAUAUUCUUUCGUAAACCAAAAUUCAUUUUGAAAUACUCUAUUGAAAAUGUCAAAUAAAACGGCAUUGAAGGAAGUUUUCAAAGGCAUAAUCCGCACUUGUCAAAGGGAUGAUCUGCACUUGUCAGAGACACGAUCCGCGUCGAACGAAUCGACACAUUUCCUUUCGUAUUCGCAUAUGUAAUCUUUGAAAAAAUGUAGCUUCCGCAUCUAUAAAUAACGCUCAGUGUAUAAUGUUUUAUUCAAGAAAAGAAAACAAAUUUCUUCAUACUCCUUGUCCGAACAUACAGAGACAGUCUCUCAUAACUUCAGCCGAAUACUUAUGAUGAUGAUCAUUUGUGAUUUCAUCAGGCAUAGGGUUGAUGGUGAAAAAUUUUGUAUGUGUGAAGAAUUGAGCUGUGGAUAUAGGGGACUUAAGUGUAAUCGAAAGAGAGUUAUUAGGCCAUAGUGCAGAUUGCAUUCAGUUUAUGGGUCGAUAUGCAAAUAAUUUGUUGACGUGGCGAAAUCUGUUAUGGUCGUUACUAUUGUUUCUGGAAAUUUUCUAGAAACCUCAGCAUAAAAGGGGCUUUUGCAUAGCCUCUGGUGUGCGUGUGAUUUCUCUUUCGUUUCCUCAUCAAAUUCUGUAAUUCUUGCUUUGAUAAAAAGCUUGUAAUCAUUUCUGUAAUGUGUGAUCAGUGCGUAAUCAUUUUGAGCAAUAAAAGCUUGUGGGUUUUUCCUUCAAACAGUGUCGUUUUGGUCAGUUUGUUAGUUUGAUCUGUUGGUGGAAUUUUCUUUGGUUAUUUGUUCUCAAAUUUCAACCGUAUAUAAAGUUUGAACUCUAAUGGCUUAUAAUGUAUUGAUUAAGAAUAAUCCUAAGAGUUCCCGAUUGAAAUUUUUAAUGACUAUUUUUAUUGUUUUGGAUAUACAAAUUGCAUUAAGAAAAAAUAUUGUCAAAUUCAGAGGAUAACGGGAAAUAAUUAUGCUUCAAAAGACCAGAGAUUAGAGAAUAAAGAAGCAUUCAUUACUGACAUACAAAAGAGAAACACUCCAAAAUUGCAAGCAAACUAGUUUCAUAUACUAUUUGGAUUUUGGAAGGGGUGAAGUUUUGAGCUUCAGUUGUUCCUCUAAAUAGCAAAGAAGACUUAUUGGUACCUUACUGAAGCUAACAUUGUGGCACGGUUGUUCAUAUGUAAUGGCUGCUCUGUUAUGGUAGCUUCUCUGUUUUUGCUCACAGUUUUGAACAUGAAUUCUUGCUCAAAUAACCCAUAAUUAAUUAACAUUAAAAUGGCUCGUGAAAUCCCAUAAUAGCUAAUUACGCAACUUUCUCCUCCUCCUCAAUUAUGUCUUCCCCUGCUCGUACAAUAAAUUCAAAAUUCAAUGCCCCGAAAAACAACACAAGAAAUCUUUGAGUUAGUUCGUGACCAGUUUAUAUAUAGUAGCAAUUGAAAAAAGAAAAAGAAGAAAAGAGUUAAUUAUUAUUCAGACCUUCACUUAUUAGGAAGUUUGUUCUGCUAUUGGGUGAGGUCAAGCUCUCAGCAUAUACUUCCACAUGAUACUUUCUAACAUUUUCUUGAAAGCCAUCAAUCAUAAAAUCUUCAUACUUUUUUCCAUCCUUUGGAUCAAUGAGUACAAAUUUCUCAUCUAAAACAGACAAAAUAAAAUCACUGUCCUUCAUGGAACAUAAUGGCUGCAAUGCCUGAACUGAAUUGGCUAAUGAAACAUAGUCUUCUUUUCUUUCUCGACAUGGAACAUAGUCUUCUUUUCUUUCUCGACACAUGUCUCUGUACUUUUCUCUCUCUACUGAUCCACACUUUUUCAUACUUCUAACUAUCAUUUUGUUUUUUUUUUUUGAGUUGUGAUUUAUUCAAUUAUUUUGUAUUUUUAAUGACAAUUAUUUAAUAUUUAGUUAGUGUUGAUAUUGAUUAGUGAUUGAAAGUGUAUUUUAGAAGACUUCCGGUCUCUUGAAAAAAGGAAAAAUGGAGAAGAAGAAGAAGUGUUCUUGAUUUUUUUGUAGGCAUUAAAGUUAAACGGUUUGAAAUGAUAUUUUGUUUUAAUUUCACUCAUUAAUCUCAUUCAGGAUAAAAUUAUAAAUGCAAAUAAAUGGGGUUUCAUAAGUAUUUUUAAUAGUGUUAAAAGGUCUACUAACUAAAUAAACAUGUUUUACCCAAACCAAUCCGAUUAAUAAGUUAUUGGGUUGGGUUGAUCAGGUUAAAAAUCAAAAUUAAAAAUUAAAUAAAUAAAUAAGGCAUAAAAACUAUAUGUUACUUGAAAAUAAAAAGAAUUUCUAAUAGUUAGUUCUAAUGUCCCAUAUCCAAAACAUGCAUAUUAAAUAAAUAUUAUAAGUUAGAAAUAAAAUAUCCAAGAAAUAAUGAAUGAAAUACCAUAUUUUUGUUGAGAAUUAAGAGUGUGAUUUUAAUUUUGAUAUUGGAGUCUAAAGCAAUAGAUAGUACAAUGAAAUCAUGAAUGCUACGUUUAAAUAAUCUCUUUUAUAAAAUAAUAAAAAGAGGUUAAAAAUUAGGUUAGCAUUUAGGGUUUAGCAGUUAAGGAUGAACAUAUUAUUAUUGUUGUUGUUGUUGUUAUUAUUAUUAUUAUUAUUAUUAUUAUUAUUUACAUAUUAAUUAAUCCAACCCAACUCAAUUAUUAACGAAUUUGAAAAAAAAUGACCAAAUUAAUCCACAAUAAUUCAUUCAACUCGUCUAAAUUAGAUUAGAUUGAAUUUGAUUUGCUACACCUACAUUGAGCAACAAACCUCAACGCGAUUCUAUGAGCUCUUUGAUUGUUUAUAAAAUUGAUUUAGAGUACAUAAUGGAGUGUAUCGACAAUGAAAGUGCAAAACAAAUUAUUGUAUACAUUAAAAUCUGCAAAACAAUGAAUUAUAUGUACGAACGAGUGCAAACACAUUUUUCAAUAAGAAGUUAAAAGAUAUUUAUGCAUGAAAAAGCAUACGUUUGUAGUUACUCUAAAUUUUUUAAAAAAAAUUUACAUUUAGAUCCCUAAAAUUUACGUAUAAGUACAAAAGUUUCAAAUAUUGUCUAUUAUUUUUUAACAUAUGCCUAUUCCUUGUGGAUAAUUCUGUCUCAUCACUAAUGUUGUUUCUUGCUUACAAAAAACAAAUGUCAUCUCCUUUUACAAUUUUUAUAGCGUCUCAAAAUAGACAAUGGGGGGAUUUUGAAUUUUUUAAGUCUCAAGAUAGUCUCUAAUCUUGUGAGAAAGAUUUUCUUUCAAUAAUUUGGAGGUAAAGAUAACAUAAUUUUUUGGAUAGUGUGCAUGUGUAUUUAAUUAAUAAUUUUUUAAAAAAAUACAUCAAAUAUUAAUAUCCAUGACAUAAUUUAGUUCUUAAUUUUUUUUAAAUACAUCAAAAACAUAAUUUUUUUUAACAACUUAUAGGCAUGACAAAUUUCAAGAUAUAAAUAUCAGUCAAAAUAAGUGAAAGAAAUAAUGGUGCCAAUUCUAAUUUCUUAACUAAAUUAAUUAGUGCAUGAGCCCCGAAUACGACACGAGAGUUUGAUGGGCUAACUUGGCACAAGAACGUGAAUAAAUAAUUGAUUUAAGAAAUAAUUCAACGAAAAAUAUAAUUGAUAAGAAUUCAGUAUUGAAAUGAGUUUUUUUGUGAAACACUGAAUUAAUGAUUAUUAAGCAAGAACAAUAAAAAAAUAAAUAUUAAUCAUUGAUAAGUUUCAACAAAAACUUAACACAAUCCUCAAUCCUCAUUCAAAUGAUAAAUGUCAUUCAUAUAUUCAUUAUAAAUCAACAACAAAGGUUAUAAAUGUUUAGAAAUUCUAGAGGGAAGGAAGCUAUCGCCGGACAAUCAACAACUAAAUUUGAUGUAAUUGUGGCACGAGAUGGAAUAUGGAAACUACACCAUAAUUUCAAAUGCCGCCAUAGACAUUGACUUAUCAUAAUAACAAUGAUCUAAUUAAAAUAAAAACAAAGUUUAUGGGCAUUUAUUAUUUUGCCAUUCCUCAUUUGCAAAUAGGGAUAUAAUUAUAAUUUUACCUAGUCAAAGCAAUCGGUAGUUUUCUUCAUUAUAGGAGUGAAGUAAAAACAUUUAGAUUUCAAUGUAUGUACGGAAAAAUUUGUCUUUAAAAAUACUUUCUUAAUGUGUGUAUGCAUAUUGAAAUACUCAAACCAAUUUUGGUUAUAUAUAAUUAAACAAAUUUUAAAAUAUGAAAAAUAUAAUGUAGUUAUAGUGGAUAAACAAUAAGUGAGCACAAUAUAAUUAAUCAAAUAUUAUGCCAUCAAAAGUUAAUUUUAGAAAUUCCAAAUCCAAUAGCCAACACAAUUCUUUUUUUUUUAAAAAAGUUGACACAAUUAAUAAAAUUAGCGACAUGAAUUUCACGCCAUUGAUAAUCAGCAAUUAGUAUUACUUUCUAAACUUGCUUCAACUGGUCGUUGAUGUCCGGGUCACCAAAAGUAUAAGCGAUAAUAAGGGGCAUUGGGCAAGAGUGAUGAAUGUUUAGUCGGUGCAUUUGAUUGAUAGAUAUAUAAAGGGCCGAAACUUGAGAUUAUAUUACUUUUACAAAUUUUAAUCCAAUCACAUAUUUACUGAAAACAAAAUGAGUUAGGAUACUUUAUUUAGAACCCACAUUUUAAUAAGGCUUCAUUUGAUGUAGUUUUUCAAACAGUGAUUAUUUGAGUAAAGUUUCCUCAAUAGAGUUUUUAUCAAAUAAAUUUUAUUUAUUUGGUUGUCGAUAAGAACUUUUAUUAAAAAUUAUAAAAUUAUUUAAAUAAACAUAUUUUUUAAAAUUACAUUAUAAAAAGAAUUAAAUAAAGUUAUAAAAGUAAAAUAUAUUUUAGAUAUUUUAAUAUUUAAGAAAAAAAUUUUGAAUCUCUACUUUCAGAAGCUCAAAUUUUUAGUUUUUAGUUGUAGAGACAAAAUAUCUUAUUUAAUCUUUAAAAGUUCUGCUAAAAACAAUCAAAUAACUAUAAAAUUUUUAAUAAGAGUAUAUAAAAUUAAAUAAGCAUUUAUUAAUAAUCACUUUAGUGUACUUAUCUAAUGACCAUAAGUGUUUAUUUAAUCUCAUAAGUUCUUAUUUAAUCUCAUGAGCUCUUUUCAAUUUUUUUUGUUGUUUGCUUUUUUUAGUAGAGUUUUUGAAAAUUAAAUAAACUAUUUUGUCUCUAUUAGGAAAAACUCAAAUUUUAGGUUUUUGUGAGUAAAUGUUUAAAUUUUUUUUAAAAUAUUAAAAUAUUAAAGUAAAAGUUGUAGAGACAAAAUAUCUUAUUUAAUGUUUAAAAGUUCUGCUAAAAAUAAUCAAAUAACUACAAAAAUUUUAAUAAGAGCAUAUAAAAUUAAAUAAGCAUUUAUUAAUAGUCACUUUAGUAUACUUAUCUAAUGACCAUAAGUGUUUAUUUAAUCUAAUGAGCUCUUUUUAAUUUUGUUUGUUUGUUUUUUUAGUAGAGUUUUUGAAAAUUAAAUAAACUAUUUUGUCUCUAUUAGGAAAAACUUAAAAUUUAGGUUUUUGUGAGUAAAUGUUUAAAUUUUUUUUAAAAUAUUAAAAUAUCUUUUCUUUAUUUCAUAAUCUUAUUUCAUUCUUCACAACAUAACUUUAAAUAACUCACCUAUUAAAAUAAUUUCACAAUUUAUAAUAAAAAUUUUAAUUGACAAUCAAAUAACAAAUUUUUUUUUAUAAAAACUCUAAUAAUAAAAAUUCUACUUAAAUAAAUUAUAUUUGAAAAGGUAUACCAAACGAACCUAACAUAAAAACAAAAAUUUUUACAUCCACACAAUUAAGCUUAAAACAAUUUCAAAUGAAUUUUAGACUACUCAAAGUACAAUACGUACCAAGUUUGGUAACUUAUUGGGGUCCGCUUGUAAUACAGCGUCUGUAUCUCAUACAGCCAAAUUUAAUAAUUUAUUAAGAAAAAGGGCAACCAUUAGAUAGAAGUAGAUACAUCCAACGGUUAAAAUGUUUGAUUACUCAUUUUGGCGACCGGAUAUGCCAGUUAUUAUUUCAUCAAUUAACUUACCUAAAAAAUCACAGCCGUUGGAUUGAGAUGCCUCUCUUUCCCUCAAAAUAACAGCCUUCGUAUUCUCUCUGCUAUUGUUUUCUCCUACAUCCAGAAUUUUGGAUGAAUGAACUUGGUAUUCAACAAUAUUCACCACCCAUCACAGCAAAGAGCAAAGAUGUAGUCAAAGGAGUGCCAUUUAUUCAGGCUAACUCGAUCUGUCACUCUCGCUUCAAUUCGUCACUCAUUUUCUCGCGCUCAGCUUCAAUCUAUCACUCUCAGCUUCAGUUCGUCACUCACAGCUUCAAUUUUUCACUGUCGUGAAUCAUCUCUCUUGCUGUAUCUCUCUCUUAUGUCUUCCAAUAAUUUCGGUGAGCUCUCUCUCUAAUUUAAUAUAUGAUUAAAAAUCUUAUCAUCUUAUCAUGUCAUUUAAAUAUGCUUGAAGUUUCAAUUUAGUUUAUGAAUAUUACUUGAAAUUUCAGUUUCAAUAAUUUGAUUUUGCAAUUGAGAAAUUAUUACUUGAAAUAUUGAGAUGAUUUCUAGGGAUUGAUAAUUGAAUGAUAAUUGCUAAGGCUUGUCAUUUUUUGUUUUUGAACAGAUAGAGUUACAAUUAAGUCAUACUGCAAUAUUUUAUCUUGAGAUUCUAUUAUUCACAAAAAGAAAAAAAUCAUAAAUUGAAAAAAAAAAAAAAGAGGUUACGAGCAUCAAGCAACUGCAAGUAAUGGGGUUUGUUUUGAUGAGCUGCGAAUUGGGGCCUGUCAUUUUCUUGAAGUAUCUUCAAUAUAAGUGGAAGGAGAUUUCUUCUCUCCAAAAAAUUAUUGUAUAUUUCCUUUUAAAUUCUAGAUUCGCAUGUAGCUGAUUUUUUAUGUUUGAAGGAUUUUAUUAAAGAAUGUGCUGCUGCUAGUGGCAUGAAUUAAUGUAGUCUCGCUAGUAUUCGUGAUUUGGGGUAAGGAUCGAAUUGAACAAUUAUAUUUCUAUUAUUCUUAUAUUCGAAUCCAGUGAUAUUGUGGUGGUUUUAUGAUAAUAUUCAAUUGUUUUGUGCCUCAAAUCAGCCAAUGAGUUGGGUAUGUGCUGGGUAUAUGCCGUAUGGGCUUGUUGUUGAAUUUGCUUGACCUUGGAUGUGAUUCUUGCCGUGUUUAUAAGAAAUAGACACAGGUCUUUGUGUGGUAAUAGAAUUGUCUAAGGUGCCUUACAAUAAAUUUAAGAGUCUUAAGUAACUAUGCUUUGUAACCUUAAACCUUUAUUUGUACGACUUGGUGUUCUUGGUUGUGAAAGAAUGUUAAAUGUUGACCUAUUUUCAUCGGUGAAGAUAAAUGAAGUUAGGGAAGGUUUGUAAUCACUAUAACCCUGACAAUUUUUUUGGUGGGCCGUGAUAAUUUUAUUCAUGGCAUGUACUUUGUUUUUAUCAGAAGGCCCUGUUUGCUUGUAGUCUCAAAUCUAGGGUAAUAUUUUAAAUAAGUUCUGCAAUAUAUGUUUUGCUAUUUUUCUUUUUUGUUUUUAUUUUAAUUAGUUUUAGUAUUACUUGGAGGGGAAUUCUGAUCUGCUGAAGUUUAUCAAGCUGGUGCAGUGGUGCAGCAAGCAGACCUUUAUCUUAAUCUUAUGAUUGUGCUAAGUGGAAUUUUGUGUAAGUUACAACAAUAUAAUUUUUUAAAGAGCUGACAAGACGCUCUCUCUUUUUUUUGGAAUGUUGAGCAAAACUUUUCUUUCUUAUUAGGUGUUUAUAAUAAUUCAUAGCAUGGGUUUUGUCAUAUUGGUUUCAAUGCAUUGAUUUGAUCUUGGUUACAACCCAUCAGCCCUUACUCCUCAUUCCCAGCAGCUUUUAAUGCCUUUUUUUUAAGCAUUGUACUUUGUUUCAUGAUGAAAUUUGUUUAUAUGACGCAAAGUUGAGGACACGGUAAUAGUCAUUAUUUUAAUUUAUGCAACAAAGAUCAUUAUCCAUUAAAUUUUAUGUUGUUGAAAUAUUUAGAUUUUGUAAAUUUUGUUGUAAGAAAUGAGGGCUCUUGAUCCCAUCCCUUUAUUAUAUACAAUUUUUUUUCACUCUGUCAUUCAUUUAUUGUGUGUUAGAGGUAUUAGUCAUGUGCAAAAGUAAAGAUCUUUAUUUUGUUAUUUUUGUCAUCUUGUGCUUCAUUGGUAUAAAUGAGGAAAAAAAAGAAUAAAAUAAAAUAAAAUUAUAGUUUGUGCAUGAAUUCCACCAUAUAUGAAAUGUUUAAUAGAUUAAAAAGUAAGGAGUACACAGUGACUUUGAAUAGCAGGUGGGGGAACUCAUUUUGUUUUAAAAAAAAUUAAUACAUAUUGAUAGAAUAAUUAUCCUUCACUUAAUUAUUUAAAAAUUUUAUUUUGGAAGAAUACAAAUGGACAGUCACCAAUGAAAGCGUAAACGACUACCAGGGGGCUUACAGAAAAAAUUGCUCCUAUUCUAAAAGUAGAUGGUCAGGACAAAGUUCCAACAACUUCAACUUAUGGAUUUGUCUCUUACUUGUAAGGUAAUCUCUUCUUGUAGGGUGUUUAAUUGAAUUAAAAACAGAAUAUUAUUUGCAUUAUAGAGUACAGGCAUAAAUUCAUUAUCUAUGUCAGUUCAUUCAUGAUUUUACUCCAAAUGGAGUAAUAGAUCACCAUUAAUUUAUUGAUACAUCGUCCAUGUUUGUUUUCGUCUUCAAUUUUUAUAUUACAAUAUCUAAUCUAUUUAGUAUUCGUAAAAAAACAUACGAGAAAAAGUUGGAAAAACACUUUAGGGGUGAUUGUGUACACUUUCGUAUGGCACAAAUAGCGUUAGGCUUUGUUUUUUAAGUGGACGACGUGUCCAUUUUUUGUGUUACAUCUUACUCAUUAAUAUAUUUUUGAGUUUCUUAUGGAAAAAAAAUUGAAAAAACACUUUAAGUGAAAAAAAUUUGUAUUUCAAUUUAUAUGUAACAGUGAAUUGGAAAAUAAAUUCUACCAAUAAUUAAAAGAAUACUUUUCUUUUAAUUAUUAAAAAGAUAAGGUAGUUACUCAUUACCCAUAUAAAUGGACAGUUUUAAUUUGUUCCAUAUCUAUACAACAGAAGAGCUUCAGACACGGUUUGCAGCGUUCCACGAUCACUUCCAUUCUAAGCAGCAGCGUCUUCCGUCUUUUUGCACACCAACAGCAGAUUCUAGAUGGCCAGAAGCUCAUCUGCCGCACUCUCGGGAUUUCGCUGCCAUCCUCAUCUUCAUCUCCACUACCUCCUCAGUGAUUAUCCCCUGGUUUUAUGCUCAGAAAUUAUGAUUAUUAUGUAUCUUGUUUUCAGAUUUGUCAAUACUUGUUAUAUUUUGAUUAUGCAUUAUGGACAUUUUUCAUAAGAUAGCUUAAUUUUGUGGUUUGUGUUGACGAUUUCCAUGUAUGGAUGUUUGGAUAGGUAAUUUCGCCUUCCAUGCAUUCUUCAUUCCUGCAUCCUGUGGGAGAAAAUUGGAAAAAGUGGUUUUUGAUGAGAAACGGGGAGAAGGAUGAGAUAUAUAUUUUUGAAGUGUCACAUUAUUUCAAAAACAAACCCCAAAUUUAAUUUCUCUUACCGAUCAUGAGUUAAAAUAUAAAAAUUAACGUUUACUCAUCACACUGUUAUAAGUAUCAAAGCAUUACUUAUAGAAAAAUUAUCGUCACCUAUCCUACAUUUGUGAUUGAAUAGUGGCACAAUUUUAAUUGGGAUAUUUAACAUUACUCUUUGUAAUUGUUUGGUCUUAUUUGAAGUUUGUAAAUUUUUCAUAACUAUGACUUCAACAGCAUAUUUCAGGUUGCAUUUAAUCGUUGCUAUAAUUAGGUACUUUGAAAUAAUUUAUUGGCCACGAUUACAGUCAUUGUUAUUAGUCACCCCUCUUUUUUCUCUUUUGGCCAACCAGCUCUUGGAUAUUUGGGAACCGAUGACAAUAGUUGGGAAAUUAUGUAAUAUUGGUGUGUUUGCGAAAUAAAUCAAGAGAUUUGCCUUGCCGAAGUUAAAAGAGAUAUUGUGGCCUGAAUUUUUUUUUUUUUUCUCUAGGGGCCAUGGCUCUCAAGGACAAGGCAUGAAUCAUGCAUUAUAAUUGCUCGAAAGGGUUAGUAAAAUAGCAAUCUAAAAUACCCAAGUUGGAUCUGCUGUUGAAUCACAAAAAGAACAUAAUUGGGAUAUGAAGUCAUGGUUGCAAGUGUUGGACCCUUAGGUUACGUUUGGCACGUAGGAUUGGAUUGAACUAAUUACUAAAAUUGGAUUGAAUUAUAUUCGAUUGGAUUAAACUGGAUUAUAUUAUAUAGUUCUAUGGUUAGUACAAUAUCGGAUUAAACUAUGUUAAAUUAUAUUUAAAUAAUAUUAAAUAGCAUUUAAGUUGGUAUUUUAAUAUUAAUAUCAAUUAUUCAUGAAAUUUCAUAAUCAUAAUUAAAAUAAAUUUAAAAAACAAUUACCAGGAAAAUUAAAUAUAUUGUAAAUAAGUUACUGGGUAGUCAUAAUACAGUAAACAAAUGAACAUAGAUAAAAAAAUUAAAUUUUAAAUAAUUUUUAUCAAAUUUUAAAAAAAAAUUAUAUAAAAUCAAUUAUUUAAUGGUAUUAUUAAUUUUCAUGAUUAUUUUUAAUAGUAUAUAACAAUGAUUAUUAAAUUUAAUACAAUCAAAUAAUGCAAUAAAUAAUUAAACAUUUAAUUUUAUCAAUAAAUUACUAAAUAUACAAGUGGUGAAAAUUUAAUCUCCAGAGUUAGUACAAGUAAAGGUAUUAAUUUAAUUAGAUCAUAGAUAAUAAAUAAAAAUAAGUUUUAAGUAAAUCAUAUUAAAAAUUAAUUAAUUAAUUAAUACUAGGUGUAAAUAAAAAAAAUGAUAUAAAUAAAAAUCUCAUAAAUGGACAACUUUUUUCUUUAAUCUUAUCCCAACUAAACCCAUGCGUAAAUUAGGAUUAUCAAUUCCAUGAUUUUAGGAUUAAAUUUAAAUUACUACCCCCUUAAUCCAAUCCAACUAAGCUUGCCAAACAUUGGAUAAAUAUUUAAUUCCAAAAUUAGUCUAAUCCCAUACUUAAUCCUAGAAUCCAAACAUGGCAUUAGCACCUUAUAUAACAAAGUGUCACUGAAAUACAGCAAAACGUUAUAAACAAGAACUUAUUUCUGUACAAAAUGUUAUUUACUUUUUGUGAACUUCCAAAUACCUACUAUAUGAUUUGCAAACCCUACAAAAGUCUACCUUGCAUGCUCUUUCUAACGUGAAAUUUGAUUUUUAUUAAAUUUUUGAUGUGUUCACUAAUAAAUAAUUGGAAUCUAAAAAAAUUAGAAAAAAAUAGAAUUAGAAUGAGCUACAAUAAAAAUGAGGAAUAACAAAAAAAAUGAUAUUUGUUGAGAUGAAUGAAACACAAUUGAAAUACUCUAUAUCGCUCUUAAUAUGUUCACUUUGUGAACAUAAAUUAGAAUUAGUUGUUAUAACUUAGUAAUUUAUCCUCAAUCAAUUAUUAUCAUUAUUACUAUUUGUUAUAAUAAUUGUAAUUAUUAUUUUUGAUAAUUUUAAUACUAAGAAAAUUAUUGUUAGGGGUGGAAACACCAUAUAGAGAAGGAACAAUUAAAUUUAUAAAAUUUAGUGGGGAUAAAAUAGUCACUUAAGACAGCAAGCGUCUCCCAUUCUCACCUCCACGAGCAUGAAAACACUAGUAAUCAUUCUUAAAUUUUGAUGGAAUCUGUUGCUUUUAUUCUAAUAACGAACGCAAAACCUAUGGAAUUAGUUGGAAUAACGAAUGCAAAACCUCUGGAAUUACAAUUGAAAUACGUCAACCCAAAAUGGAGAAAGCACAACUAAAAUUAGAGACCUACAAAACCAAAAAUAAACUUAUAGAAAACAAACCCGGUACCUAAUCUCAAUAAUUGGAAUCUCAACCAGUUAAUGGAAAUAUUCAACUCAAAAUUAGGGAAAAAUUAGAUGAAACACGUGAACCAUUGAGAGAGAAAGUAUGACGAAAAUUAGAAACUCAUUUAACGAAAAAUAAUAUUUACUUGGAAUCUAACCCAUGAUACUGGUACCUAAGGAACUUUAUAGGAAUAUGAAACGCAAAACCAGUGGACCAAUAAGUUGAAACAUGUGAACCAAAAAAUGAAAAACUAUAACCAAAUCUUGAGACUAAUCAAACCAAGCAAAAGUAAUAUUGAUAUUUAACCCAUAUAAUUGGAAUUUUACCAAAUUAGUUGGAAUAACGAAUGUAGAACUUGUGGAAUUACAAUUGAAAUACAUCAACAAAAAAUGGAGAAAGCACAACCAAAAUUAGAGACCUACAAAACCAAAAAUAAAUUUAUAGAAAAUAAAUUUGGUACCUAACCACAAUAAUUGGAAUCUCAACCAGUUAAUGAGAAUUCUCAACGCAAAACUAUAGGAAAAAUUAGCUGAAACACAUGAACCAUUAAGAGAGAAAUUAGAACGAAAACUUGGAACUUAUCCAACGAAGAAUGCUCGUGACUUGGAAUCUAACAACAAAUAUUGGUACUUGACUAAUUUAGUAGGAAUAUCAAAUGCAAAACUCAUUGACCAAUAAGUUGAAACAUGUAAACCAAAAGAUGAAAAAGUAUAACCAAAACCUGAGAAUAAUCAAACCAAGAAAAAGUAAUAUUGAUUUUUAACCCAUAUAAUUGGAAUUUUACCAACUUAAUUGGAAUAACGAAUGCAAAACCUGUGGAUUUACAAUUGAUAUACGUCAACCCAAAAUGGAGAAAGCACAACCAAAAUUAGGGACCUACAAAACCAAAAAUAAAGUUAUAGAAAACAAACCUGGUACCUAACCUCAGUAAUUGGAAUCACAACCAGUUAAUAGGAAUAUUCAAUGCAAAAUUGGGGAAAAAAUUAGAUGAAACACGUGAACCAUUAAGAGAGAAAGAACAACGAAAACUAGGAACUUAUCCAACAAAGAAUGAUAGUUACUUGGAAUCUAACAGUAAAUAUUGGUACUCGACGAAUUUAAUAGGAAUAUCAAACGCAAAAAUAGUGGACCAAUAAGUUGAAACAUGUGAACCUAUAGAUGGAAAAGAAUUACCAAAAUUUGUAACUAAUCAAACCAAAAAAAGUAAUAUAGAUAUCUAACCCAUAUAAUUGGAAUCUCGACAAAUUAGUUGAAAUAUUAAACAAAAAACUAGUGGAAUAAUAGUUGAAACACAUGAACCAAAUGUGGAGAAAGUUUAACCAAAUUUUGAAACUUAUCCAAUGAAGAAUGCUAGUUACGUGGAAUCUAACAACAAAUAUUGGUACUCGACGAAUUUAAUAGGAAUAUCAAACGCAAAAAUAGUGGACCAAUAAGUUGAAACAUGUGAACCUAUAGAUGGAAAAAUAUUACCAAAAUUUGGAACUAAUCAAACCAAAAAAAGUAAUAUCGAUAUCUAACCCAUAUAAUUGGAAUCUUGACAAAUUAGUUGAAAUAUUAAACGAAAAACUAGUAGAAUAAUAGUUGAAACACAUGAACCAAAUGUGGAGAAAGUUUAACCGAAUUUUGAAACUUAUCCAACGAAGAAUGCUAGUUAUUUGGAAUCUAACAACAAAUAUUGGUACUCGAUGAAUUUAGUAGGAAUAUCAAACGCAAAAAUAGUGGACCAAUAAGUUGAAACAUGUGAAUCUAUAGAUGGAAAAGCAUUACCAAAAUUUGGAACUAAUCAAACCAAAAAAAGUAAUAUCGAUAUCUAACCCAUAUAAUUGGAAUCUCGACAAAUUAGUUGAAAUAUUAAACUAAAAAUUAGUGGAAUAAUAGUUGAAACACAUGAACCAAAUAUGGAGAAAGUUUAACCAAAUUUUGAAACUUAUCCAACGGAGAAUGCUAGUUACUUGGAAUCUAACAAAAAAUAUUGGUACUCGACGAAUUUAGUAGGAAUAUCAAACGCAAAAAUAGUGGACCAAUAAGUUGAAACAUGUGAACCUAUUGAUGGAAAAGCAUUGCCAAAAUUUGGAACUAAUAAAACCAAAAAAAGUAAUAUCGAUAUCUAACCCAUAUAAUUGGAAUCUUGACAAAUUAGUUGAAAUAUUAAAUGAAAAACUAGUAGAAUAAUAGUUGAAACACAUGAACCAAAUGUGGAGAAAGUUUAACCGAAUUUUGAAACUUAUCUAACGAAAAAUAAAUUUAAUUGGAAUUUAACCCAAAAUAUUAGUGUUUAACGAGUUUAGUGGGAAUAUUAAACAUAAAACUAGUGGAUCGGAAAAUGGAGAUAAGCAAACCAAUUAGUGAGAAAGUUGAAUCAAAAUUAGGUAUAUGUGAAAUUAACUUGGAAUGUCACCUAAUAUAUUGAUAUUUAACCAAAAGAAUCGAGACAUGCUCAUUUUAAUUUUUUUAAACUUUUGUUGCAAUUAAAAAUAAUUUUUUCACUUAAAUAUUGUUUGUGUUAAAUAUUUACAAAAUUUCCUUAAUUUUUCCUGUUUCAUUUUAUUUUUUCUACAUUAAAAAUAAUUUUUUAAAAAUUAUUAAAUGAACAACCGGUAAAAUACCGGUUGUUCAAGUUUCCUUUUUACUGUUGAAGGGGCUGUAUUUUAUACAGCACUGUACUAUAGGAAGACUCAACUUAUUGACAUCUUCUCAUAUAACCUUCGAUCAAGUCGAUUCUGACCUGACGACUAAUUGGUACAUCACCGUUGUUCUCUAUACUCGCAUGCAUCGGAUCACAAAUCUCACUCCAAUUGUCGUCUUUCUUCGCCGUUUUAGCGCAUACUUCUUGAAUUUCCCGCAUUUCGUUCCCUCCUGUUACAAGUCUCCGGUCAGGUCAGUGAUUGAAUUUCCCGCAUCUCUAUCCCUCCCGUUUUCUCGCGUCGUUUCACUUCAAUUUCUCGUGUCUCCUUUCAGUUUAAGUGAUUGAAUCAAUUUUAUCGCAGUCAUAAGAGAAAUUAAGUAAUGCUCUUGGAUUUAAAAUUUUUUUGCUUUCGACUUUAGAUCUCGAAAGUCAAACUCUGCUACGAAUCCAUAGAUUCUCAAUGCUCAUAAUCUUAUUUGUGUUUGACCAGGUAACUGGAUCGUGAAAUUCGUCGUUUUGUAUCAAUUCAAGCUUUCGCGAGCUCAUGGAAUCACCUGGUGAGUUGUGGUGAAACGUUAUCGUUUCAAUUUUCGCUUAAUUCUUUAUUGCAUAUUUUUUUCUCUAAUGUUUCAGUUUAAUUUAGAAAAGAAAGAGGCCCCAAAAAGAGAGAGAGAGAGAGACUCUACCAUACUCAAUUCCUUGCUCAUUCUGAUUUGGCCUGAAUGUUGGCAUUGACUAUUAUUUGUUUUCAUUUCGAUUUAAUUCUCAUUUAGACAGUCUUUACUAACGGUCAAUAAUAGUUUAAGGAAAAUGAUCAUAGGGAUUCUGCAAUAAUCUUUCUGCAUUGUUCAAGUUAGUAGACAAUGAAUAGGAUGUUUAUGUUUACCUCAUUUUGAACCCUGAGGGCUUCGUUGAGUAGUUGAUUCAACAUAUCCAGCAACGGUUGAUGUGAGAACAGAAUGCCACUUAGAUAGGCUUAAACUGAUUUUGGAGGUUUGUAUUGGUUCUAUUGUACGUCUUGCUUACAAAUUUUUAAUUUUUAAUUUUGUAUAAUAUGCUCUUUGUUGGUAAAUCUCAUUUGACUUAGAAGAGAUAGUUUUAUCCCAACAGUGGGAUAAAUCAUUGAGAUGCAUGGCAGUGUGAAUAUAGUAGACAAAAUCAUUGAGACACAUGGUGGUGUGAACAUAGUAAACUUUGUCAAACACAGCUAAGAUAAACAAAUUGUUUCAUUAGCCUUUACCUUAUCUGCUGUGAUGAUUCAAAUUAAUGCUGUUUGGUAGGUUGCAAAAAACGAAAUGAGCUGUCUGUUCGUAUUAUUUAGUCAGAUCUAUUGCAAUAAGUUGAAGUUCAUUGUCACAUGGGUUGGGAGUAGCGUGGGCUGUGAGUAGUAGAAUGGAUUUAUGGAGUUGAUACAAGUGCCCAUAAUCUAUCAUGUCAUUCUAGGAUUAAAUGGAUUGCACAUUACUGUAAAGAUGGAGGUUAAAUUUAUAUAAUUCGGAUUGAUUGUAAAAUGGGAGGCAGAGAUGAGUUAGAAAAAGAAUGACCUGUGUCCUUUUUGAGCUGUUUCUAAAUCUCCCUGGUGUGCUUCAUGCUUAACACGUGUCUUUCCAAAUAAUUUUGCUUAACCUGUGCUUGUCUACUUCUUGUGCUAUUCUGUGCCUGGUCCUGAGCUGUGUUGGUAGAUUGACAUAAUUUUGCUCUGCUAAAUGUAUAACUUAUUAAUCAGAGUCCUGUUAUUAUGGUUUGACACUACUGACAUAUUGUGUUGGUAUUUAUUUGUACUUCCCUUGGUUGAAUUAUUUGCUGUCUCCAUGCAAUUCGAUAUGGUGCUACUUGGUUUUUGAUCAUCCAUGACGCUAUAUAUAUGUAAAGGAUGAAUUGAUUGUUUUGGCUUGUAUUCUCACAUUUUAUGAUUGAUCGAUGGAAAGGUUUUCAUGCAUUAAAUUCAACCUCACAAGCGUAAGAUUGACAGAUUGUGGGCAAAUUUUCAGGAAAAGAAACUAGACUUCAUGGAAGCAAUGAAGCUUGAAAUUGAACGUCUGCAGCUGAAUCUUUCUGCAGCUGAAAGGGAUAGAACUUUAUUGUCAAUUGGAACUGAUCCUGCCUCUAUAAAUCCAAAUGUAUUGCUUGAUGAAUCUUACAUGGGAAGACUGUGUCGAGUAGCAAACACUCUUGCAUUACUUGGCCAAGCUUCCCUAGAAGAGAAAAUUGUUGGUGCAAUUGGCCUUGAGAAUAGUGGUGAUAGUGUUUUAGACUUCUGGAAUAUUACUAGAAUCGGAGAGAGUUGUUCUGGUGGUGGGUGCGAGGUUUGUGCAGAAACUAAGGUGCCUGCUCUUGCUUCCUCAACUGCAACAUCUGUUGGAUCUUCACAAUCCCCUUUGUUGUGUUCUCAAUGUGAAAGAAAAGUUUGCAAAGUUUGUUGUGCAGGAAGAGGAGCUCUACUGUUUUCAAAUUAUAAAUCAAGGGAUGUGACCAACUACAAUGGCUUCUCAAGUCAGAGUGGAUCAAGCCAUGGAAGCCAAGUUGAUGUAGCUACCAGUCGUUCACUAACACUGGAUGGCGUUAUCUGUAAACACUGUUGCCAUGAGAUGGUGCUUGAUGCAUUGAUGUUGGACUAUGUUAGGGUCUUGAUUAGGUUGCGAAGAAGUUCCUGUGCAGACAACGCAGCAUACAAUGCUUUGAAUGAGGUUGUUGGAUCCUGCUUAAAGGAUAGUCUUUCUGAGAGGAUUCAGUCUUCCGAUAAUGCGCAAGCAGCUAAAGUCCUGCACCAAUUAUGUGGUGGACAGGAAGCACUUGCUGAAUUUCCAUUUGCUAGCUUUUUGCACUCGGUAUGUUCUUGGUUUGUAUUCAGUUCUCAUCAUAUUAUGUUUUCCUUUUAAAUUUCAUUUCUUGAUUAAAAUUUUUAGAAAUGUGUUUUAGCAUUUAUUCUUAUGAUAUAUGCCCGGAACAUUCAUCCCACUUAUCCAUGAGAAUCCUUGUCUGGUUUGAUUUUCAAUUGAGACAUUUUUGGGAACCCUGCGCAGGUUCCAUAUGCUAAUAAUCUUUGAGGUAAGGUGUUGUAGGAUGCCUUGAGAAGCUAAAAACCCAUUACAAGGAAAAGGUCUUGCAUUGUUUUGUGCAAUCUGUGUGCGAGCUAGUCAUGUCUCUAAUAAUUUCAUAGUUUGCUUGAUUGGAAUUUUUUAUCUUGAUAUGGAUUGUUUAUUCUAGAUUCCUUGGUGCCACUGUAGGUUGAAACAGCAAAAGAUUCAGCACCGAUUUUGUCACUGCUUGCUCCAUUAAAUUCUGGAUCAAGGCACUCAUAUUGGAGAGCUCCACCUAGUACUACUUCUGUUGAAUUUGUUAUUGUUCUCGGUUCUGUUUCUGAUGUCAGUGGGGUUAUCUUGCUUGUUAGUCCUUGCGGCUAUUCUGUGGCUGACACUCCGAUGGUAAGUGCCAUAUUUAUUCCCUUAUUUCCUUGUUGUUCAAUAAAUUUGGUGAUAAGCCAAGUGGCCUUAAUAAUGAAGCCCAGUACCAGGGUUGGUGGGUAAUAGAUAUUCAACUUGUGAAUAUUCCUAAGCAAACACUGAAUCAACAUAUACCUCGGCUAAAGUUCUCUAUGCUAUUAUAACAAAAGUCAUAUUUUGAAAUGAUUAAAAGAGUCCCUGUGUAGUGCCAUUUCCAAAGAAAUUGCAGCUGGGGGUUUAGUUUCAUGUAGGUUAGUUUCCGAUAAUAAACUUUCUAUUUCAUUAAUUGCUGAUGAAAAAACCAAGUAAGAACAGUUUUGUUGCUCGUCAUUUUUGUAUAUUUUGGUAAACUGUAAUUUUAAAUUCUCAACGAUCUUCCCUUUGUAGGUAAGAAGAUGGUCCACUCACUUGAUAUUUAUGAUUGUAGAUCAGGUUUCUAUUGGUUUGCCUUUAUCAUUUAGAACCCAUGUUUGAUAUUAACAGAGAUCACGUCAAUAAUAUCCUAUUUGGGUAGAUGUGGGUGAGGAUUUAAAAUCAAAUUUGAAAUUGAGGGGAAAGAAGAGAAAAGGAACCACAAUAAUUAAACAAAAUAAUAGGAACUAUUCUGAUGAGUUUUAAUCUCGAGAGGAACAAUUUUCAAAUGCACUGCUAGAGAAAUUGUAGCUUUUUGUCAUUAGUUAAAAGGAAAAAGAAUAAGAACUAUCCGGCCCUUUCCUUCAUGAAUGUGUGUUGAGGUUGCUGUAUUAUUUAGUCAGUAUUUGUAAUUUUCUUCCCUGCAGUGCUCUCUGCCUCCUGAAUUUGCUUCCUAUUGCUGUUACAGGUGCAAAUCUGGGCAAGCAAUAAGAUACACCAGGAGGAAAGGUCAUCAAUGGGAAAAUGGGAUGUCCAAUCCCUCAUCACAUCUUCUUCAGAUUUGUAUGGUCCAGAAAAGUCUGCUAGUGUUGAAAAAUUACCUAGGCAUGUAAAAUUUACUUUUAAGAAUCCUGUUAGGUGCCGCAUUAUUUGGAUCACAUUACGUCUUCAGAGACCUGGUUCGGCUUCAGUUAAUUUCGGGAAGGACCUCAGUCUUUUGUCUCUUGAUGAAGAUGAAAACCCCUUUGCACAAGUAGACAGACGUGCUUCAUUUGGAGGAGCAGUUGAAAAUGAACCAUGUAUUCAUGCCAAAAGAAUUCUUGUAGUCGGAAGCCCAGUAAAAAGGGAGGGGCUUACCACAUCACAGAGCUCUGAGCAGCUAAGUAUUAGAAACUGGUUGGAUAGAGCUCCACAAAUGAGUAGAUUCAAGGUAUUAGUUGCUUUCACUCUUUGUUCAUUCAUAAUUCCAGCUUUCUGCUUCACUGAUAAACCUCUUUUUUCUCUUCAGGUCCCAAUUGAGGCCGAGAGAUUGAUGGACUACGAUCUCGUCUUGGAACAGUAUCUACCUCCAGCGUCACCUUCGCUUGCCGGAUUCUGUCUAGACGCUUUCAGUGCAAUAAAACCUAGGGUUACCCAUUCACCUUCCUCAGAUUCAGAUAUCUGGGACAAAUCAGUAACAUUUUUAGAAGACAGGUACAUCUCUCAAGCUGUAUUGUAUUUACAAGUAUCCGCACUCCAGGAACCACAUAACAUGGUAACUAUUGCGGAAUAUCGACUGCCGGAGGCUAGAGCCGGAACGCCAAUGUACUUUGAAUUCCCACGACCGAUACAGUCCCGACGAGUUUCAUUCAAGCUUCUUGGAGAUGUUACAGCAUUUGCAGAUGAACCUUCAGAACAAGAUGAUUCAGGAUUGAGAGCUCCACUUGUGGCCACAGGUUUGUCUUUGUCAAACAGAAUCAAGUUAUAUUAUUAUUGUGAUCCUUAUGAGCUUGGAAAAUGGGCAAGCCUUUCUGGAGUUUGAUCGUUAUUUAUAUGUCAGAGAAAGAGUUUUGGGUUUGAUUUUGAUUUUGAUUUGUAAUUUUUGUCAGUUUAUUGAAAUUUUUUUGUUGUAUAAAAGCAGAAUGUAAAGGUAUAAAAAUUCAUUGAUGCUGCAAUGUCUGUGCUUUUGAGAAAGAAGAAUUCAAUGUCUUUUCUAUGCCAUUGGAUUUUCCCACUGCUUGUAAACUUGGGCUGUCGAGUGCUCUGUGAACCUUAAGGGCUAUAAAGUAAUUUUUUAGACUGAAGGAUUUAUUAAUCGAGUUCAAAAGAUUGCAAGUUGGUGAGCGUUGGCAUUUAAAAAUCAAUUGUUAUUCUCUCAAUAAUCUCUCUCUUCUGCCGACACCCCAAGCUCAGAAACCCAUUGUUCCGACGGACGUGUAACACUUCCAGAAAUUAGCCUUUUCUUCUAUAUGAAGGUUGAUCUCUCCUCGUGAAGUGAAGGUGGUUUUCCAAUUACAUACGUCGGGGGUCUUAUGAUAUCUAAUGUGUGAAAUUUCUUUCUCAUUUUACCAUAAAGAAAAGUUCUGUAAUGAUCUAAAGUUGGGAGUCUUAAAUUAUCUUAAAUUUAUAUUUAGAGUGGAGUUAUUGGCACCCUACAUUAUUCUUACAAAAUUCUAUUUUAAAUAAAAUUAUAAUUAAAGACAAUUGAAAAUUAUAGAUUUUUUUACAGCAAAUUACUUAAGUCAUAAUUAAUCCUUAAAAAAAAAUCUAUAUGUUACUUCUUAUUUAAUUAAAAUAAAUUGUACAAAUUUAAAAUAAUUUAUUGUUUUCUUUUGAUUUUUUAUUGAUUAAAUAUUUUUAUACUUAAAAUUACUUUGAAAUUAUAAUUUAAAAUAUGUGUUAUAUGCAAUAGUUCGAUUUACCGAACCACAAAGGGAGCCAAUGUGGUUUUGCCAAAAUCACAUACUGUAGCAUAAUAACAGAUAUUAUUAUUGUAUAAUAGAUGGGUUUAGAAAAAUUGAAGAACCAAGUAAGUUAUUUGAAAAAUGUCGAUUCUCGUACCAAACCCAUGUUUUAUGCCAAUUGUUUUUGGAUUGGAGUGCAGGCAUUAACAAUGAUGGAGAUGGAGGAACUGUAGCAUUAGUCAUAUGAAGAGUACGUGUCAGGUUUGAUUUUCAUGUGAUUUGGUUAGUGACGACGAAAACGACGACGUCGUAGUUGAAAAGCGUUUGAAUUAAUGUUGCGUUAAAAAAAAAAUUUAACUUGUUCCACUAAUUAAGUCAACAUUACUGAUGUCUUAUCACCCUCGGCCAACUUAACAAUUGGUGUCCUUUGGACAAUUAAAUAUGAUUUAUUCAAAAAAAAUAAAACUAUUAAAUAUUAAAAAUUAGGUCCAUUAAUAAUAAUAAUAAUAAUACUAAGAAUUAAGAAGAUCUAAUUACAUAUCAAAAUGACUCAAACAAAUUAAUUAAUUUCAUAUUAGCUAGCCAAGUAGGUUGUCCAUCCCACUCAGACAUGCACGAAAGCUAAAUUCAUCAAAUGAAUUACUUAAGGAGUAUUUGAUAAUUUUGAAAUUAUAAUUUCAAAUUAAAAUAGUAGUAGCAAAAUCGUAGUGCACAUUCAAUUAACCAACUAAUAGUCUAAGAAGCAAAGAGAGGAUUACAAGUUCACAACACCAUUAAAAAGGAUUCAAAAUUCCCACACGAAAACAUCAAUGUACAGAUUAUAAACAAUCCGAAUUGGACACAAGAAAAAACCCUUCAAUGGAUUGCUUGCCUUCCCAAUGCUAUAUACUGUGCAAACUGCGCACUGGCCAAGAAAAUAUUUUCAAUUUAGUGUAUUUUCAAAAUGCUUAUUUUCUCAGAAUAUAAAAAAAAAAAAAACAAAAAAAGAAUUCUUACAUGUUUCAUCAGCAUGAUUAAAAUCAAAGAAGAAAGCGAAGACAUAAUGUCUCUGACAUAAUAAAAUUACAAUUUCAUGCAGCAGAGAUUGAAGAGUUGAAUUCCACUUAUAGACACCGACCUCUUGUUUUGUCUAAUGUUAAUAACGAAAACAACAACAGAGGAUUAACUGAUGCUUUGACUUAUUAUCAGGUUGCAAUGAAUUAUUAACUGAUGCUUUGACUUAUUAGUUCUGCUGCUAAGUUAAAUAAAAUAAGGUAUUUUCAAAAGCAAAAUGGAAUACAUAGAUAAAACAUCAUCUUAAACAAAUCAUAAUCUAGAAUUGGAGACAUACCCAAGGAGAAAGAAUACGUGAAAAUGGGUGAUUCAUUUGUUAAGGAGUGUUGAUUUGGUCGUCUCUGCAAAUUCUUUAGGGACUCGGUUCCAGUUCCUCUUCAUCAAAACUGUAAUAUAAUUCCCCUUCAUCAGAACUCGAAUCGAUGCAAUAAAAUUCCCCUUCAUCAGAACUCGAAUCAAAUUCACUUGCAGCAGUUCCACUCGCGCUUGGCAAAUCAUCCAAUUUCCAAACUUCGGUAGCAAAAUUGAGAGUAAAAGUGUUGGCUUUGGUCUCUCUGGGAUUUGCAUAUACUGGACAUACUCCGCAACGUUUUAGCUUAGUGAAGAACUUAAAUGAGGCAGUUGUAUGAUGGUAACCAUCAGGAAACCCAACAUUCAAGCAAGGUUUAAAACCAAGUAUGACAUGAUCUGAAUCAAGGGAGCCAGUGCACACCAUGAAACCCAGAUCAACAUGUUUGGUUUCAGAGAGAGUCUUUAUUUCUAAGUCGAGUUGAAAGCGGACGUAAAUAUUGCAGCAAUAACAAGAAUGAAGGUGCUUAAAAUCAAGAACAGCACAAAAAGCAAACCCGAUUAAGUUUCUGCAAGAAGACUGCGGUGGCAGUUGAAUACAUAUCGAAGAUCCUGAACUUUGAUUGCUGAACCAGUCAGGAAUUUCGCUUCCAGGUAAAACAAUUAGGGAUCCCCUCAGUUCAGAAAGUUUCUGUGAAAUGACAUUUAAAAAAAAAAAUUGUAAAAUGAAAACCAUGAUUUCAGAUAUAACAAAGAGGGACAGAGUAAACAAGAGAGGGAAUUUGAUACCUCGUUGAUUGCCUUUUCAUAGCCCAGUCUCAGUGAUGCAAUUGCCACAUGCCGAAUUCUUAGUUGUGAAUCUGCCAAAAUCUUGUUGUUUGCUUUUCCAUUCAGUUUCAAGCAGUUAGUAAACCCAAAAUAAAUUGGUUGUGACUCCAGAAGUCCGGUUGCCCAUUGACGAAGGUCAGGAGAGGGUUUCGAUAGCUUUUCUAGUACGGAUGCAUCUAGUUCUUGCAGACAUGACGGAAUCUCUGGCAAAGAUUGAAGCCGGUUGCAGUUCGUUGCAUCUAGUUCUUGUAGACACAAUGGAAGUUCUGGUAAUGACCGAAGCAUGUUACAACCCGUCAAGUGAAGAUAUUUUAGACACAAUGGAAGUGCUGGUAAUGACUGAAGCAUGUUACAACGCCUCAAGUCAAGAGAACACAGCCGCGACAGUUGCUUGAUACUUGCAGGUAAACUCUCAAAGUUAUUUCCACGUAGAUCCAAGCUUUUCAGUGAGGAUAGAUAGGCAAUCUCUUGUGGAAUUUCCAUUACAGCACAGUUCAUUAUGUAUAGAAGUCCCAAAGAAGAUAAACCUAAUAAUAAUGAUCGAGGCAAUGAUACCAAACCUUUGCAGCGAGAGAAAUCAAGAAUUAAAAGUGCGUUUGAAUCUGCAACAGAGGAUGGUAGUUGACUAAUAGCUGAUCCAGCUGCUGAGAUGUGACGCAAAGAUUCUAAAUUGCCAAUGUUAUCCGGCAACUUAUCAAGUUUAGAGCAAUCACUUACGAACAAUUCUUCAAGCCCCGGUAGAUUUUCAAAUGACGAUGGCAGCUCUGUAAUUGCCGUCCCGUCUAAAUUGAUGCGUUUUAAAUGUUCCAUUUUCUCCAAGAUUUCUGGGAAGCGCUCAAGGUUCAAGCAGCCAUUAACAAAAAGAUCAACCAAAGAUCUCAAUUUACAAAACCUAGUUGAAAUCCUCUUCAGCCGUUUGCAAUCCCUCAAAUCCAACACUUCAAGAUCAGUUAGGCACUCUAUUGAUGAUGGAACUUCUUCUAUUGCAGACUGGUCUAAGUAUAGCCGUGUAAUUUUCCCAGAAAUCUGUGGAAACUCUAUGAGAGUAACACAAUAGGAGAAAUUAAUAGUUACUGGACAAACAAAAUGAAGAUUGCUUGGAAAAGACCUAAGACUUUUGCAGCCCUCAAAAGACAGCGCACUGAGAUACUUGAAAUUCUGGAUAGAUGAGGGAACACAAGCCUUUUCUCCUUCCCAAGGUUGCUCAACUUUACUAAAACGCAAAUUCAGUUCAACAAGGUUCUUUGGCUUGAAAUUUGAUGGCAGUAUCCUUAAUGGAUAUGUGUCCCAAUGAAGAUAUCUCAAUUUUUCAGGAAGAUAUUCUAGGCCAUUUGGAAGCUGCACUUCAGAGUAUGAAAGUUGCUCUUCAAUGCUCAUACUUAGAAACCUUUCAAUCUCAUAAAACUUACUUGGAAACCUUUCAAUCUCAUAAAACUUAGGUACAUAAAAUUUGAGCAAUCUCAGAUUAGACAUAUUUGUGAAGGCUCCGGGGUCUAAAUUGAUGCAUUUUAUUUUGGACAAAUCCAGAAAUAUGCCUUCAAUUGCAUCGGUCCCCUUAUAAAAAAAAAAAAACAAAGAAUGAGUAAGCCAAAAAUAAAAAAGCAACAUGCGUAAACUUUAUUAACUAAGAGCUCCUUAAACAAAAACAAAUUCUGCAAUCUUUGAUUUUAUUUUUUUAAUAUAUUAAAUAUCUAUAUGCGAGAAAAGAAAAUUUUGGGGACCAUUGCAAAAUUAAACUAACCGAAAAAAAAUUCAAAAUUUCUCUAAUUUACAAUCCUAUUAUCUUAAUAUCUAGAAGUUGAGAAGAGAGUGCCUAUUUGAUUGGUAUAAGAUUUCGAAAUUUUUUUUUUUUAGUCGAUAGAAUCCAAAAUGUUAGUUCAAAAUUAGGGAAAAAAAUAAAAGUCAUUUUUUUUCCACUAGUUAAAACUGUAUCCAAGUCAAAUUAAGAUACGACCCUUUUUAAAAAGAUUUAACCAUCUUACAGCCUCCUUAAGGUACAUUUAAGCUAAAAGGAGUAAUUUGAGGCAGAACUAGGUGGUCCAAUCAGUCCAUUUUAUUAGUGUCUGUUGCUUAAAAAAUUUAUACUCUAAAACACACUUUUUUGGAAAAAAAAAUAUAAUUACAUUGAAGUAGAAUCAGGUGGGCCAAUCCUCAUGGCACUCACUUUAUUUUGACACUCUUCACUAAAUUUGAAGAAAAAUAAAAUUAUACUCUUCACACUCUUAUUCAACAUUCCAAAAUUGAUAAAAUCUGGAGUUUUCUUUAAAAAUUUAAAAUUUGAAGACUUGUUCUCUUGACACCCUCAGUCAUUAAUUUUACCUAAUUAUGGUUUUUAUGAUUUUGGUUGUUUUGUUCAUAAAAAUGAUUUUACUAAAGGAUGCUCUGGUAAUAAUAAAAUUUAUAAAAAAAAAUGGGUGUGCUGGUAUGAUUGGAAAAAUAUGAGUGCAUAACUCCAAACAAAUAAAAGAUAUAUAAAAUAAAUGGAGGAUUCUUACCUUUUUAUGCUUGAGUACGCGGCGGAUUUCCUUAGGAUCCCACAACCUGCUGCGUUUGCCAGGCUCUUUCUCAGAUUCUUGGCGAACAAUCUGUCGCCCCAUUUCUUGCAAUAAAUCAUGCAUUUGCAAGCAAUUACCUGAUAUUGAUAUGAGUGACUUAUCAAUAAGGACAUCCAGUCCAUCAGACUCAGAAUCAUCAAGAAUCCUUGCCACAAAAUCUUUAUCCUCUCCCUCAAAGAAACACGCAAUAUCUAGAAACAAACUCUUCACCCUAGGAAUUAAUUCAUUAAAACUAAUCUUUAAUAUUUCAUAAAUAUUAUGAAUAUCAGAUUCACAAAUCCGAUUUAAGUCGUGCAAUACAUUUUCCCAAUGGCUUUUCCUCUUGAGGCACAGGGAGGAACCCAACACUUUAAGAACUAAGGGAUUGCCUUUGGCAUACUCUACAACCCUCCGUGAGUGCCAGUUGAGAUUUGUAGGACAAUGAUUUUCUUUAAAAGCGAAGUUACAAAAAUGCUCGAAAGCCUCUUCAAAUUCCAAUCCAUUAACCCUAUGUAUUUUCUUCUCCUCCCCUCUAAAUUUUUCGAGGACUCCUUUAUCCCUGGUGGUUACAACAAUUCUACUUCCUGGACCAAAUUGAUCAAGCUCUCCAAUCAGACCCUCUAAUUGUCCAACUUCAUUCACAUCAUCGAGUACUAUCAACACCUUCAUACGCCAGACCCUCUCUUUAGUAAAAUGUGGAAUAUUGGCACCAGCUACUUCAAGUUUUUCGCUUAAUAUUGUGGAAAGCAUUUCCUUUUGGAGAUGUUCUAAUCCACCUCCUGUUUCAGAAUUUCUCCUAACAUCUGACAUAAAGCAGCUACCAUCAAACUCACCAGUGAAUUGAUCGAAAAUAGCUUCAGCAAGGGUGGUUUUGCCUAUACCGCCCAUGCCCCAAAUUCCAACAAUUUGGACAGUAUCCGACAAAUCCAUACACAAAAAUGGUUUAAUCUGCUCAAUUCGUGAAUUUAAUCCAACUAGGCCAUUGGAUGAGUCCGUUGCGACUGUUAUUUUUUCCAAAUUCUUCAAAACAUCUUCGACAAUUUUGUUUACAAGUUCCGCAUCGUGCCUAAUAUAAAGGUGCAAAGAUGCAAAAACAUUGAGUCAAAUCGGGCCAAGACAGAAACAGAGAUAAGAUGAAUUAGGAAAGAGAGUUACCUGAAUUUCGUGGAUUCGUGGCCAGCAAGACCGGAUGUUUCUCUCAGUGCAUCCCUCCACCUCUGAACCAUUUCUGGCUUCUCUUCGAAGUGUUGUUUCAGCUGAUCAAAACCGUGCUUAAAAAUUCCAGUUUGAUGCCGCACAUCGGAUGGACUUACUCCAUAGAAAACCGGAAUAAUGAUUUGGCGGUUUGUGUGCUUGCAUUCAAGAAUCUUGACAAGUUCAUUCAGGCACCAUUUUGAAGAACCGUAGUCCUUUGAGAAAAUGACCACCGAAAUUUUUGAACCUUGGAUUGCGUUCAAAAGGGCAUCUGAAAUCUCAUCUCCUCGCCUAAGCUUUUCAUCAUCCAUAAAUGUUUUGAUUUUCUUUUUGUCAUACAAAUCAUCAUAGAGAUGGCAAGUAAAGAUCCUACGAGUGUCCUCCCCUCUAAAAUUGAGGAAGACUUCAUAAAUGCAAGAAGAAGAAGAAGAAGAAGAAGCAGCCAUGAAGGAAAUUUUAGAAAAUUGGUGACAGAAACAGAGAAUUAAUCUUGAGAGUUGAGAGAGGAGAUGUAAGAAUGAACAUGUGUGAAGAUUCUUGCAAGCACACAGAAAAUAAUUGAAUGGCUGGAGCUUUCUUAGUUUCCUGGAAAUUUCCUGGAGCUUUCAUAUACAUGAUUUGUCAAGUCAAGAAACAUAAUCAUGAUAAUGGGGCAGACCAGGAAGAAAAGAAAACUUGAUUCAACCAAUAAAGGAAGGAAAAGCAAAGAAAGAAAAUUUGAAAGUAGAUUCAGAGAAUUAUAAAAAGCUAAAGGAAAUUGGAAUUUUGUACAAUUUCUCCAGCGAAAAUUAAGCAUAGAAUAAUCCUAAAAUUUAAACUCUAAUAUCUUAUAAUGUAUUGAUUAAAAAUAAUCCUAAGAGUUCCCAAUUGAAACUUUCAUAAGUAUUUUAAUUGUUUUGGAUAAACAAAUUGUACUAGGAUAAAAAUUUGGCAAAUUCAGAGGAUAAUGGAAAAUAGUUAUGCUUCAAUAGGCCAAAGAUUAGAGAACAAACAAGAAUUAGUUAUUGAUACACAAAAGAGAAACACUCCAAAAUUUCAAGCAAAAAUAGUUUCAUAUACCAUUUCGAUUUUGGAAGGGGUGAGGUUUUGAACUUCAAUAGUUUCCUCUAAAAUUAAAAGGCAGCAAUUAAACUAGAAAGAGCAAUGAAGACUUAUUGGUACUUUAUUGAAGGUAAACAUUAUGAAACUUUCAAUGUCAUUACCUCAUUGUUCAAUUUUUAUUGAGAUUUGUGUAAGCAUUUAGCUAAAUCUUACCUCCGCCUUUAAAUUCAUUAGUUUUGAUUAAUUAUGAGACCUGGGAGAUAUUAUAAUCGAACUAAAACUUAAAAUUUCAAUAUCAUUAUUCUUUAAAAAGAAAUUGAGAUUUCAGAGUAAUAUCACAUAGAAAAACUUGCCCACGGACGGUAAGCCAAAAGUCUAGUCAACCACACGCAUAAAGCUAACUAGAACAAGAGAACAGAGAAACGCGUGGGUCCCUAAAAGAAAAGGCGUGGGUCCCAAAAGUCUAGUCAACCAUACCGAUGAAAAUCACUGAUUAAGAAUAAUAUAUUAUGUGGUUGAAGAUUUCUUUUUAUCAAUCUUCUUUCUACCCAUUAAUUUUCCCACGACUUUCCGGUUUCAUUUCUUGAAUCUCCAUGGAUUAACUUUCAAUAAACCAUAAAAUAAACUAAGGAAUCAUUUUCUCGAACACAGCUAUGAUUUUAAUAAAUGGGCGGACCAUCUAGAAUAGUAUAUAUAAUUCUGUUUAAUUAAUAAGUUGAAAAAACCAUAAAGAGAAAUUCUAAUAUUAUGAGCUUGACACGAAUUCUUCACUAAUUCCAAAACAAGGAGCUGUUUUAUAAGAACUGUGGUUGGAUUAUUAAGUUUUACAAUUUGAAUAUAAAUAAGAAAAUAAAAUCAGUCGCGUCGAUGUUUUCGAUACAUUUCGAUGCUAACUUAAUUAAUUACUUUACUUCAACUUUAUUUCCUGACGGACACUAUAUGGUGGGUCCAAGAUGGGACCUACAAUAAUCAAUCCUAGAAUUUAGUAUGGUUACCAAAUAGCUAGUGUUAUUUUGUGUUUGGUGGAAGAGAUUGAAUAUUUAGUUUUAACAUAACCAUUCAACUAAUUAGAAAAUAAAUAAAGUUAAAUGAAAUGUUUAGAUAUCAAUUUAAAUAUUAAUAUCCGGGAUAUAAAUUAGUUAUAAUAUAGUUCAUUACAUAAAAUUGAUUAAAUUAAUAAUUACACAUGAACAUAGAUGUAUAUGCUUUCCAAUUUCCAAAGUGCUCAAAGCACUUUUCUCACCAAACUUUCCUCUGAAUUUCCCGUAGCUGACUCCAUUGUUUGCGUUUUGUGAAAUUUCUAGGAACUUUUUCUAUUUAGAAUAUUGUACAUUUUUCUUUUCAGCUGAGAUUAAUUUAACUUAUAGAAAAUCUUAUCCUUUUUUUAAUAUUAUUUAAAUAAAAUUUGUCUAUCUUUCAUUUUAUCAGUCUACUUUUUACCCAUUAAUUAAGACUUUUCGAUUUCUUUUUUUCCUGAGGUUUUCAGUGACUAUCUUUCAAUAAACCAUAAAAAUUAAUGAGUCAUUUAUCGAACAAUUAGAUGACCAUAUUUCAAAAUAUCAACUAGAAGUUGCCCUGAAAUAUUUAAUUAAUAGUUGAAGAAUUGUGAUUAGUGUGGGCAUCUACAUAAAAAUUAUAUUAAAACACCGCUAAAAGAUAAAAAUAAAAUAAAAUAGUACAAACAUACACCCAUAGGUUAAAACAAAGAAAAAACACGAACCAAUACACUAAAAUGUUUUAGCUGUAGUUAGUUUUCAGUUUCAUUACUUAAGUCCCACGUGCAUGUCACGUGACUGAGGUCAAAAAAUGAUUGUCAGAUUAAAGUUCAAAGUACGGAGCAGGGUAAUUAAGGAGUGGAGCUAUUGGCACCCCUCCAUUAUUCUUACAAAACCCCACUUUAAAUCAAAUUAUAAUUAAGAAUAAUUGAAAAUUAAACACUUAUAGAUUUCUUUACAACAUGUUUAGUGAUAAAAAAGCACCAGUCGGGCAUGUCCCCAUUUCUUACCCGGGGCCGAAUCUCCUCGGCCGAAUGGUAUGAGUAGACUCUUGGUGAUGUGUUCUAUGUGGAGCACGUAAAACAGACCAGGAACUAGUACCAACCAGAAACGAGUACUGAUCAGAAACAAGCAUGACCAGAAACGCAUACCGACUAGAGACUUGUGGGUCCCUAAAAGAAAAGGCAAGCACAUAAACGAAAAAGCCAUUACAUUUCUAUUUUACAUGUCAUUCCUAAUUUUUGUAACACGGUGUGGCAGCAUAUGCACAAUCAAAUGAGGCAAAAGGGAUUCGACUAUCGUGGCAGAACAUGGACGAGGAUGCGUGAUGAAUAAUUCCUUCGAUAAAACGAAAAACAAAUGCAGAGAAAAGAAUUUCUUAUAUGACAAGAAAUUAAAGUAAUGUGACGGAACAUGAUGAAGAAAUUGCAGAUCGAUCAAUUAUCCCCAUGGACUCCUAUAAAUUCAACCAAAAUAACAAUUCCAAUAUUACCAAAUUCUUGAGUUAAAUUUAUUCAAUGCUUUUUUUUUUUAGAGAAAUUUUUUCCAAUGCUACUUUCCCUUUUUUGGGGAAAUUAGAACUGCGGCAUGUAUAGAAGACAUUGAGGUAUAAAGCAACAUUAAUUUCAUGGGUUAUGCGUUAUACGCAUAAUAUAUUGUCAGUCCAAAUUCAACUAUACAAAGAGGCUUGAGAACUUAAAAUUAAGCACAAACUAAACAGACGAAGUAAAUACAUGAUUAUGCAACAUAACAUUAAUUCUCUUAAUUUAUAACUGUUUUUGCCACAUGAAUCUUGCACAGUUAAUCCUAAUUGAAGACUAAAAAAGAACAAUUGGAACAAGGUUUUGAAAUAGAAUGAUAUACAAUCGAUAUGAUCCAUUUCCAGUCGUCAACGCUAAUUAACUGCAGUUUCUAGACUCCUAAUUAUACUAGCCAUAAGAAACUGUUUAGAAAACUGGUGAUCAGAUUAGAUUUUGAAAAGAAAUAAUUUUCAUUUUCCCUUCGCUACCUUUUUUUUUUAAUUAUUUUUAUACCAAAGAAUUCUAUCAUGAAAAGAAUCAAUUUAAUCACCUUUUCCAGCAGCACAAUUUUUCUUUUAUAAAAUUUGACCACAGAGACAAAGAAGAAUUAUUCAUACCUUCAUCAGUAAGGAAAUACUUUUCAUUAUGGCUAGGGUGAGAAAAGGCUUUCCACAACACUUGUACUUUGUAUUCCUGUAAAUUUUCUUUAAAGUCAAUAAAAACCAUAAGUUCUUUACAAUAACCAUCUCUUUGAUAAAAAAGUGCCGUAUUCCUUUAGAAUUUAAAACCGGAAAAAUUGAAUCAGUGUCUUUGAAGAGACAUAAUGGUCGUAAUUCUUUAAAUGAGUUGGCUAUGGAAAUCCUUAUCCAAGAUUCUUUUACGCCAUAUUCUUUCGUAAACCAAAAUUCAUUUUGGAAUACUCUGUUGAGAAUGUCAAAUAAAACGGCAUUGAAGGAAGUUUUCAAAGGCAGAAUCCGCACUUGUCAAAGGGAUGAUCUGCACUUGUCAAAGACACGAUCCGCGUCGAAUGAAUCGACACAUUUCCUUUCGUAUUCGCAUAUGUAAUCUUUGAAAAAAUGUAGCUUCUGCAUCUAUAAAUAACGCUUAGUGUAUAAUGUUUUAUUCAAGAAAAGAAAACAAGUUUCUUCAUACUCGUCGUCCGAACAUACAGAGACCGUCUCUUAUAACUUCAGCCGAAUACUUAUGAUGAUGAUCAUUUGUGAUUUCAUCAGGCAAAGGGUUGAUGGUGAAAAAAUUUGUAUGUGUGAAGAAUUGAGCUGUGGAUAUAGGGGACUUAAGUGUAAUCGAAAGAGAGUUAUUAGGCCAUAGUGCAGAUUGCAUUCAGUUUAUGAGUCGAUAUGCAAAUAAUUUGUUGACGUGGCGAAAUUUGUUAUGGUCGUUACUAUUGUUUCUGGAAAUUUUCUAGAAACCUCAGCAUAAAAGGGGCUUUUGCAUAGCCUCUGGUGUGCGUGUGAUUUCUCUUUCGUUUCCUCAUCAAAUUCUGUAAUUCUUGCUUUGAUAAAAAGCUUGUAAUCUCUUCUGUAAUGUGUGAUCAGUGCGUAAUCAUUUUGAGCAAUAAGAGCUUGUGGGUUUUUCCUUCAAACAGUGUCGUUUUGGUCAGUUUGUUAGUUUGAUCUGUUGGUGGAAUUUUCUUUGGUUAUUUGUUCUCAAAUUUCAACCGUAUAUAAAGUUUGAACUCUAAUGGCUUAUAAUGUAUUGAUUAAGAAUAAUCCUAAGAGUUCCCGAUUGAAAUUUUUAAUGACUAUUUUUAUUGUUUUGGAUAUACAAAUUGCAUUAAGAAAAAAUAUUGUCAAAUUCAGAGGAUAACGGGAAAUAAUUAUGCUUCAAAAGGCCAGAGAUUAGAGAACAAAGAAGCAUUCAUUACUGAUAAACAAAAGAGAAACACUCCAAAAUUGCAAGCAAACUAGUUUCAUAUACUAUUUGGAUUUUGGAAGGGGUGAAGUUUUGAACUUCAGUUGUUCCUCUAAAAUCAAAAGCAUCAAUUAAGCGUUCUCAAUUAGAAAUAGCAAAGAAGACUUAUUGGUACCUUACUGAAGUUAACAUUGUGGCACGGUUGUUCAUAUGUAAUGGCUGCUCUGUUAUGCUAGCUUCUCUGUUUUUGCUUACAGUUUUGAACAUAAAUUCUUGCUCAAAUAACCCAUAAUUAAAUAACACUAAUAUGGCUCGUGAAGUCCCAUAAUAGCUAAUUACGCAACUUUCUCCUCCUCCUCAAUUAUGUCUUCCCCUGCUCGGACACUAACUUCAAAAUUCAAUGCCCCGAAAAACAACACAAGAAAUCUUUGAGUUAGUUCGUGACCAGUUUAUAUAUAGUAGCAAUUGAAAAAAGAAAAAGAAGAAAAAAGUUAAUUAUUAUUCAGACCUUCACUUAUUAGGAAGUUUGUUCUGCUAUUGGGUGAGAUCAAGCUCUCAGCAUAUACUUCCACAUGAUACUUUCUAACAUUUUCUUGAAAGCCAUCAAUCAUAAAAUCUUCAUACUUUUUUCCAUCCUUUGGAUCAAUAAGUACAAUUUUUUCAUCUAAAACAGACAAAAUAAAAUCACUGUCCUUCAUGGAACACAAUGGCUGCAAUGCCUGAACUGAAUUGGCUAAUGAAAUUUGAGUCCAGGAUUCUCUCAGCCCAUAUUCUUUCAUAAUCCAAAAUUCUUUUCUUUCUCGACAUGGAACAUAGUCUUCUUUUCUUUCUCGACACAUGUCUCUGUACUUUUCUCUCUCUACUGAUCCACACUUUUUCAUACUUCUAACUAUCAUUUUGUUUUUUUUUUUUUUUGAGUUGUGAUUUAUUCAAUUAUUUUGUAUUUUUAAUGACAAUUGUUUAAUAUUUAGUUAGUUUUGAUAUUGAUUAGUGAUUGAAAGUGUAUUUUAGAAGACUUCCGGUCUCUUGAAAAAAGGAAAAAUGGAGAAGAAGAAGAAGUGUUCUUGAUUUUUUUGUAGGCAUUAAAGUUAAACGGUUUGAAAUGAUAUUUUGUUUUUAUUUCACUCAUUAAUCUCAUUCAGGAUAAAAUUAUAAAUGCAAAUAAAUGGGGUUUCAUAAGUAUUUUUAAUAGUGUUAAAAGGUCUACUCACUAAAUAAACAUGUUUUACCCAAACCAAUCCGAUUAAUAAGUUAUUAGGUUGGGUUGAUCAGGUUAAAAAUCAAAAUUAAAAAUUAAAUAAAUAAAAGGCAUAAAAACUAUCUGUUACUUGAAAAUAAAAAGAAUUUCUAAUAGUUAGUUCUAAUGUCCCAUAUCCAAAACAUGCAUAUUGUGAGGUUUGCUGGUGAAUCAAACUCAUCAGAACCAAAUGAUGACGUUUUGGCAAUUGAAGGAGCACUUAAAAGACACGUGAAACGCACGUCUGUUGUCACUUAAGAUUAAAGCUUGAAACGGCAGUUCAACCAUGUCGUUUAAAGGAAGCUUAGAAGUGAUGCACGUGACAGAUGUGUGAAGCAGCUCAUCUCAGUUCGUUAAGUUUGUUAUGCUACGUGUAAGCAAUCAGUUCGAUCUGGGUUUAGCUGGUUAGUUGCUCUGUUAGUUAUAAGAGCAGGCUGAUGAAACGAUUUGGGUUAAGCUUGUGAAUUCAUAUCAGAGAGAGAGAGAUUUCAGUGAAAGGGUUAAGAGUUCUCUGAAAUCUUGUAAACCAUUCUCUGUAAGAAAGAUCCUCCAUUGUUGAAUAAUAAAAGCUCUGCAGAAAACUUUUCCUGUGGAUGUAGAUUGUACCAAUUUGGUACAACUGAACCACGUAAUUGAUUCUUGUGUUGUCUGUGAUUUGUUUGUUUCUUGAUUCUCUAUUCUUUCUAGUUCUUGGGUACAUUGUUUUCACUUGGCUAGAUUCAUUCCUCAAUCUGUGCAUCUUGUAUAGUUCUUUAUCAAAGGUCCUGGGAAGUGUUUUAUUUGUCUUGCAUGUUAUAUAGCAAAUUAAAACACUACACAUAUUAAAUAAUAUAUUAUAAGUUAGAAAUACAAUAUCUAAAGAAAGAAUUAAUGAAAUAACAUAUUCUUGUUGAGAAUUAAGAGUGUGAUUUUAAUUUUGAUAUUGGAGUCUAAAGCAAUAGAUAGUACAAUGAAAUCAUGAAUGCUACGUUUAAAUAAUCUCUUUUAUAAAAUAAUAAAAAGAGGUUAAAAAUUAGGUUAACAUUUAGGGUUUAGCAGUUAAGGAUGAAUAUAUUAUUAUUGUUGUUGUUGUUAUUAUUAUAAUAAUAAUUAUUAUAAUAAUAAUUAUUAUUUAUAUGUUAAUUAAUUCAAUCCAACUUAAUUAUUAAUGAAUUUGAAAAAAUUGACCCAAUUAAUCCACAAUAAUUCAUUCAACUCGUCUAAAUUAGAUUAAGUUGAACUUAAUUUGCUACCCCACAUUGAGCAACAAACCUCAACGUCAUUCUACGAGCUCUUUGAUUGUUUAUAAAAUUGAUUUAGAGUACAUAAAGUGUAUCGACAAUGAAAGUGCAAAACAAAUUAUUGUACAUAUUAAAAUGUGCAAAAACAAUGAAUUAUAUGUACAAACGAGUGCAAACACAUUUUUCAAUAAGAAGUUGGAAGAUAUUUAUGCAUGAAAAAGCCUACGUUUGUAGUUAUUCUAAAUUUUAAAAACAAAAUUUACAUUUAGAUUCCUAAAAUUUACAUAUAAGUAUAAAAGUUUCAAAUAUUGUCUAUUAUUUUUUUAACAUGCCUAUUCCUUGUGGAUAAUUUUGUCUCAUCACUAAUGUUGUUUCUUGCUUACAAAAACCAAAAGCCACCUCCUUUUUGCAAUUUUUAUAGCGUCUCAAAAUAGACAAUAGGGGGAUUUUGAAUUUUUUAAGUCUCAAUAUAGUCUCUAAUCUUGUGAGAAAUAUUUUCUUUCAAUAAUUUGGAGGUAAACAUAACAUAACUUUUUGGACUAAAGCCUAACUCUGCUAAUAAGUAAUUGGUGGUAUCCUUUUCAAGACUUGAGUCUUUAGAUUCGAGUUUUAUAUAGUGUGCAUGUGUAUUUAAUUAAUAUUUUUUUUCAAAAAAAAUUACAUCAAAUACUAAUAUUCAUGACAUAAUUUAGUUCAUAAUUUUUUUAAAUACAUCGAAAAAUAUAAUUUUUUAACAACUUAAAGGCAUGACAAAUUUCAAGAUAUAAAUAUCAGUCAAAAUAAGUGAAAGAAAUAAUGGUGUCAAUUCUAAUUUCUUAACUAAAUUAAUUACUGCAUGAGCCCCGAAUAUGACACGAGAGUUUGAUGGGCUAACUUGGCACAAGAACGUGAAUAGUUAACUCAUUUAAGAAAUAAUUCAACAAAAAAUAUAAUUGAUAAGAAUGCAAUAUUGAAAUGAAUUUUUUACGAAACAUUGAAUUAAUGAUUAUUAAGCAAGAACAAUAAAAAAAUAAAAUAAAAAUAAAGAUUAACCAUUGAUAAGCUUCAACAAGAACUUAACACAACCCUCAAUCCUAAUUCAAAUUAUAAAUGUCAUUCAUAUAUUCAUUAUAAAUCAAUAACAAAGGUUAUAAAUGUUUAGAAAUUCUAGAGGGAAGGAAGCUAUCGCCGGGGAAUCAACAACUAAAAUUGAUGUAAUUGUGGCACGAGAUGGAAUAUGGAAACUACACCAUAAUUUUAAAUGCCGCCAUAGACAUUGACUUAUCUACAAUAACAAUGAUCUAAUUAAAAUAAAAAUAGAGUUUAUGGGCAUUUAUUAUUUUGACAUUCCUCAUUUGCAAAUAGGGAUACAAUUAUAAUUUAUUUAGUCAAAGCAAACAGUAAUUUUCUUCAUUAUAGGAGUGAAGUAAAAACAUUUAGAUUUUAAUGUAUGUAAGGAAAAAUUUAUCUUUAAAAAUACUUUCUUAAUGUGUGUAUGCAUAUUGAAAUACUCAAACCAAUUUUGGUUAUAUAUAAUUAAACAAAUUUUAAAAUAUGAAAAAUAUAAUGUAGUUAUAGUGGAUAAACAAUAAGUGAGCACAAUAUAAUUAAUCAAAUAUUGUGCUAUCAAAAGUUAAUUUUAGAAAUUCCAAAUCCAAUAGCUAACACAAUUCUUUAAAGAAAAAAAAAAGGUUGACACAAUUAAUAAAAUUAGCGACAUGAAUUUCACGCCAUUGAUAAUCAGCAAUUAGUAUUACUUUCUAAACUUGCUUCAACUGGUCGUUGAUGUCCGGGUCACCAAAAGUAUAAGCGAUAAUAAGGGGCAUUGGGCAAGAGUGAUGAAUGUUUAGUGGGUGCAUUUGAUUGAUAGAUAUAUAAAGGGCCGAAACUUGAGAUUAUAUUACUUUUACAAAUUUUAAUCCAAUCACAUAUUUAAUGAAAACAAAAUGAGUUAGGAUACUUUAUUUAAAAUACACAUUUUAAUAAGGCUUCAUUUAAUUAAAUAAAAUUAUAAAAGUAAAAUAUAUUUUAGAUAUUUUAAUAUUUAAGAAAAAAUUUUCAAUCUUUACUUUCAGAAGCUCAAAUUUUUAAUUUUUAGUUGUAGAGACAAAAUAUCUUAUUUAAUGUUUAAAAGUUCUGCUAAAAACAAUCAAAUAACUACAAAAAUUUUAAUAAGAGCAUAUAAAAUUAAAUAAGCAUUUAUUAAUAAUCACUUUAGUGUACUUAUCUAAUAACAAUAAGUGUUUAUUUAAUCUAAUAAGUUUUUAUUUAAUCUAAUGAGCUCUUUUUAAUUUUUUUUUAGUAGAGCUUUUGAAAAUUAAAUAAACUAUUUUGUCUCUAUUAAGAAAAACUUAAAAUUUAGGUUUUUGUAAGUAAAUGUUUAAAUUUUUUUUAAAAAUAUUAAAAUAUUAAAAUAUCUUUUCUUUAUUUCAUAAUCUUAUUUCAUUCUUCACAACAUAACUUUAAAUAACUUACCUAUUAAAAUAAUUUCACAAUUUCUAAUAAAAACUCCGAUUAACAAUCAAGCAAUAAUUUUUUUUUUUUUUUUGUAAAAAUUCUAUUUGUAAAAACUCUAAUAAUAAAAAUUCUACUUAAAUAAAUUUUAUUUGAAAAGGUAUACUAAACGAACCUAAGAUAAAAACAAAAAUUUUUAGAUCCAGACAAUUAAGCUUAAAACAAUUUCAAAUGAAUUUUAGACUAAUCAAAGUACAAUACGUACCAAGUUUGGUAAUUUAUUGACAUCUUCUUAUAUACCUUCGAUCAAGUCGAUUCUCACUUGACGACUAAUUGGUAGUUUGGUACAUCACCGUUGUUCCCUAUACUCGCAUGCAUCCGAUCACAAAUCUCACUCCAAUUGUUGUCUUUCUUCGGCGUUUUAGCGCAUCCUUCUUGAAUUUCUCGCAUUUCGUUCCCUUACAAGUCUCCGGUCAGGUCAGUUCACUUGACGAUUAAUUCGGCAAAUCUUGAAUCUCUUCUCUAUCCCUCUCGUUUUCUCGUGUCUCCUUUCAGUUAAAGCGAUUGAAUCAAUUUUAUCGCAGUCUAAGAGAAAUUAAGUAAUGCUCUUGGAUUUAAAAUUUUUUUGCUUUCGACUUUAGAUCUCGAAAGUCAAACUCUUCUACGAAUCCAUAGAUUCUCAAUGUUUAUAAUCUUAUUUGUGUUUGACCAGGUAACUGGAUCGUGAAAUUCGUCGUUUUGUAUCAAUUCAAGCUUUCGCGAGCUCAUGGAAUCACCUGGUGAGUUGUGGUGAAACGUUACCGUUUCAAUUUUCGCUUAAUUCUUUAUUGCAUAUUUUUUUCUCUAAUAUUUCAGUUUAAUUAGAAAAGAAAGAGGACCCAAAAAGAGAGAGAGAGAGAGAGACUCUACCAUACUCAAUUCCUUGCUCAUUCUGAUUUGGCCUGAAUGUUGGCAUUGACUAUUAUUUGUUUUCAUUUCGAUUUAAUUCUCAUUUAGACAGUCUUUACUAACGGUCAAUAAUAGUUUAAGGAAAAUGAUAAUAGGGAUUCUGCAAUAAUCUUUCUGCAUUGUUCAAGUUAGUAGACAAUGAAUAGGAUGUUUACGUUUACCUCAUUUUGAACCCCGAGGGCUUAGUUGAGUAGUUGAUUGAUUCAAUCUUGCAAUGUGUUCCCACAAGGUUUUGAGUUUGAUUCCUAAUUAUGUGGACCUUAGUUUCGAAUUUGAGUUUGUUAGGUGGGUUGAUGGGGUUUUUGGGUAUUAAAAAGGGAGAAGAAAAAAGUUGCUUGCUUCAUUUUGUACAAACCUGUUGACUUUUUAUUUUUUUCUUUUUAUUUUUGUACUAUUUUGUUUUACAGUUGGUGGUUCAAGACAGACAUCUGUUAUUGUUGUAACUUUGGAUACUGGUGAAGUAUAUAUUGUAACCAGCUUGUAUUCUAGGACUGACACUCAAGUGAUAUAUAUUGAUCCAACUACUGGUGCACUUCGCUACCAUGGGAAAUGGGGCUAUGAUGUUUUUGGAUCUGAAAAUGAAGCAGUAGAUUACAUAACAAAUGGAUCACGAUGGAUGUGCAAGAGUACAACUUUUGCCAAGGCGAUAUUGGGUUAUACUGCCCUGGGAAGCUUUGGGCUGCUUCUUGUUGCCACAAGGUUAACUGCCAGCAUUCCAAAUCUUCCUGGUGGAGGAACUGUAUGCACGGUUACAGAGAGCCAAUGGAUCAAAAUUCCACUUCAAAAUCCUCAACCCCAGGGUAAAGGAGAAGUAAAGAAUGUUCAAGAGUUGCCUGAUCUUGACAUUGAUGGGAAGCACUACUUUUGUGAGACAAGAGAUAUCACUCGACCUUUCCCCAGCCGCAUGCCUUUGCAAAAUCCUGACGAGGAAUUUGUUUGGAAUGAAUGGCUUUCGAUGCCUUUUAAAAGCAUUGGUUUACCUCAGCAUUGUGUCAUUCUUCUGCAGGUUUUGCUUCAUACUCGGUAUCUUCAAAAUUUAUGCUCAUUAAACUUCUUUCAUUCCCCACCCUCUCACUAUCCCUCCACCUAAUUUUGUUUCCAAAAGUUUGUUUGAUAGUCUAUUGCCACUAUAUGUAAAUGUAUCAUUUCCAUUCUGAGCAUGAUAUUUUAUUCAUCAUCACUUGUUAUUCUAAUCUUUAGAUGAAAGAAUAUUUCGUAUUAACAUUUUUCAUGGGCCAGUACCUAUUUUAUGGUCCAUUGUAGAUACUAAAAUGACCAACUUUAUUUCUUGGUCAUAAAAAGUUGCGACAGAAAUUUUAAACAUGUGAAUAUUUAAAUCUGAUAAUUCAUUAAAGAUUUCAACCUAAUAGAUUGAAAACUUAGAUUCAUUCCAUGAAUGAAAGAUAAUAAAGCAUCAGCCGAUGGAAUAUGGGAAAUAGAAACACUUUCCCUUCUAUUAAGAAGAGCCUGCUUCAGAUGAUCCUCAUUUUCUUCAUCCACAGGCCAACCUAGAACAUACCACACCAAGGUAAGAAAGAAAAGGGGUAGCAGGAUUGCCUAGUUUGACAAUUAGCAAAGCCCCAAAUGUUCCUCUUUUACUUUUCUUUUAGAAAGGUAGACAUGUUUGACAGAUUUGGGACAUUGCAUCAUCCCUUUCUGCUGCACAUGGUUGCAAUGUUUUACUUCUCACGUGAAAGCCUAGAAAUCCCAAUCCAAUAAUAAAAGGCCAUUUUAGAGUCAAUGUACAAAAACUUCCUUCCUUGUCUCUAUAUCCUCUUUUACAAUCCAUUCUUAGUUGAAUUGAGAUUAUGCUACAGCUGCUUCUUCAAGUUAACAUUGUUAUGCAAUUCAAUGGUGAUUUACGUGUGUACUUGUCCUAAGCAUGUGAUUUGAAAAUAAUAUGUUAAUAUUGUUUUCACUGGAUAUUAAUGUAUAGGGAUUUGCAGAAUGUCGAAAUUUUGGAAGAUCAGGUCAGCUAGAAGGGGUUGUUGCUCUUAUAGCUCGUCGUAGUAGGCUGCAUCCUGGUACUCGAUACUUGGCUAGGGGGAUUAAUUCUUGUUUUAGUACAGGUAAGAUAAUCUUUAACAUCUCCAGACCUGGAAAUUACAUUUUUGUUGUUGAGAUUCACUUGGUUCUUCUAUACAAUCAAAAAAAUUAAGGAUUUAGUUUUUUUUUUUUUUAAACGGAAUUUUCUUUUCCUUUCAGUACUCUUUGCAUUCUGUGUAUGCUGUUUAUUCUGAUUGUCAUUGAUCUCAUGCCUUUACAAGGAAACAGGUAAUAGUUUCAGUGGUAAAUUCAAGUGGAAUUGGUUUUGAUUCUGUUGUUUAGAAAGAUGGAUUGUAGAACUACAGAACAUUAAUCGUGCCACCUCAUGGCUCAUGCAUGCUUUUGGAGUAUUCUUUACCUGUAGAAUUUUUGUUUUUGUAGUUGACUUGGAAUAUAACUUUACCAUUUUUUUCAAAUAAUAAGAAUCAAUGAGUCUCAUCAAUAUUAAUCAAUAAUGAGCUAAAGAUAUAUAACUUGUGUCUCAGAACUAUAUAUGAUAUGCUUGUGAAGGUGUAUUAUUUUAAGUAGAGAUACCAAAUGCUACAGGGAGAAGCAAAAAAGAACAUUCUCCAGUGAAAACCUUCUGACAGAUUACAUUUUUGGGAUAAAAAAGAAACAUUGAGAUCAUCAGCCACACUUUUUCUUCUUGUACUGUUUAAUUAGUUUAGAGGCCUUUUAGUUGGUUUUGCUUGCCUGGAGGUGUCAUACAGUUCACUUUUUGAAUACCCUGGUUUUCUACAGAUUAGAACUUGGUUUCCUUUCACUCCACAGCUUUUGCUUUCCUACAUCACGUCCUUUGGGAUAAUUGAAUAAUGAAUGAAUGAAAACAAUCAAAUAAUUUCUGACAAUUAGUUAAUAACUUUUAUUUUGUAUGACCCUUUUGAUAUGUGUGGUCCUUUAAUUUACGGUUGAAAUAUAAAUAUGAAAAAAGUCUGCCAAUUAGUUUUACAAAUGACUUUUGUGCCAUAGAAUAUAUAUAUUUUUUUUUUGCCGAAAAACAAAACAAAUUCAUAAACAACAUUGUAUUUCACCAAUUAACAGUGCAAGUGUCAUUAUAGUUUCCACAUAUUAGUUCUGUUUUCGUUAGUUUCAUUUUCAUUCUGUUAUGUAACUGAUGUUUCAUUGCUAUAAAAUUAAUUGUCUGUUUCUCUUCACAACUGUUAUUUUGAAUGAUUUUUUCUGAAUUUUAUAAAGAAUUUGUAUAUGACAGGAAAUGAAGCAGAGUGCGAGCAACUUGUAUGGAUUCCUAAAAGGUCUGGUCAGAGUGUUCCUUUCAAUGCAUACAUCUGGCGGCGAGGGACUAUUCCAAUAUGGUGGGGUGCAGAAUUAAAGCUUACUGCUGCUGAAGCAGAAAUUUAUGUUGCAGAUCGGGAUCCUUAUAAAGGAAGUCUGAAGUAUUAUCAGAGGUUGAGUAAUCGAUAUGAUGCUCGAAACUUUGACUUAGCUGUUGGGGAAAAUCAGAAGAAAAAGCCUUUUAUUCCAAUUGUAUGCAUUAACUUGCUUAGGAAUGCGGAAGGGAAAUCAGAAUCUAUUUUAGUUCAGCAUUUUGAGGAAUCUUUGAACUAUGUCAGAUCAACUGGAAAACUUCCUUAUACUCGAAUAAUUUUAAUAAAUUAUGACUGGCAUGCCAGUACAAAAUUAAAAGGUGAACAACUUACAAUUGAAGGAUUAUGGAAGCAUCUAAAAGCACCCACUCAGGCCGUAGGCAUUUCUGAAGGGGACUAUUUGCCAUCACGGCAACGACUUAAUGAUUGCCGAGGUGAAGUCAUCUGCAAUGGUGACUUUGUGGGUGCCUUUUGCUUAAGAUCCCAUCAGAAUGGAGUGAUACGCUUUAACUGUGCAGACUCUCUUGAUCGGACCAAUGCUGCUAGUUAUUUUGGUGCUCUGCAAGUAUUUGUGGAGCAAUGUAGGCGGCUUGGGUUCUCCCUUGACAGUGAUUUUGCAUAUGGCUAUCAGUCAGCUAAUAACUAUGGUGGAUAUACUGCUCCUUUGCCACGAGGAUGGGAGAAACGAGCUGAUGCAGUGACAGGAAAAACAUAUUAUAUCGAUCACAACACUAGGACCACAACAUGGAUUCAUCCAUGCCCAGACAAACCUUGGAAGAGAUUUGAUAUGACAUUUGAGGAGUUCAAGCAAUCAACAAUUUUAUCACCAGUGUCUCAGCUAGCAGAUCUUUUUCUGCUUUCUGGUGAUAUCCAUGCAACCCUUUAUACUGGUUCAAAAGCAAUGCAUAGCCAAAUUCUUAAUAUAUUCAAUGAAGAACCAGGAAAGUUCAAACAAUUUUCUGCAGCACAAAAUAUGAAAAUUACCCUGCAGAGAAGAUACAAAAAUGCAGUUGUCGAUAGCUCUCGUCAGAAACAGCUGGAGAUGUUUCUUGGAUUGAGGCUUUUCAAGCAUCUUCCAUCUGUUUCAGUUCAACCUCUACAUGUAUGAUACUGUAGAACUUCAGAUUACCUAUUCAUACAAUCUGAGUUCAAUGAUUAUCAAUUUUCAUGAGGGAUGGAGACAAUAUUACACUAGCUACUUGUUUCUAACCUAAGCAUCCCUAACUUCUGCACAUAAAUAAAUGAUGCGCAAAGCAUACCAUAGCUAUAUCAAUGCCCAUUUCCUGUUUGAUGUUGACCAAUAAUGUUUGGAAGUUAGCUAUUGCAUGGUAAGAUGAUUUGAAGCUUCAUUUAAAGCUUCUAAGCCAGAGCUUCUAAGUCAUCUGGCUUAGAGAAUUUAAAUGUCCUCCAAAAGUCUGGAAUCACUGUUGCAUCUCAGCCUGAUUGAUAUUUGUUAUUGUUAACUUGGAAAUAUUUUGUUAAUCUUUCGGAUUGAACAACGUCGUGCUAUGAUCAUUAUUCAAGAAAUGACCUCAAGAACUUGUUGCAGUUGAGUGAUUUUUUGGUAAUGAUGAAAAUUAUUCAUGUUUAGGAACAGCUCUUUAGGGGAAAAGCAUAUAUGGGCUGGCUGGCCCUUUUUGGUGUAUUUGAUGAACCAUUUCAUAUCAUGCUGGUAACUGCAGGUUCUUUCUCGACCAUCUGGUUUCUUUCUCAAGCCAGUUCCCAACAUGUUCCCAAGUUCUGAUGGUGGAGCUAGUCUUCUAAGCUUCAAAAGAAAAGACAUGAUCUGGGUAUGGGUUGCAGCUAAACUUAGUCCUUUGUAGCAUUCCUAAUUCUCUGAUUGUCUUUUCUUUGUAGCAUUCUUAAUUCUCUGAUUGUCUUUUCUGUCCUUAAUGGAAUUCAUGCAUUUUUGGUUCUUUAGGUAUGUCCACAAGGCACAGAUGUGGUUGAACUUUUCAUCUACCUUGGUGAACCUUGUCAUGUCUGUCAGCUUCUUCUCACCAUAUCCCAUGGUGCAGAUGAUUCAACAUAUCCAGCAACAGUUGAUGUGAGAACAGGACGCCACUUAGAUGGGCUUAAACUGAUUUUGGAGGUUUGUAUUGGUUCUAUUGUACACCUUGCUUACAAAUUUUUUAUUUUUAAUUUUUAAUUUUGUAUGAUAUGCUCUUUGUUGGUAAAUUUCAUUUGACUUAGAAGAGAUAGUUUUAUCCCAACAGUGGGAUACAUCAUUGAGAUGCAUGGCAGAGUGAAUAUAGUAGACAAAAUCAUUGAGACCCAUGGUGGUGUGAACAUAGUAAACUUUGUCAAACACAGCUAAGAUGAGCAAAUUGUUUCAUUAGCCUUUAUCUUAUCUGCUGUGAUGAUUCAAAUUAAUGCUGUUUGGUAGGUUGCAAAAAAACGAAAUGAGCUGACUGUUCGUAUUAUUUAGUCAGAUCUCUAGCAAUAAGUUGAAGUUCAUUGUCACAUGGGUUGGGAGUAUCGUGGGCUGUGAGUAGUAGAAUGGAUUUAUGGAGUUGAUACAAGUGCCCACAAUCUCUCAUGUCAUUCUAGGAUUAAAUGGAUUGCACAUUACUGUAAAAAUGGAGGUUAAAUUUAUAUAAUUCGGAUUGAUUGUAAAAUGGAAGACAGAGAUGAGUUAGAAAAAGAAUGACCCGUGUCCUUUUUGAGCUGUUUCUAAAUGUCCCUGGUGUGCCUCAUGCUUAACACGUGCCUUUCCAAAUAAUUUUGCUUAACCUGUGCUUGUCUACUUCUUGUGCUAUUCUGUGCCUGGUCCUGAGCUGUAUUGGUAGAUUGACAUCCAGCUUGAACUUUUAGGUAUAUCUUUUGUACAUAAAUUCUGAAUACCCAUGGACUUAGCGUGAUAUAAAGUCAAGGAUCCAUUUAGCUGAGUCCUUCAAGUUUUGUUAGUAUGUCUUCGGAUUAUAAAUAUGUAACAAAAUGAGGUGUAGAAUACAUUUAAAAAGAAAAGGAUAAAAAAACAAAAGAAAUGAAAAGAGGUGUUUAGAAGUAAUAGCUAAACUAGAUACACUCUCACUAAUUAGCGAUUCUGAUGAACAGUGCCCAUAGCUUCUUUUAUACCUUGAAGUUGCAGAAAUUGAUUCUUGGUGAAUUAAGUCACUUACAGACAUAACUUUUUCUUCCAUCUAAUUUUUAUUAGGUUAGAUAGGAGAAGACUUGUUUCAGGGUGUCCUGACCCUAGUAUUAGUUUUCUUGUCAGAUUUUUCAUGAAAAUUUACAAUGCACGUGACAUACAACUUCUAGUAAUCCUAGGACUUUGUUCACAGGGUGCUUCUAUUCCUCGUUGUGGAAAUGGGACAAACCUUUUGAUACCUUUACCAGGAUCAGUUAGUGCUGAGGAUAUGGCUAUUACUGGAGCUGGUGCACGACUUCAUGAUCAAGAUGCACCAACCCUUCCACUGUUGUAUGAUUUUGAAGAAUUAGAGGGAGAAUUGGAUUUUCUUACUCGUUUUGUGGCAGUUACCUUUUAUCCUGCUAUUUCUGGAACAAGUUCCAUGACUCUUGGUGAGGUAGAAAAUAUUUUCAUAAAAUGUUAAUUGAUUUAUCUACGCACUUUAUUCUUAAAUUAGUAUUUUAGACCAUGAGCUUUGUGGAGUGGGUUUGCUGUAACUGCUGCUGGUGACAACAUAAUUGUUAAUAUUAUUACAGAUAGAGAUUCUUGGAGUUUCUCUUCCAUGGAGGGGGGUAUUCAAUAAUGAAGGCCCUGGUGCUAGAUUAAUUGAGCUUGGCAAAAAGUUUCAGAAGGAAACCGAUCCAUUUUUGUCAAAUUCAGUUACAAAUACGGUUCUGUUUUCCAAUGAAAAUGUGUCAACAUCAAUGCAAACAGAAGCUGCUUCCAAUCCUUGGGUUGACCUGUUGUCUGGAGGGGACACAUUUUCUGAUCCUCUUUCAGAGCCGUUUUCUAACCCUCUUUCUGAGCCGUUCUCUGAUCCUCUUUCUGAGUCGUUCUCUGAUCCUCUUUCUGAGCCAGUGACAAGAAAUGUUGCAUCUGGAGGGGCUGAUUUGCUUGAUUUCUUGGACCAGCCUAUAGUUGAAGAUCAUGGUGUGGAAACUUAUAAAAGAUCUUCAACACAGGAUGGCUGUUCUCUGGCUAGUGGUGCCCAGCAGUACAUAAGCUGUCUAAAAUCCCUUGCAGGGCCACGCGAGGUAUAGUACUGCUCUCUUGUGUUUUUUGCAGCUCUACAUCUUAGUAACCUCAUCUUUUUAAUGGAGUAAAUUCUAGAAGUUCAACAAAUUUUGCUUUGCUAAAUGUAUAACUUAUUAAUCAGAGUCCUGUUAUUAUGGUUUGACACUACUGACAUAUUGUGUUGGUAAUUUAUUUGUACGUCCCUUGGUUGAAUUAUUUGCUGUCUCCAUGCCAUUCGAUAUGGUGCUACUUGGUUUUUGAUCAUCCAUGACACUAUAUAUAUAUAUAUGUAAAGGAUGAAUUGAUUGUUUUGGCUUGUAUUCUCACAUUUUAUGAUUGAUCGAUGGAAAGGUCUUCCUGUAUUAAAUUCAACCUCACAAGCAUAAGAUUGACAAAUUCUGGGCAAAUUUUCAGGAAAAGAAACUAGACUUCAUGGAAGCAAUGAAGCUUGAAAUUGAACGUCUGCAGCUGAAUCUUUCUGCAGCUGAAAGGGAUAGAGCUUUAUUGUCAAUUGGAACUGAUCCUGCCUCUAUAAAUCCAAAUGUAUUGCUUGAUGAAUCUUACAUGGGAAGACUGUGUCGAGUAGCAAACACUCUUGCAUUACUUGGCCAAGCUUCCCUAGAAGACAAAAUUGUUGGUGCAAUUGGCCUUGAGAAUAGUGAUGAUAGUGUUUUAGACUUCUGGAAUAUUACUAGAAUCGGAGAGAGUUGUUCUGGUGGUGGGUGCGAGGUUCGUGCCGAAACUAAGGUGCCUGCUCUUGCUUCCUCAACUGCAACAUCUGUUGGAUCUUCACAAUCCCCUUUGUUGUGUUCUCAAUGUGAAAGAAAAGUUUGCAAAGUUUGUUGUGCAGGAAGAGGAGCUCUACUGUUUUCAAAUUAUAAAUCAAGGGAUGUGACCAACUACAAUGGCUUCUCAAGUCAGAGUGGAUCAAGCCAUGGAAGCCAAGUUGAUGUAUCUACCAGUCGUUCACUAACACUGGAUGGCGUUAUCUGUAAACACUGCUGCCAUGAGAUUGUGCUUGAUGCAUUGAUGUUGGACUAUGUUAGGGUCUUGAUUAGCUUGCGAAGAAGUUCCCGUGCAGACAACGCAGCAUACAAUGCUUUGAAUGAGGUUGUUGGAUCCUGCUUAAAGGAUAGUCUUUCUGAGAGGAUUCAGUCUUCCGAUAACGUGCAAGCAGCUGAAGUCCUUCACCAAUUAUGUGGUGGACAGGAAGCACUUGCUGAAUUUCCAUUUGCUAGCUUUUUGCACUCGGUAUGUUCUUGGUUUGUAUUCAGUUCUCAUCAUAUUAUGUUUUCCUUUUAAAUUUCUUUUCUUGAUUAAAAUUUUUAGAAAUAUGUUUUAGCAUUUAUUCUUAUGAUAUAUGCCCAGAACAUUCAUCCCACUUAUCCAUGAGAAUCCUUGUCUGGUUUGAUUUUCAAUUGAGACAUUUUUGGGAACCCUGAGCAGGUUCCAUAUGCUAAUAAUCUUUGAGGUAAGGUGUUGUAGGAUGCCUUGAGAAGCUAAAAACCUAUUACAAGUAAAAGCUCUUGCAUUGUUUUGUGCAAUCUGUGUGCGAGCAAGUCAUGUCUCUAAUAAUUUCAUAGUUUGCUUGAUUGGAAUUUUUUAUCUUGAUAUGGAUUGUUUAUUCUAGAUUCCUUGGUGCCACUGUAGGUUGAAACAGCAAAAGAUUCAGCACCGAUUUUGUCACUGCUUGCUCCAUUAAAUUCUGGAUCAAGGCACUCAUAUUGGAGAGCUCCACCUAGUAUUACUUCUGUUGAAUUUGUUAUUGUUCUCGGUUCUGUUUCUGAUGUCAGUGGGGUUAUCUUGCUUGUUAGUCCUUGCGGCUAUUCUGUGGCUGACACUCCGAUGGUAAGUGCCAUAUUUAUUCCCUUAUUUCCUUGUUGUUCAAUAAAUUUGGUGAUAAGCCAAGUGGCCUUAAUAAUGAAGCCCAGUACCAGGGGUGGUGGGUAAUAGAUAUUCAACUUGUGAAUAUUCCUAAGCAAACACUGAAUCAACAUAUACCUCGGCAAAAGUUCUCUAUGCUAUGAUAAUGGAAGUCAUAUUUUGAAAUGAUUAAAAGAGUCCCUGUGUAGUGCCAUUUCCAACGAAAUUGCAGCUGGGGGUUUAGUUUCAUGUAGGUUAGUUUCCGAUAAUAAACUUUCCAUUUCAUUAAUUGCUGAUGAAAAAACCAAGUAAGAACAGUUUUGUUGCUCAUCAUUUUUGUAUAUUUUGGUAAACUGUAAUUUUAAAUUCUCAACGAUCUUCCCUUUGUAGGUAAGAAGAUGGUCCACUCACUUGAUAUUUAUGAUUGUAGAUCAGGUUUCUAUUGGUUUGCCUUUAUCAUUUGGAACCCAUGUUUGAUAUUAACAGAGAUCACAUCAAUAAUAUCCUAUUUGGGUAGAUGUGGGUGAGGAUUUAAAAUCAAAUUUGAAAUUGAGGGGAAAGAAGAGAAAAGGAACCACAAUAAUUAAACAAAAUAAUAGGAACUAUUCUGAUGAGUUUUAAUCUCGAGAGGAACAAUUUUCAAAUGCACUGCUAGAGAAAUUGUAGCUUUUUGUCAUUAGUUAAAAGGAAAAAGAAUAAGAACUAUCCGGCCCUUUCCUUCAUGAAUGUGUGUUGAGGUUGCUGUAUUAUUUAGUCAGUAUUUGUAAUUUUCUUCCCUGCAGUGCUCUCUGCCUCCUGAAUUUGCUUCCUAUUGCUGUUACAGGUGCAAAUCUGGGCAAGCAAUAAGAUACACCGGGAGGAAAGGUCAUCAAUGGGAAAAUGGGAUGUCCAAUCCCUCACCACAUCUUCUUCAGAUUUGUAUGGUCCAGAAAAGUCUGCUAGUGUUGAAAAAUUACCUAGGCAUGUAAAAUUUACGUUUAAGAAUCCUGUUAGGUGCCGCAUUAUUUGGAUCACAUUACGUCUUCAGAGACCUGGUUCGGCUUCAGUUAAUUUCGGGAAGGACCUCAGUCUUUUGUCUCUUGAUGAAGAUGAAAACCCCUUUGCACAAGUAGACAGACGUGCUUCAUUUGGAGGAGCAGUUGAAAAUGAACCAUGUAUUCAUGCCAAAAGAAUUCUUGUAGUCGGAAGCCCAGUAAAAAGGGAGGGGCUUACCACAUCACAGAGCUCUGAGCAGCUAAGUAUUAGAAACUGGUUGGAUAGAGCUCCACAAAUGAGUAGAUUCAAGGUAUUAGUUGCUUUCACUCUUUGUUCAUUCAUAAUUCCAGCUUUCUGCUUCACUGAUAAACCUCUUUUUUCUCUUCAGGUCCCAAUUGAGGCCGAGAGAUUGAUGGACUACGAUCUCGUCUUGGAACAGUAUCUACCUCCAGUGUCACCUUCACUUGCUGGAUUCCGUCUAGACGCUUUCAGUGCAAUAAAACCUAGGGUUACCCAUUCACCUUCCUCAGAUUCAGAUAUCUGGGACAAAUCAGUAACAUUUUUAGAAGAUAGGUACAUCUCUCAAGCUGUGUUGUAUUUACAAGUAUCCGCACUCCAGGAACCACAUAACAUGGUAACUAUUGCGGAAUAUCGACUGCCGGAGGCUAGAGCCGGAACGCCAAUGUACUUUGAUUUCCCACGACCGAUACAGUCCCGACGAGUUUCAUUCAAGCUUCUUGGAGAUGUUACAGCAUUUGCAGAUGAACCUUCAGAACAAGAUGAUUCAGGAUUGAGAGCUCUACUUGUGGCCACAGGUUUGUCUUUGUCAAACAGAAUCAAGUUAUAUUAUUAUUGUGAUCCUUAUGAGCUCGGAAAAUGGGCAAGCCUUUCUGGAGUUUGAUCAUUAUUUAUAUGUCAGAGAAAGAGUUUUGGGUUUGAUUUUGAUUUUGAUUUGCAUUUUUUGUCAGUUUAUUGAAAUUUUUUCGUGGUAUAAAAUCAGAAUGUAAAGGUAUAAAAAUUCAUUGAUGCUGCAAUGUCUGCUUUUGAGAAAGAAGAAUUCAACGUCUUUUCUAUGCCAUUGUAUUUUCCACUGCUUGUAAACUUGGGCUGUCGAAUGCUCUGUGAACCUUAAGGGCUAAAGUAAUUUUCAAGACUGAAGGAUUUAUUAAUCGAGUUCAAAAGAUUGCAAGUUGGUGAGCGUUGGCAUUUAAAAAUCAAUUGUUAUUCUCUCAAUAAUCUCUCUCUUCUGCCGACACCCCAAGCUCAGAAACCCGUUGUUCCGACGGACGUGUAACACUUCUAGAAAUUAGCAUUUUCUUCUACAUGAAGGUUGGUCUCUCCUCGUGAAGUGUUUUCUUUUUUGAGUGAAGGUGGUUUUCUACUUACAUAUGUCGAGGGUCUUACGAUAUCUAAUGUGUGAAAUUUCUCUCUCAUUUUACCAUAAAGAAAAUGUUUGUAAUGAUCUGAAGCUUGAGUCUUAAAUUAUCUUAAAUUUAUAUUUAGGGUGGAGCUAUUGGCAUCCCUACAUUAUUCUUACAAAAUUCCACUUUAAAUAAAAUUACAAUUAAGAACAAUUAAAAAUUAAACACUUAUAAUUUUUUGUACAGCAAAUUACUUAAUUUAUAAUCAAUUCUUUUAAAAUAUAUAUAUAUAUUUGUUACUUCUUAUCUAACUAAAAUAAAUUGUACAAAUUUAGAAUAAUCUAUUGUUCUUUUUUGAUUUCUUAUUGAUUUAAUAUUUUUAUACUUAAAAUUACUUUGAAAUUAUAAUUUGAAAUAUGUGUUAUUUUAGCCAAUAAUUAACACUUAAAAACUUAUCACCCAUAUAACUUUUUAAUUUGUGUGUAGGGUAAUAAUAAAAUUGAAAAUAAUUAAAAAUAGCACAAUAAUGAGUUUUAACAAUAAAACAAAUCAAAUGAAUAUUUAAAAUUUUAAAAAGUAUAUCUAGAAAAAGAGGUAUUUUCGGAAAUAGUUUGCAUAUAACUAAAAAAAAGUUUUAUGAGGAGAUCAGAUGGGUGCCAAUAGUCCACCUCGUAAUUAAGAAUCUCCCAUUAUAUUGUGAACCAAAAAGACACUUGCAUAAGAAGAAGAAUUUUUCUGUUUGAUUUUAUUUGUGGAUCCAACAUUUCUCAUAUCUUGAGCGCCUUUCCGUAUCAAAUUAAAAUAGUAGUAGCAAAAUUGUAGUGCACAUUCAAUUAAUCAACUAAUAGUCUAAGAAGCAAAGAGAGGAUUACAAGUUCACAACACCAUUACAAAGGAUUCAAAAUUCCCACACGAAAACAUCAAUGUACAGAUAUAAACAAUCCUAAUUGGACACAAGAAAAACCCUUAAAUGGAUUGCUUGCCUUCCCAAUGCUACAUACCCUGCAAACUGCUUACUGGCCAAGAAAAUGUUUUCAAUUUAGUGUAUUUUCAAAAUGCUUAUUUUCUCAUAAUAUUAAAAAAAUAAAAUAAAAAAGAAUUCUUACAUGUUUCAUCAGCAUGAUUAAAAUCAAAGAAGAAAGAGAGACAUAAUGUCUCUGACAUAAUAAAAUUAUAAAAAUUUCAAGAAAAAAAAAGGUUAAAACAUGUAAGGUGGAUGAUUGAAAACAAUUGUAUGAUGGUAACCAUCAUCUUAAACAAAUAAAAUAAGGUAUGUUCAAAAGUAAUAAGGAAUACAUAGACAAAACAUCAUCUUAAACAAAUCAUAAUCUAGAAUUGGAGCAUUUUCGACAUACCUAAGGAGAAAGAAUACGUGAAAAUAGGUGAUUCAUUUGUUAAGGAGUGUUGAUUUGGUCGUCUCUGCAAAUUCUUUAGGGACUCGGUUCCAGUUCCUCUUCAUCAAAACUGUAAUAUAAUUCCCCUUCAUCAGAACUCGAAUCAAAUUCACUUGCAGCAGUUCCACUCGCGCUUGGCAAAUCAUCCAAUUUCCAAACUUCGGUACCAAAAUUGAGAGUAAAAGUGUUGGCUUUGAUCUCGCUGCGAUUUGCAUAUACCGGACAUACUCCGUAACGUUUUAUCUUGUGACCCUUUUGGUUUCGGUAACACUCAUUGAAGAACUUAAGUGAGACAGUUGUAUGAUGGUAACCAUCAGGAAAGCCAACAUUCAAGCAAGGUUUAAAACAAAGUAUGACAUGAUCUGAAUCAAGGGAGUAUUUAGAAUAGGUAGAAAAACCCAGAUCAACAUAUUUGGUUUCAGAGAGAGUCUUUAUUUCUAAGUCGGAUUGAAAGAUGACGUACCAAUCGCACUUGCAACGAGAACAAACUUUCUUAGAAUCAAGAACAGCACAAAAAGCAAACCCGAUUAAGUUUCCGCAAAAAGAUUGCGGUGGCAGUUGAAUACAUAUCGAAGAUUCUGAACUUUGAUGGCUGAACCAGUCAGGAAUUUCGCUCCCAGGUAAAACAAUUAGGGAUCCCCAGAGUUCAGAAAGUUU